rnacentral:lncRNA from 1 species
NNNNNNNNNNNNNNNNNNNNNNNNNNNNNNNNNNNNNNNNNNNNNNNNNNNNNNNNNNNNNNNNNNNNNNNNNNNNNNNNNNNNNNNNNNNNNNNNNNNNNNNNNNNNNNNNNNNNNNNNNNNNNNNNNNNNNNNNNNNNNNNNNNNNNNNNNNNNNNNNNNNNNNNNNNNNNNNNNNNNNNNNNNNNNNNNNNNNNNNNNNNNNNNNNNNNNNNNNNNNNNNNNNNNNNNNNNNNNNNNNNNNNNNNNNNNNNNNNNNNNNNNNNNNNNNNNNNNNNNNNNNNNNNNNNNNNNNNNNNNNNNNNNNNNNNNNNNNNNNNNNNNNNNNNNNNNNNNNNNNNNNNNNNNNNNNNNNNNNNNNNNNNNNNNNNNNNNNNNNNNNNNNNNNNNNNNNNNNNNNNNNNNNNNNNNNNNNNNNNNNNNNNNNNNNNNNNNNNNNNNNNNNNNNNNNNNNNNNNNNNNNNNNNNNNNNNNNNNNNNNNNNNNNNNNNNNNNNNNNNNNNNNNNNNNNNNNNNNNNNNNNNNNNNNNNNNNNNNNNNNNNNNNNNNNNNNNNNNNNNNNNNNNNNNNNNNNNNNNNNNNNNNNNNNNNNNNNNNNNNNNNNNNNNNNNNNNNNNNNNNNNNNNNNNNNNNNNNNNNNNNNNNNNNNNNNNNNNNNNNNNNNNNNNNNNNNNNNNNNNNNNNNNNNNNNNNNNNNNNNNNNNNNNNNNNNNNNNNNNNNNNNNNNNNNNNNNNNNNNNNNNNNNNNNNNNNNNNNNNNNNNNNNNNNNNNNNNNNNNNNNNNNNNNNNNNNNNNNNNNNNNNNNNNNNNNNNNNNNNNNNNNNNNNNNNNNNNNNNNNNNNNNNNNNNNNNNNNNNNNNNNNNNNNNNNNNNNNNNNNNNNNNNNNNNNNNNNNNNNNNNNNNNNNNNNNNNNNNNNNNNNNNNNNNNNNNNNNNNNNNNNNNNNNNNNNNNNNNNNNNNNNNNNNNNNNNNNNNNNNNNNNNNNNNNNNNNNNNNNNNNNNNNNNNNNNNNNNNNNNNNNNNNNNNNNNNNNNNNNNNNNNNNNNNNNNNNNNNNNNNNNNNNNNNNNNNNNNNNNNNNNNNNNNNNNNNNNNNNNNNNNNNNNNNNNNNNNNNNNNNNNNNNNNNNNNNNNNNNNNNNNNNNNNNNNNNNNNNNNNNNNNNNNNNNNNNNNNNNNNNNNNNNNNNNNNNNNNNNNNNNNNNNNNNNNNNNNNNNNNNNNNNNNNNNNNNNNNNNNNNNNNNNNNNNNNNNNNNNNNNNNNNNNNNNNNNNNNNNNNNNNNNNNNNNNNNNNNNNNNNNNNNNNNNNNNNNNNNNNNNNNNNNNNNNNNNNNNNNNNNNNNNNNNNNNNNNNNNNNNNNNNNNNNNNNNNNNNNNNNNNNNNNNNNNNNNNNNNNNNNNNNNNNNNNNNNNNNNNNNNNNNNNNNNNNNNNNNNNNNNNNNNNNNNNNNNNNNNNNNNNNNNNNNNNNNNNNNNNNNNNNNNNNNNNNNNNNNNNNNNNNNNNNNNNNNNNNNNNNNNNNNNNNNNNNNNNNNNNNNNNNNNNNNNNNNNNNNNNNNNNNNNNNNNNNNNNNNNNNNNNNNNNNNNNNNNNNNNNNNNNNNNNNNNNNNNNNNNNNNNNNNNNNNNNNNNNNNNNNNNNNNNNNNNNNNNNNNNNNNNNNNNNNNNNNNNNNNNNNNNNNNNNNNNNNNNNNNNNNNNNNNNNNNNNNNNNNNNNNNNNNNNNNNNNNNNNNNNNNNNNNNNNNNNNNNNNNNNNNNNNNNNNNNNNNNNNNNNNNNNNNNNNNNNNNNNNNNNNNNNNNNNNNNNNNNNNNNNNNNNNNNNNNNNNNNNNNNNNNNNNNNNNNNNNNNNNNNNNNNNNNNNNNNNNNNNNNNNNNNNNNNNNNNNNNNNNNNNNNNNNNNNNNNNNNNNNNNNNNNNNNNNNNNNNNNNNNNNNNNNNNNNNNNNNNNNNNNNNNNNNNNNNNNNNNNNNNNNNNNNNNNNNNNNNNNNNNNNNNNNNNNNNNNNNNNNNNNNNNNNNNNNNNNNNNNNNNNNNNNNNNNNNNNNNNNNNNNNNNNNNNNNNNNNNNNNNNNNNNNNNNNNNNNNNNNNNNNNNNNNNNNNNNNNNNNNNNNNNNNNNNNNNNNNNNNNNNNNNNNNNNNNNNNNNNNNNNNNNNNNNNNNNNNNNNNNNNNNNNNNNNNNNNNNNNNNNNNNNNNNNNNNNNNNNNNNNNNNNNNNNNNNNNNNNNNNNNNNNNNNNNNNNNNNNNNNNNNNNNNNNNNNNNNNNNNNNNNNNNNNNNNNNNNNNNNNNNNNNNNNNNNNNNNNNNNNNNNNNNNNNNNNNNNNNNNNNNNNNNNNNNNNNNNNNNNNNNNNNNNNNNNNNNNNNNNNNNNNNNNNNNNNNNNNNNNNNNNNNNNNNNNNNNNNNNNNNNNNNNNNNNNNNNNNNNNNNNNNNNNNNNNNNNNNNNNNNNNNNNNNNNNNNNNNNNNNNNNNNNNNNNNNNNNNNNNNNNNNNNNNNNNNNNNNNNAUUCCCUUUUCCUAAUACAGACAUGCUCGUGUUAUUCCCAAGUUUCACUGAAUCUCGAAAGGUUCCAUCAAAAUCUAAAAAAUAAUCCUUUUUUCCACACAUAUGAUUGCUGCAUCCAGAGUCAAGAAACCACGUAUCUUCUCGACUAGUUUUGUUUAGAUCCACAUAUGCCAUCAACAACAUCUCCUCUUGAUUCUCUGCGUAGUAAGCCCCUGUCUCUCGGUGUGGACAUUCCCAUGCAAAAUGUCCUAGCUUGUGACAAUUAUAGCACUCCACAGUAGCCUUAUCAAAAGAUCUUCUAUUCCGUCCUCUUCCUCUUCCUCUAUAAUUUCCAUGACCACGACCUCUACUUCCGGAGUGAUCUCCAUGAGUAACUUUCAAAGCCUGUUCUUCUUCUAACACAUGAGAGGUCAUGCGUUGUUCAUGGACAAGAAGACUACUCUGCAACUCAUCUAUGGUUAAAGUGUCUAAAUCUUUAGACUCUUCAAUGGAACAAACAACAUAAUCAAAUUUGGAAGUCAUAGAUCGUAAAAUCUUUUCAACAACAGCAGUAUUUCCUUUAUCCUCACCAUUGACCUUCAUUUUGUUGGCAAUGGCAAGAGUGCGAGAGAAAUAUUCAUUCACAGUUUCUCCCGACUUCAUGUGAAGAAUUUCGAAUUCCUUCAUCAAAGCUUGCAAAUUUCCACGCUUCACUCGUGUGGUGCCCUGAAAUUUCUGCUUCAUAGAAUCCCAAAUAUCCUUCGUAGUCUUUUUGUUUAGAAUUGUCUCUAGGAUAGAACGAUCUAAUGCCUGAAAUAGAUAGUUCUUUGCCUUCAAAUCCUUUAACUGCUGAUCUUCAAUGUGCUUUCUCUGUGCAUCUGUGAGAACAGCAUCUUCAGCCACUGCAGGAACUCCAUUCACCACAAGUCCCCAAUACUCCUUGGAACGCAAGAAGUUUUCCAUGAGCAUUGCCCAGUGAUCAUAGUAGCCAUCAAAUUUCGGAAUAGCUGGCUGGACAAAUGAACUCUCUGUCGUCAUUGUUCAAACAGAACACACGUAGAAGACUGCUGCUUCUAAAUAAUCAGGCCCCUAUGAUGGGGCUCUGAUACCAAAUGUUGGAAAUUGAAUAGGAGUAUAGAUGAAGCUGGAGAAAAACAACUUUACUAAAUUGAAUAACAAACUUGGCUAAUAUAUAGCCUUACAGAAAAUAGCCCAUAUCUAGAUAACUCCUAAAAGUGCUGAGAAGAUAACCCUCAGCAAAUAUCAGAACCCAAAAUAAUAGAUAACUCCUAAACGUGGUGGUAACUAACUACUAAAGAUAAACAUAAAAAACUAACAUUAACCAAUAAGAUAAACAUCACAAAACUAACAUAUGGAAUAGGCAAAUGUCAGGAACAGGGAAAGACCAGAAAAAUAGAGCACAAGGGAUAGGAACAAAAUAAUCCCAUACAAGCCGUGUUUCAUAUCCGGAUCAAUGGGCUUAGGUGAGGGUGAGCGCAAUCAAAUGGAAGACAAAACAUGAUUGCAUGUAUUUUCAUGAGGAAGCUUUAAACAGGGCCAAGUUAACAUUCAACAAAAACCAAAUAAAUGAGGAACAUGAACGUGCUAUAAUUCCACAAAACCGACCUGAAGGUCAGCCAAAAUAUACCUGUAGCACUUAAUGUCUAUUCCCCAAUCAACAAAUAGCACUCAACAAUCAGCAGAGAAAAGAAAAGAAAAGCAUGCCAGUUGGAAUGAGUUAGAAACCCAUAAUAAUCAUACCUGAAAAACAAUCCUCCCCAAGAAGCCGUGUCGGAUUUCUAGCUGUUCCACUGGUUCCCUCUUCUUCCCUUUAGCUGCCUUUUCCUCAAGUCACCUCAAAAUCACAACCCUCAAGCAACCCGCAACCCUUUCCUUUUUCAGAUUCUUCUUUUCUUUUCACUCUCAGCACCUACUAUAUCCUUCUUCCAUCGGCUUCCUCUGUUUCUCUCGAACAGCUCCAAGGAAAAAAAAAACUUCUCCCCUCUUCCCUAGCUUCCCCUCCAAGCUAUACUCUAAAUAUUUCUUCUCUGUUUCCAUCUUCUCCCGCAAGCCACCACCUGCUCCACUGUGCACCAUUCCGCCAAUGCGUCACCCUCCAAACCACCACCAUGGGCGAGCCAUGCAGCCGGUUCUCAGCAUAAGGAGGUCCCCCUCCAAAAAUGCAAGGAAAAGAAAAGAAAACAACUCUGCUCGGGCCCUCACCACACGUCCUAUGCUUCUCGUGUGUCUCCAGAAAGAGCUCCCUCCCCCCUACUUCAAAAAAAUGAAAGAAUUCCACUCUCCCGGGUGGUCCUAAAAUAAAAGAAAAGCUAUCCGUUUUUUUGAGGGGGUUUACAACUUUAUUAUUACAUUUUAUUUUUUGUUUGAUGCUUUAAAUAAUUUUUAUUAAAUAAAAUUAUAAUUAUAUUGGUGGAGGGCUAAUUAACUUUGUUUUUAAGUGAGAAAGACAGUGAUAAGGUUGAAGUGGGUUUAAAAAAAUGAAAUAAAAGAAUGAAAAAAAGAAAAAGAAAAAGAAGAUAGAGAUAAGAUUGAGGUGGGUCCGUAAUUAAAAAAAAAAUGAAGAGUAGGAGAAAAAGUGACAAAAGCUUUUGCUUUCUUCCAAAAAAGUAAAAACAAAGGCUAAUGACAUCAUGUGAUCAAACUCUAUACAAGACCCUACUUGAAUAUUUCUAUGAUUUGUUUAUUAAACUAGUCUUAUACAAGGACAAAGUUAAAAAUAACUUUAAAAAAAAUAUUAUUUAAGAAAUUAUUUUCUAAUCUACAUAAUUGCUACAUCUUUUCGACUCGAUUUUAUUCAAUUUCAUUAAAAUGAAAUCAUUUAUUUGAGCCCAAAAAUCCAAAUCCAACUCAUUUAUCUAUAUACUUUAUUGGCAUGGAAUGAGAAAAGUUAUAAAGUGAAAGAAAAUUUGAUCAUAUGAGAGAUUUUCCAAAGUUGGAGCCAAUUCAAUGCUUAGUGGGUAUAACAAAAAAAAAAGUGGAAAUUAGAGUGAAACAACCAAAUUUUUAAGGUUUGAGGGGAUGUCACUGCACCUUCCAUAUAACUGUCUAAGAAUGUGAGAUGUCAUUGCAUUGAAAAUUGAUAUUAAAUCUCAUAAAGUAACUAUAAGAAUUGCUUUACUUAAGUAAUAAAUAUAUCUUGCUUUUUCAUAAAGUUUAUGACCCUAAGUGAAUAAAAUUUUUAGAGUGGGAUGAAUGCAUUUCACGUGAGUCAUGUCCUAGAUAUAUUUUUAGAAUUUUUUAGCAAGAUAUUAAGAGAAACUUUAUGGUGAGUGUUUUUUUUCUAGUUAAGGUGGGUACAGUUUGAUGUCAUUUGUAAACAUAAUUCAAACCCAAUAUAUUUUUUAGGUGUUUGAAUUGAAUAGAUUUGUAUUUAAUUUAAAUUCAUGUGAAUAUAUAUAAUUCAUUUAAUAAAUAAAUUAUUUUUAAAUUAACUCAGAUAACCUACAUUUGACUCGAAUUAACUUAUUUAAAAAUGGUAUUGAUUAACCUAAUAAUAACUUUAAUUUAUUGAACUCAUAUUUAACUCAUUUAAGAUUUGUUUUUCAAGUAGUAUGCCAUAAUUGGGUCAUUAUAUAAUAUUAGAACAUUAAGCAUAUUAUUUCAUUCAACAUUUAACUUGAUUUGAUUAUUAAACAUUAUCUUAUUAUUAAAUUGGUUAAACAGGUUAUGAUGUAUCACCUGGUUAAUAAUUAUAUAGUGUUUGAGUUUAUAUUUUUAAUUUUGAUUAUUAUUCAUGUCAUGUUUGGGUUGAGUUGUUUCGUGGAGUAUCUAACAUUUGAUACAAGACAAACACAAUCCACCAACAUAUUAAUAAAAAAUUACGAGAUAUUAGGAGAGUAAUUUUGGUAAAAGUUAAUAUUUAAUGAUUUAAGAUGAUUUUAAAUAAAAUUAUAUUUAAAUGGUCAAGUCAUAUCAAAUCAUUAACUUAAUUUAUCAAAAUCAUUUUUGAUUUUAUAUUAUAGUAUUAAGUUAUUUUAACGAUCAUACUUAAUAUACUUAAGAACUUAAAUUUAGUCUUAUCAACAUUCUCUAAGGUCUUCUCAAUUUUUAAUAUUUAUUUGAUACAUAUUUUAAAGUAAACAAGUCAAAAUAUAUUAUCUCAAAAUUUCUAAUUCAUACUCCUACAAGAUUUUAAAAUUCAUUAAUUAAUUUGAAAGAAAUUUGUUUUGGAACAUGCAAGUGAUGGACAUAUCACAUAUCUUAAAUUUUUAACUAAAAAACCUCAUAACAAAAUAAUUUGAUGAAUGUUUUUAAGUUUAAAAAACUUAGAACCAUUUCACAAUGAUUUUGGGAAGUUAGAAAUGUUUCCAAAUGCUUGAAAAUGUUUUAAUAACGAAAAUUAAACAUUUGAUAAAAAUUAAAGUUCACAUUCUAAGUAAUUGAUAGUGCUUCUUAUAAUUUUUUCUUUCUUUUCAUUAUAUAUAUAUAUAUAUUAGACAUUGAAAAGGUUUCACCAAUUAAAUGGUGUCACAUUUACAUUUUUUUUUAUAACAUGAAUUGAAAAAGUUUCAUCAAUUAGGUGGUGUCACACAUAUAUUUUUAAGUCUCAUAGUUAAUACCAUUGUACCUUGGCCACAUUUGUUUAUACCUUUGUUUAACGAUUUAGAUCUCACUACAUAUAUUUAAUAGUUUAGAUCUAGACUUCGUCAGGUACCACUACAAAACCUUAGUAUUAUAUAUAUAUAUAUAUAUAUAUAUAUAUACAUCAUACUAACUAGUUUUUUUUUUUUUUUUUAAUCAAAACACUUACAAUAGAAAUGCUACAAAUUAGAAGUGUUUUUAUCAAAAUAGUUUCCAAACCAACCAUAAUAUUUGCAUUAGCUUUAACAUAUAAUAUCUUUUACUUUAGUUGUUGAUAUAGCUACAUAUAAGACCAACCAUUCAUAUGAUAAUUAUUAUGGAUCUUAUUUUAAUUUGAUAAAAAUAUCUACCCAAGCAUUACGCAAAUAGGGAUGACAAUGGGGUGAAAUAUAGACAAGUCAUUCCUAUCCCAAUCUCACCCCAUUUAUUCAAAAUAAUUCUCAUUCUCGUCUCAUUGAAGAAAUUAAAUGGAAUGGGGUAGGUAUGAGAAUUUCCUGUACAUUAUUUUUAAAUUUGUUUAAAUACAUUAAAAUAAAUAUAUUUUAUAAAUAAUUUAAAAUUUAAAAUUUUUUUUAUAACUUAUUUAUUAUUAUUAUUAUUAUUAUUAUCAUUAUUAAAAAUAGGAAAAUAACAAUUUAUAUCUAAUUGAGGCAGGACAAGGUAAUAUCUAAACAUACCCCAAACUUGUCUCGAGUUUUAAAAAAAUUCUAAAAAAUGCUUUUAACUCGUUUAUUUAAAUUUCAAAUUCAUCCCAUUAGGAAUGGGGUGAAAACCCGUCUCAUUGUCAUCUCUAUAUGCAAGUCAUAAAUAUAUAAUAAGAAAAAUAAUAAUAAAAUUAGUAUCUAUUUAGAUGAACUUCUUGUUUUUUGUUUUUAAAAUCAGAAAAUAAUAAUAACUUUUAUAUAAGUGUAGACCCCCUUUGGUAGUGAGGACCCGGGAGGUUUUUUUUUUUUGGGGAUUUUCAUUAUAUUGUUAGAAGGGGUAGGGGACCCCCAGCUGGAGAGGAGCAGAGACGCCAUGCUGAUGAUGAAGGUAGCCACCAAAUGGGACGUGUAGCAGCGGGCAGAGUGGCUUGCGGUGGAAGAUAGAAACAUGAGAGAAAAAGGAUAUACGAGGGGGGAGUCUGACGGGAGAGAGGCAGCCAUUAGGGGAGUCACAGAGAAGGGAGCUUGCUGGUUCCAUUGAUCUUAGAGGAGAACUUACUAGAGAAAGAGAUAACAGAGAAAGAAGACAGCUGCAGGUGAGUUUGGGGUGAGUCUCUUGCUCCCUUUUGAUUCAUAUUCUCCUCAUCCCUUUCUCAUUUUGGUUUGCUUUGCAUUGCUCAUCAGUCCGGGUUGGAUUUCAUGUUGAAUUUCAUUGAUUUUUCUGGAUCACUUGUUUGUUGUCGUUGAUCUUGCCGUUAUCCUUAUGGUUUAGUUUGGAGUUGAUGAGAUCUGUUUCUCACGUAUUUUGUGGCUCUGGCUUGAGAUCUUCCCACCUGUAUCUGCCCAUGGAUACCACCCGACAUGAGGCUUGAUACACUCAUGUUUUUCUACUUUAUUCCUUGAUUAUCUUUCCCUCGUUUUUUGUUGUUUUGGCUCCUAUAUUUGUGAUCCUUUCUAUGAAUGAAGGCCUAUACACAAAGGUUGUUUCUUGUAUUUGAUAAAACCGAUUGAGCCACCCAUGGUUUCAGAUGAAGCAGAGACGUUAACGAGAUGUAUGCUCUGUUUUUAGGAUCUUUUUUCUUCUUUUAAUAUCUGUAAACAGAGAAGCUUGCAUGCAAAGAGUUCAUCAUCCAAAACUGGCAGCGUGUUGGGCCUGAGGUUAAACAAGAGUGACAAAUGUAAGAACAGUGAGGGAAGAGAGCCAUUUUUUUCAAUCACUGGGCUGCCAUAUUUUUAUCACCGGGCUGUUGAUUUCUUUUCAUCACCGGACUGCUAUUCUUUUUCAUCACCGGGCUACUGACUUUUCUUUAUCACCGGGCUGCUCAUCCACCAUAGCAUCAACUCCAUGUCACAGCUGGUUCUUUUCCAUUCGCCGCCGCACCAACUGCACACCCCAUUUUUUUGGUACCUUCACGGCCAUUAGGUAUGUCAGUUGUUUUUUUACAUAUAUAUGCAUAGAGUUUCAGCAACAGUGAAGGCUCGGAGCAUUUUUCCAAGUAGAAUUAUUAUUAUAAUAGGGUAAGUGGUUUGACUUUAUUUACUAGCUCCAACACUUUUUUGGUCUAUAUGGUCAUAUGGAUAUGGUUGCAAAGUAUGGGAUCACCUUAUUAUCCAAUGGGCAAAAUUAUAAGUGGACUUUCUAGGAAGAGACUUAAAAAAAUAGGUUUGUGGGGCCUUUUCUUUCCAUUUAUUGAUUCCUCAUGUUGUGUACACGUUUUGAUGGUAAGCCUCUUUUUAUUUUAUUUCAUUCUAUUAUUUUAUUAGUUUUCUUCAACUUUUGAUGCCCAAAAAUUUCAUUUUCAAAAUUUUAAUCUUAAAAUAAUAUACCAAAAAAAAAAAAAACUCUAGUUUUAAUUUAAUUUCUCAAAGCUCCAAUUCUAAUUUAAUUUUUCAAAAGCUCCGAUUUUUUAAAAUUUAGUUUUCAAUACUUUAACUUCCCAAACUUUAAUUAUUUUCAAAUUUUAAUUUUUAAAAUUCCAUCAUUAGACAAUUCCAAUUUUUCGACUCCCGAAUUUAAUUUUCAACCUCAAAAUUUUCACUAUUCACAUUCAGCUGUUUAAUGACGAUUUUCGUUACUAUUAUUAUCCCGUUCAUUUAUUUAUUCACUUAUUCAUAUAUUUAAAAUCCCAUCUCCAAAUAAUUUCUCAAAAUUUCAAUCUCUAAAUUCAAUCUUCAAUCUUUAAAAUUCUAUUUUUCGCAAUUAUUUACUUAAUAUUUAUUAUUUCAUCAUUAUUAUUAUUCCAUUCCUUUAUUUAUCCACUUAUUUGUUUAUUAAAAUUCCGUCUUUAAAUAAUUUUUUCAAAAUUCCGAUUCCCAAAUUUAGCUCUCUAAAAUUCCAAUUCCUUUCAAGUUUAAUUUCUAAAAUUCUCAUUUUUAUAUUUAAUUUCUAAAAAUCUAGUUUUUCAAGUAAUUUCUAAAACUCCAAUUUUCAAAUAAUCCCUAAGACUCCAAUUUUCAAAUAAAUUUCAAAAAUCCAAUUUUCUCUCAAAUAGUUUUGAUUCCACUCUGGUUUUCAAACAAUCUUAUGCUCCUCUUGAUUUUAAUAAGCGUGAAUGCAAUCUUCAUAAUUCCUAAAUAAUGGAAUUUGUGAUAUUAAUUCGUGCAAGAUUAAUCGGGCUUUGGUGGGGGCCCCACAUACAUGAUUUUAUGAUUGAUUGAUCGAUUGAUCGAUUGGUUGAUUUAUUUGCCAUGCGUGAUUGAUUUGCUAUGUUCCAUGAUAUGUACAUAAUCAACCUGCGUUUGUCCACUAACCCUAUUUUGUGAUAGCGUGUUGUCGUUUGCUGAAUAGGUACGUAUCCACUUCCACUUUGGUUAUUCUCUAUGCAUAUUCUGAUUCUCAUAUGUGCAUGAUAGUUCCGGGUAUCCAUUGAUUUCUUAAUUAAUUGCUAUGAUUGCUCCAUUUUAUUAGUAGAGACCCAUUUUAGGGACUUAGAGGGGUGCUACGGUCUUUCCCGUACCUUCCUGAUAAGUAACCUGACCCUCGUACCCGAUCCGGUUUUUCGCAGACCGUCUUUUUCAAAUUAAGGAGUCAUAUUUAGGGUUUUUCUUUCUUAUUUUGUUUACCCUUUUAAAAAUAAAACAAAAAUAAGUGGCGACUCCAAGUCAUUUCCUUAAUCAAUAAAAAAUCAAUUUUUCAAAUAAAAUCGAGCUCGCCAUCGAGUGGAAAACGCAUGAGCACGAAAUGCGGGGUCCACAAAAAGAUAUAAGGAUACUUAUAUUAAAAAAAUAAUAAUAGUUUUAAAAAUCAUUUAAAAAUUUAAGGUAUUAAAAGAAUUUUACUAAACCAAAUUUUAAAAAAUUUUAAUGUGAUUUUUAAACAUAUGACAUAAAUUUAUAUUUUUUUGUAUAACAUGUUCUACUUUCAUAUAGAAAUUCUAAUUUAAAAAAAAAAAAUAACAGAUGUAUUAAAUGGACACUUUAGCUUCUUAUUUUUUUAGUGGUUCACCUUGCCCCUUAGAUAAGAAGAUUAUGAAAAUUUUCAAUAAUUAUGAAAAAGAUAAAAGUGAAAGACUUUUGACAAAAUUAUGUGUGAGAUGGUGUGCAUCAACUUUAAUUUGGACAAUUAUGUUAAUGGGAAGAUGUUAUCCUCAUCACCUUUAAAUUGUAGUACUUAUUGUAUUUUGGAUAAUUAUGUUAACGGUCAUGUCAUCCUUGUCUCAACUCAUGUUGAUUAUUUAAGUUAUAAGUUAUAGUCACCAUGUCUUAUUUAAACUUUUAUACUAUUUUUUAUUAUUUUUAAAUAUAAAUCUUAUUAAAAUUAAUAUAAUUUAAGAGUUAAUAAAUUAAUUUUUAUGAAUUUUAUAUUAGCAUUGAUAAAAAUUAUAUUUUCAAUUUUAUUUUAAACAUGUUCAAAAGGGGGAAAACAAAAAAAGAAACUAAAUUAUUUUUAUUGAAUUUUAUAAAUAAAAAUGAUUUAAUUUUAAUUUUUAUUUAAUUUUAUAAAAAAAUUCUCAAAUAUAUCCCUAAUUUGUUUAAACUGGUCCUAAAUCCUUCUAUAGUUGUCAUCUCUAAUUUUGACCAUAUAAAAAUUAAACCAAAAUAUAAGAAGGUUGAGGAAUAUCAAAUAUAAAGAGAGGUUGAAAAAAUUUAUAAUGCUUAGAGGUUUUUUUCUUACAAAUAGAACUUGUUUGGUCAUGUGAUUUAAAAAUAGUGCAUUUUUUUUUUUUGUUUUUAAAAAUAAAAAACUGUUUUUAAAAUUUUCUAACAAUGUUUGACCAUUGUUAUCUGGAAGCAAUUUUUAAAAAUAAGGUGAAAUAAAGAACAAUUUUUAGAGAACAAAUAUAAAUUGUUUUCAUUGAUUUUUAAAAACAAAGGGAAAAUAUGAGCCCAUUUGACCAUAUUUUCUUAAACUUGUUUUUACACACUUUUUUUUUUUAAAAAAAAAAAAAGACUUUUUAGAUUAAAAACAUUUUUUAGAAUCACUACCAAAAUGAUUUUAAGUAUUAUCUCACUUCACCUCAUUUAUAUAUAAAAUUAAGUAAAAAUAAUUUAAUUUCCUUUUCCAUUUCCCCUUUUUAAUCAUAUUUAAAAUAAAGUUACAAAUUUACUUUUUAUUAAGAUAGAAUAUAAAAUUUAUGAAAAAUAAUUUAUUUACUCAUAAAUUACAUUUAUUUUAAUAAAAAUUAUUAUUAUUUUUUAAAAAAAAAGCAAAAACAAAAGGUGAAUUGAAGUAGUAAAGCUCGUUCGAAAAAGAAAAUAAAGAGGAAAAUUAGAAAAUAAUAAUAAUAAUAAUAUAAAAUAAAUUUAAAAUUCAUAAUUUAUUUUUAUAUUUUAUUUAAAUCUUAUUUUAUUUAUAAAGAUUAAAUGAAUCUAAAAAUACAUAAACUUUUAAUUAAUUUUAAUUAUAUAUAACUUAAAGUAAAACUAAAUAUUUCAUUAACAUUUUUUCGUAAUACUUGAACAAUCAAACAUAACUUAAAGCACUAAAAAAGUAUUUAUAAAAAAUUUCAGUUUGAUUGUGAUAAAUGUUAAAUUAUUAAUUUUCUUAAAAGUUUAAACUUAUAAGAUUUGAGUUAGCCCCCUCCCUAACAUACGAUCUCAUUUCAUAUAAUUGCAAAUGACAAGACGGGAGAUAUACCAAAGAAUUGUUAAAAAAGAGAAUAGAUAUCAGAUGAAGAAACAAAUAUGAAAAUUAUGGAGUAGUUCAAACUACAACUCCUCUCCAAACCAAACUAUAUUGAUAUAUCAAUUUUUCUAAAUAUUUAAACUUAUAGGAUUUGAGUUCAAUAUACAUAUCAUGUUUUACGAUGAUAUAAAUAAUAAAAAUAAAGUAUAAAAAAUAAAUUUAAAUAAUAAGAUUAAGAUAUAAAAGAAUAAAACUAAGCUCGAACCUAACAUAAAUUAAUGAAACCUUAAUAUAAAUGUGGUAGGAUUUGAUCCAUGGUGUUUGUCUUUUAGGUACUGACCCAUCAACACUAAAACCAGAUUUAUAUUAAUUUAAUGAGAUCGUGGAUUCAGGGUAGAAUGGGACAGGGAAAGAGUCAUGUGAAGAUGAACCUUCGGCAUAUAAUCUUUUAUUAAUUUAAUAGAAAGUUUUGAGUGUACAAGUCCGAACUACCAACUGUUGUUUGAAAAUGGUGUCUUUGGACACAGGUGGAUCCGAUCAAAUUGCGGGACGGAUGGAGCAUCCGGUGAGGGUUUUUAGAUAUGAAAGUCCCAUCAAAUGUCUCUGAUGCAGCCAGUAAAUUAACUUUGGAAGUAACUUCCCUCUUAAAGAAAAGAAUAUGAUAAUAUUAAUGGUUGAAAAGAUCUGGCCAAUGGGUGUCUUCCACGUUGCUGCAAUGAAUUUCACGUAAAUUGAUUGCCAUCUUUUCUAUUCGCGAAAGGUAAACAUGGACACGUGGUCACCGCCCUCUUGUUUUAUCUAGGAUUUGACAUUCAUACAAAUCAUGCGUACAAUCAUAAAAUUAUGCAAGUCAUGCAUAACUGUUUAAUUUAUUCAUUUUUAAAAUGAUUGUUGUUGUGCUGUCAAAACAUCUUCAUCCAUGGAUCACAGAUUGAUGCUUCUUCAUCAUAAUGUUAAAAGAUUACGAUUUUGAAUAUGUUUUUGAAGAUUUUCUGUAUUCAGAUUUAUAUAUAUAUAUUUAGAGUGUUAUUAGAAAGAUUAUUUAUCAAGUAUUUUUUUUAUAUUAUUAGUUAUUUUUUUCUUUUAAAAAAAAUAUUUUUUAUAUUAGAAAUAGUUUAUUAAAACAUUUCAUGGACUUUUAUUUUAACGUGGUUUUUCAUUUACGUGAUUGGUUUCUUGGACGUUUUUCUUUUAAAAGAUAAAUUUUAAGUUGUGUUCGUAAGUACGUCAAAAUUCCACUUGUUUUUCUUCUCUCGAAUGUUCAUAGAUAUUUAUAUUUUGUCAAGCCUUUAUAUGUCAUCCUCUAAUUGGCCUGAUUAAUAAUUAUUUAUAAUUGAAAAUAAGUGUUUGAACUUAGACGAUCGUACUAGUGUUAAUACGACAAUUAUAAGUGUUUGUUCAAAUGGGUGCUUUAAGAAAACGUUAGCUCGGUCAUCAUGAGUGUAGAUAUAUCUAGAUGAGUGGUUGUUAGAUUAGGGAGCAAGUGUGAAUUUGCUACCAUACUCUAUCUACAAGAAAUUGGGACUUGGUGAAUUGAAGCCAACAUCAAUCACUCUAUCUCUAGCAGAUAGAUCAGUGAAAAUUCCAAGGGGGAUAAUUGAAGAUGUCUUAGUUCAAGUUGAUAAUUCCUAUUAUCGAGUAGACUUUGUUGUUCUUGACACAUACCUAAUUGUCAAGGAAACGAAUUAUGUUCCUAUCAUCCUUGGAAGGCCAUUCCUUGCUACGUCAAAUGCAAUCAUAAAUUGUAGGAAUGGACUUAUGCAACUCACGUUUGGCAACAUGAAACUGGAGCUCAAUAUCUUCUAUAUGUCCAAAAAGCUAAUCACUCUGAAAGAAGAAGAAGGUCCAGAAGAAGUGUGCAUUAUUGACACUCUAGUGGAGGAGCAUUGUAAUAAGAAAAUGCAAGACAAGUUGAAUGAAAGUCUUGGGGAUCUUGAAGAAGGGUUGCCUGAACCCUUUGAUAUGCUUGCUACUUUACAAGGUUGGAGAAGGAUAAAAGAGAUUCUACCUUUGUUCAAUAAAGAGGAGGCACAAGAAGCUGCUAAAGAGGAGACCCCAAAGCUCAAUCUGAAACCUCUACCCACGGAGUUGAAAUAUACAUACCUGGAAGAAAAUUAAAAGUGCCCUGUUGUUAUGUCUUCAUCUCUUACUACUCCUCAGGAGAUGUCUCUACUUGAAGUUCUCAAGAGGUGUAAGAAAGCAAUAGGAUGACAAAUAUCUGACUUGAAAGGCAUCAGUCCUUUGGUCUGUACACAUCAUUUAUACAUGGAAGAAGAAGCUAAACUAAUUCGUCAACCUCAAAGAAGAUUGAAUCCUCAUUUGCAAGAGGUGGUGCGAGCUGAGGUUCUGAAGCUAUUUCAAGCAAGUAUUAUUUACCCCAUAUUUGAUAGCCCUUGGGUAAGUCCUACUCAAGUAGUCCCAAAGAAGUCAGGGAUCACGGUGGUUCAAAAUGAAAAGGGAGAAGAAGUUGCUACACGCCUCACUUCAGGUUGGAGGGUGUGUAUUGAUUAUAGAAAAUUGAAUGCUGUGACAAGGAAUGAUCAUUUUCCGUUGCCAUUUAUUGAUCAAGUGUUGGAGAGAGUCUCUGGCCACCCUUUCUAUUGUUUCUUGGACGGCUACUCCGGGUAUUUUCAAAUUGAAAUUGAUGUUGAAGAUCAGGAGAAUACCACUUUCACAUGUCCAUUUGGAACAUAUGCCUACAGAAGAAUGCCUUUUAGUUUAUGUAAUGCACCUGCAACAUUCCAACGAUGUAUGCUAAGUAUCUUCAGUGAUAUGGUGGAGCGAAUUAUGGAGUUUUUCAUGGAUGACAUCACCAUAUAUGGAGGUACAUUUGAAGAAUGCUUAGUCAACUUGGAAGCGGUUAUGAACAGAUGCAUUGAAAAGGACUUGGUGCUCAAUUGGGAGAAAUGUCAUUUUAUGGUACAACAAGAAAUUGUCUUUGACCAUAUCAUCUCCGAGAAAGGCAUUGAAGUUGAUAAAGCAAAGGUGGAACUUAUUGUCAAAUUGCCAUCCCCAACAACUGUAAAAGGAGUAAGGCAAUUCCUUGGCCAUGCAGGGUUCUAUAGGAGGUUUGUAAAAUAUUUCUCUAAGUUUUCAAAGCCUCUUUGUGAACUUUUGGCUAAGGAUGCUAAGUUUGUAUGGGAUGAGAGAUGUCAAAAGAGUUUUGAUCAACUGAAGUAAUUCUUGACAACGGAUCCAAUAGUGAGGGCUCCCAACUGGCAACUACCCUUUAAAGUGAUGUGUGAUGCUAGUGACUUUGCUAUAGGAGCUGUGCUUGGCCAAAGAGAAGAUGGAAAGCCCUAUGUGAUCUACUAUGCAAGCAAGACAUUAAACGAAGCAAAAAGGAACUACACAACCACAAAGAAAGAAUUGUUAGCUGUAGUGUUUGCCUUAGACAAGUUUCGUGCUUAUCUAGUAGGGUCUUUCAUCAUUGUUUUCACUGACCAUUCAGCCUUGAAGUAUUUAUUGACAAAGCAAGAUGCAAAAGCAAGGUUGGUUAGAUGGAUUCUCUUACUACAAGAGUUCAAUCUCCAAAUCAGAGAUAAGAAAGGAGUGGAGAAUGUGGUAGCUGACCACCUUUCAAGGUUGGCUAUAGCACACAAUUCCCAUGUCUUACCUAUUAAUGAUGACUUUCCAGAGGAAUCACUUAUGUUGCUAGAAAAAACUCCUUGGUAUGCUCAUAUUGCUAACUAUAUAGUUACUGGUGAAGUUCCAAGAGAGUGGAAAGCACAAGACAGGAAGCAUUUUUUUGCAAAGAUUCAUGCCUAUUAUUGGGAAGAGCCUUUUCUUUUCAAGUAUUGUGCAGAUCAAAUAAUAAGAAAGUGUGUCCCUGAAGAAGAGCAAUAAGGAAUCCUCAGCCAUUGCCAUGAGAGUGCAUGUAGAGGCCACUUUUCCUCCUAGAAAACAACCAUGAAGGUGUUGUAAUCAGAGUUUAGUUGGACAUCACUCUUCAAAGAUGCCCACACCAUGUGUAGGAGCUGUGAUAGAUGCCAAAGGCUUAGGAAGCUAACAAGAAGAAAUCAAAUGCCUAUGAACCCCAUUCUAAUAGUUGAUCUCUUUGAUGUUUGGGGCAUAGACUUCAUGAGACCUUUCCCAAUGUCUUUUAGUAACUCUUAUAUCUUGGUGAGGGUGGACUAUGUUUCUAAAUGGGUUGAGACAAUCCCUUGUAAACACAAUGAUCACAGGGUGGUUCUCAAGUUUCUUAAAGAGAACAUUUUCUCAAGAUUUGGGGUGCCCAAGGCUAUAACCAGUGAUGGAGGUACUCAUUUUUGCAACAAACCUUUUGAAACCCUAUUAGCCAAGUAUGGGGUGAAGCAUAAGGUAGCUACACCUUAUCACCCUCAGACUUCCGGGCAAAUUGAGCUAGCAAACAGGGAAAUCAAGAACAUAUUGAUGAAGGUGAUGAACAUGAGCAGAAGAGAUUGAUCUAUUAAGCUCCAUGAUUCACUAUGGGCAUAUAGAACAACUUACAAGACUAUUCUUGACAUGUCUCCUUAUCGCCUAGUUUAUGGCAAAGCAUGCCAUCUUCCUGUGGAAGUUGAAUAUAAGGCUUGAUGGGCAAUCAAGAAGGUAAACAUGGACUUGAUCAAAACUGGGGCAAAGAGGUGUUUAGACCUUAAUGAGAUGGAGGAAUUAAGAAAUGAUGCCUACAUCAAUUCCAAAGUUUCAAAAUAGAGGAUGAAGAGGUGGCAUGAUCAGUUAAUCUCCAACAAGGAAUUCCAGGAAGGACAAAGAGUCUUACUCUAUGACUCAAGGCUCCAUAUCUUUCCUGGGAAGUUGAAGUCAAGGUGGAUAGGCCCUUUCAUUAUUCACCAAGUGCAUCUCAAUGGAGUGGUGGAAUUACUGAAUUCCAACAGCACUGACACCUUUAAAGUCAAUGGCCAUCGUCUCAAACCAUUCAUCGAGCCAUUCAAGAGAGAUAAGGAGGAAAUCAACCUCCUUGAGCCACAGAAAUCCUAAUCAAAUAGGGGUUAGAUGGACUUGGUCUCACCAAAGUCCAUAUUUUUUGUUUAAUUUUGUUAAUUUAAUAGCUUUAUUAAUUGUUUUGAUUUUGAUCUUAGUCUUAAUUUAUGUUAUUUGUAUAUAACUUAGACUUUUUGAAUGAUCUAAUUGAGGAGGACUUGCAAAAGAGGUGAAGGAAGGUCUCAAAGAGCUAAAAGGAGCUUAGAAGUAAGAAAUUUCAGUUGUUUGCGAAAUUUCGCAGCCCAAAAUAGAUUCCUGCGAAAACGGCCAUCCUUUGCAAAAUAAUUUCGCAGCCACAAGGUGCCCGCUUCGAAAUUAAGGGUUUGCUGCGAAAUAGGCCCUCCUCUGUGAAACCAUUUCGCAGCCCCAUAGCCACACCUUGCGAAAAUUUUCGCAACUGCGAAACCCACCUUUGGCACACAAGUUCCAUUUCGCAGCUACGAAAACCUCUUCGAAACCACCAAGGCCCUCAAAAGCUCAUUUUCGCAGCCCAAGCCUCAUUUCGCAGUUGCGAAAACCCCUGCGAAACCCCUUUGGCACAUGAGUGCCAUUUCGCAGCCCCUCUCUUUUCGCAGCUACGAAAUGGGCUGCGAAAAUGGCCAUUGGCUGCGAAAAGGGGACUUCGCUGCGAAAUAACCCCUCAUCUGCGAAAAAUUCCAACCAUCACUUGGCUUCUAAUUUAACUUUUUAAAUUCCAAAUUUUCACUUUACACCGGUCAUUUGCCUUGUGAAAACCUCCAUUUGGUGCAAAAUAGAGGCCAAGCCAGAGUACCAUUUCUAGAGGACCUCCGUCUGAGCCCAAGCCGCGCGCAUCUCUGGCCACCCUCUCUCAAACCUCUCUAAAUCAGCCAUGGAAAAAACCCGAUGAGCCAAGACCUCAUCUCCUUCAGGCCGCCCCAGAGCACUGAGAGUGGCCCCUGUGUAAGGCUCCAUGACUAAGCCUUCACAGCCACUUGUCGUCCCACCUUCAGUAGAGGACGCACCAUUGAGUUCUCCUUCGAGGCGAUAUGAGACGAGAAAACCACCCACCACACCAGGGGCAAGCUCCUCUCUUGCCAAAAAGUCAAGUAGCCGUCCUCCUAAGAAGAAAGCAAGGAUAUCAGCUCUACUUGAGCCAUCAGAGCCUUCAUCCGAGCCUCAGCCACCUUAGCCACCUGCCAUAAAGUCUCAGAUUCCCUCUAGGAUGACUCCUGAGGUGGUUAUCAGGUGGCCCAUGGUCACUCAGUCACCCAUUGAGGGUAAUUUGGAUUGUCGGGCUAGGCCAUUCCACUCCGAGCUUUGCUUUGACAAAACUACCUUCAGGCUUCAGCCAGAGCUCAGAGAUUCCUUCCAUCUACUACAGAGAUACCAUAUGGAGUACCUGAUGACUCCUAGGGAUUUCUUCUAUCCCCGUGUAGCAUUAGACUUUUAUCAGUCUAUGACUACAUAUCGCGUUCGGGAUCCUACUGUCAUCCACUUCACCAUUUACGGACGCCAUGGUAUCCUGGGAACCAGACAUAUAGCAGAGGCCCUACGCAUUCCCUACGAGCCAGCACGUCCAGAGUGACAUGGUCCAUAUACUGUCCAGAGGAGCAUCCACACGUCCAUAUCUGUUGAGAAAGGAGCUCCCUCCCAGCAUGUUCUUUAUAGAUGCACUUCUGCGCUAUAACAUCUAUCCACUUCAGCAUAUGGUGCAGAGGAGAGGAACUUUGCUAAAGGUCUUAUUCAGGAUAUCAAAGGGAUUUUUCUUUGGCCCUCAUCAUCUCAUUAUGACCGCUUUUAUGUACUUUGAAAAGAAGGUCCAUAGGAAGAAGCUACUGAGAGAGGAUGUCAUUCCACUUCUAUUCCUGAGAUUGCUCUAUCAGAUUUUGGAGCACUUGGGAUAUCCAUCUGAGCCUCAGCUUGAGCGCAGACACAUUUGUUGAGAGAUAUUCACUCUCGACAAAUGGACUAGUAUGACAACUUAUGAUGUAGAGCCAGGAGCCCCAGCUGGACCAGAGCAUCCAGAGAUUCCACAUCCAUAGCAUUUAGAGGAGCCACAACUAGUUGAAAUACUUGCUGACAUGAGAGCACCUGCCUUUGAAGUGCCCUCUACAAGACUUAUGCUUGAGGUUGCACCCUCUGCUCCUCCUGCCACACCAGGGACUCUACCAGUUGUACCAACUACAUCAGAGCCUCCUUCUCCAUCUGAGUCUAGGAUAGCCAUAUCCAUUUCCGAGUUCAGAGGCCUAUGUCACACUUUGCAGACAUUGAUCACUUCUCAAAGCAUCCUGACUCAACAAAUGACAGCCAUACGUGCCCAUCAGGAUCAGCUUAUCGCCACCUAUACCCAGCAUACUGCCAUCCUUAGGCAGAUACAGCAGCAUCUGGGAGGUACCACUUUCUCUCUGUAAUUUCAAUCGCUCUUGCCACAUUGAGGACAAUGUUUAGCUUGGUUGGGGGGAAGAGAGUUGAGGAAGGAAGUUUUUAUUUUAAAUGCUAAGUUAUUUUGGUAAUUUAGUUGUUAAUGCUUAAUUUAAAAAAAAAAAUUAUAGUUUUUAUUCUACUCUCCAUGGUUAUUAAGGAAAAAUUCUCAAAAUAAAAUGAGAGAAAUUGAAUUUUUGUUUUUCACUUGACUUAGAGUUUGUAUUAUGCUUACUAAAGUUGAUAAAUUGUUGAAACUUCUAUUGAAUUCAACCUUAGUUCUUCCACUUUAAGCUAUUCACACAUUGUGCACAAUAGGUUCCGAGUAUAAGAUGAAAAACUAUUUCCCUCUUGACUUAGGAAAAUUUUAGACUUGGUACCUUUGACCUCAAUUAAUAGUGUUGGGACACCUUAUAAAAGGCCAAUGAGCCUUUGGAAAAAAAAGAAAAAAGAAAAAUGUUUGCUUACCUUGAAACUUGAGCAAGGUCUGAAGGAUAUAUGGUGAAAAUCUUUAAAACCUGGUGCCCUAAGCCUUAAUUGGUUGGAAGUCACCGACCUCAAUGCUCGUUACAAGGGUGAAUAGGUGGAGUUUAACAUACUGUAGGUGCUUGGGUAUUAAAAAUUCAUUCUCAAAAGUCUGGGAUAAAAUCCGAGGAGUUAGUGGUUGAAAGAUCCUUAAAGCUUGAUGCCCUAAGCCUUAAUUGGUUGGGAGUCAUCGAUGGACCCCCAUUACAUGGAAAAUUUAGAAAAGGAUACCUUUAAGCCUUGUACUCCUACAAUGAAAAAAAUUGUGAAACAAAAGGGUGCGUUCUUAGCCUAUUGAAUUUUGUCAGUUUGCUAAGUGUUGAAAAAAAACUAGGUUGGGGGGAGAGAUUAGUUUAGCAUACUAUAUUCAGAAACUAUCAAGUAACACUUAGAUUUUUGUGGAAGAGUAAGGAUUGGACCUUUGAAAGUGGAAACAAUUUUAAAGCUUCAAUUUGCAUAAUGUCUUCUCUUUAUGAAUUGUGAUUAGGCAAGGUAUUUGAUAACUCUUGUUGAAAUUUGAGUUUUAUAUCUUUAAUGUUCCAUGUGAGAGUUAGAUCAUCAUGCCACUUAAAAUUUUUUUGAAGUGAUCAGUAUGAUUUUGUAAAUUAUAUUACUGUUUAUUUUACUUUUUCUCCCCUUCAUUGCUAAGGGACUAGCAAUAUGUCGGUUGUGGGGAGUGAUUACUACUCAAAAAGUGUUAUUUUGUAGCUUGUAAUUAACUCUUUUAAACAUUUUUGAGUAGUAGUUAUUACCUUUUAACUCAAUUGGCAUGUUAAGGACCCUUGUAAUCGUUUUUAAUCAAAUUGUGUUAAGUUUUGGUGUUUUUGAUAGUAUUUUGAUCACCAAAGCAAUCCAAGAUUGAGGAGAUUUAUAUAGAAUCCAUGUCAAAUCAAUUGGAAGCUCAUUUACAUGAAGAAUCCAAGCUUUGAAGCUUCAUAGUCAUUUGCCAAAAGCAAAUCAUGAAUACAAGGAGGGAAAGAAAAGAGAAAAAUCUAACAUGAAGAAUUCAAGAGGAUAGCAAUUGUUGGACAUAUUUAGAGCACUUUCUGGAGUCCAUUUCAUGCAUACUAUAUGUCGUUUGGAAGCUCAGGAAGUCAGGAAUCCAGGCUUUAAACAAUACACAAAUCGGAGUUGAAAUGAAAAAGUUAUAGCCAUUGGAAGCCAAUCAUACCAAGUUGAAGGCCAAUUUCGCAGCUGCGAAAUCACAAGGUGCUCGCUGCGAAAUCAACAUUUGGCUGCAAAAUGAAGACCUUCAGCUUGCGAAAUUUCACAGCCCAUCUUGCAUGCCUACGAAAUCCACCUGAGUGCUUCCAGAUAUUUGCGACCGACUCUUUUAGAUUUUUUCUUCAGAUAUUUGUUGUUUAAAUCCCCAUUUUCUCCUUGUAAUCUACCAAUCAUAGGAUUCCUUAGUUAAUAAGUAAGAACAAAGGGUGAAUAACCUCAUAUAUAUAGUUUGUAAUUUUCUUUACAAAAUCAUCUUGGGAGCUUGUUCUCAGAGACAACCGUUUGUAUAGUUUUGAAGGAAGUAAUAAACAGAGCUUUGCUCUGCCUUACAUACUCACUUUGAUUGUAUUUUUCUUAUUAGUCAAACAAGCUAUAAGGAUGUUUUCUCAGAGAAUGAGUGGCUAGACUUUUUGUCUCUUGGAGUUAAGGGAGCUGGGUAAGGUGCCGAAUGCAAGAAUUGGAAGUUUUGUUGUUUCAGCUUUUAAUGAAGAGAAAGUGUGACCCGUUAAUGGUUUUUAUCUUUUUAGUUAACUUAAAACGCCGUUAAAUCACCUGGGCCAACACUUGGUAAGGCAAGUGAUCUCCGUCCAUUGAGAUGCACUAGUUUAUCUCUUGCGAGCCUUUGAGAGGUGGUUUAAAGGUAGGAUUUUCUAGAAUAGCCAACACUUGGUAAACUUUUGGACUCUAAGGAGACAUUCAUUAGUUAUUUCUUGCGAGCUUAAGAAGGGAAAUCCAAGGUUAAGGAUCACCUUGAAUGGCUAAUACUAGGUGAGAGGUAUGAACCAUUGCAAGAUGAAUCAGUGAGAGGGAUUUAGUGUUGGAAUCCAUAAAAGGAAAGCAUCUGUACCACACCGGUUAGAGAAAUAACUAUAUGUUAAUUCUCCAAUGCGAGAAAAAGAUUCAAGUGACCGAAACUCUGUUUUUGUAUUAGGAACCUGACCCUAGUGAUCCUAAAACUCCAAGAAACGCUUUUCUUUAUUAGUAAUUUCAGUUACUAUUAUUUUUGGUUAGCUUAAAACCAAUCCUUUUUCAACCAAAGAUUAUGUUUUCUUUUAAAGCUAACCUUGAAAUGAAAAAACAUCAAUUCAACUUUGAAUUUAUGUCAAUAGUAAGUUGAAAACCCUUCCCAGUGAACGAUCUUAGAGCCACUAUGCUAUACUAGCUGAGGCUAUCCUAGUACAUGGUGAUAUAGGUUAUAAAUUUUGUUGAUUACUCCUGUCUGAGGACCAAAAUCAAGGUACACCAGCUAGGCACGAAAAUCAUAUGGUAUAUUGAUGCACACAGUUUGUGGCACGACAGUUUGAUGAAAUUAUAGAAGUGUAGCACUCAUGGGCAUAUCAUGUGAACCUUAUUCAAUGUGGCAUUGACAGUUGGUUUAUAUUUACAUGGGUGUAAUGUCGCACCAGUAUCCUCUAAUGAACCUUGGAUUCUUUUUUCUUUGUUUCUUCCUCUCUUGGUCAAGCCAAACAAUUUAUCUUCAUGACUUUCUCCUAUUACCAAAAAGCAGCAUCUUGUGUUCUCCAUCUCUUCAUCCCUUUGUCAAGACACAACAAUUUGAUGCAUCUUUGCAUUAGGUUGCUUUCUCUCCUUCCCCUCUUCUUUCUCCUCGUCUCAUUGCUUAGUUUUGGCUACUUUGUUUCUUUUGAUCAUUAUGGUAGAGCAUCCUUGCAAGAUGUACAAGAAAUAUGUUGUGGUGCAUUAUCCCCUUCUCUACCACUUGAAAUCUGUUUUCCAUGAUCAUUAAUACCAAGAUGUUUAAGCAUCAAGUAAGGCAUCUCUUGACAAUUAUGCGAGAAAUAAGAGACAAGCAACAUACCGGUAUUCAAGAGAAGUGAUGUUCUACAUUUGCAUUUGACAACAUGCAUUUAGUUUGAACUCCAAAUUUGGGCAACUCAGAAUCUCCACCUUCAUUAGGAUUGUAGAAAGUUAGCUUCUUGGAAAAAUGUGGAAAUGAGGCAUUUAGAAAUCUGAAAGAAUCACAAUGGCUUGUUGCUACUUUUGAAUAAUUCCAAUCAGUAACAACUCCAAAGAUAUAUAUAUAUAAAUCUGUCCCUGGGAAAGAGAUCGAUGUUUCUUAGGCAUGCAACCAUCUCUCUUAACAAACUCAGGGUUCUACUAUUGUGUCACGUUUGAAAGCAAUUUAAUCUAUGUUAGAAGUUUUUUUUUAAUUUAUUCCAUUUUUCUUUUAGUUUUGAAACUUACAAUUAUACAUUGUAAGGUUUCAAGUUUAUCUAGAGAUAUAAAAAGUUGGAGUCGAUGUCUUAGUGGUAGGUUUCAUAAGAAAUGUAGUUAUUCUAUGAAUAUAACUUUGGAUUCUAAUUUUUUAACUUUCUAAUAUUGUAGCUCUUUAGUAGGUCUCAUAGAAAAUGAAAGUUGUGGAAAAGUAUAAUAUGGACUCAAUUUUUUAUUUAUGAGGUGUUGUUACAACACCAUUAAGUAAUUACCUUGAAAAUGAUAUGUUGUUGCAUUGAAAGUAAUAUUAAAUUUAAUGGAGAGAUAUCUAAAUAAAAAUAUCACCUAAUUUUUAAAACAAUAUUAUGAUCUUACUAUUAUGUCAUGCUAGAAAACAAUUUAGUUAUUUUGUGUUAGCAUUUUUUUUAUACAUUAUAUUUUUCUUUUUGUUUUGAAGCUUGCAAUUGCAAAUUGUAAGGUUUCAAGUUCAUUCGAAAAUAUGAAUAGUCGAAGUCAAUGUCUCAGUGAUAGCCAGUAGGUUUCAUAAGAAAAGGAAUUAUUCUAUGAAUAUACCUUUGUGUGGACCCCGCAUUUCGGCUCAAUGCGUUUCCCACUUGAAUGACGAACUCGAUUUUUAUUUGAAAAAUGAUUUUUAUUGAUUAUUUAAAAAUGACUUGGAGUCACCACUUAUUUUUGUUUUAUUUUUAACAGGGUAAACAAAAUAAGAAAGAAAACCCUAAGUGCGACUCCUUAUUUUGGAAAAGGUGAUCUACGAAAAACUGGAUCAGGUUCGGGGGUCAGGUUACUUAUCGGGAAGGUACGGUAAAGACCGUAGUACCCCUCUAAGUCCCUAAGUCAGGUCUCUACUAAUGAGAUGAAGUUGACAUGACAAUCAAUGGGAAAAUCAAUAAAUACUCGAAUCAAUCAGGCACAUAUGAGAGUCAGAGAAUGCAUAUAAACUAACCAGAGUGGGAAUGAGUGUGUACCUGAGCAGCGAGCCACUAUGCGCUAUCAAGAGAGAGGGUUAGUGCAAAACAAAGAGCAUAAACAUAGCUCACAUGUCACUAAAUCGAGUACAAAAUCAUCAAAGGCAUGCAUGGCACUUCACUCAAAAUUCAUUUUUAUUUUAAAGAAAAUUUAUUUGAUGUUGGGCCCCCACCAAAGCCCAUUUAUUUUGCAUGAACCAAAUAUGUAAAUUCCAUAACUAGGAAUUACAAAAUUUGAUUUUUGCGUAUUUUAAAAUAUUUUUAAAAACAAAGAAAAUUCAAAAGUGGCUUGCAGGAAAGAAAAUGACAACCAAUUUUAUAUAAAUAAAAAAAAACGGAAUUUUUCGGAACCUAAAAAAAAUGCUAAGGGUAAAAAUGAGAGAAUUGAAAUCCGGAAAUUUAUUUGAAGAAUAUUAUUUGGGAAGAGAAACACUUUAAAAAUUAAAGAUGGUGAACCUGAGGGUGACACACGGCCUAGAGUGACCAUUCAGACCAUGCAAGGGUGGAUAUAGGCUGUCAUUAAGGAGAAAGAUCCUCAGCUGGGUGCAAUUGUGUUGAGAUUCCUCUAUUGACGCUGGGAAUGCCCUCAUUUAAUGAGGAGAAAUCUCAAUGUGAAGUCAGCUCAUCUUCAGUGGAAACACAUCAUGAAGACCUCUGGUAGCUUAGGGUCCUUUUAACUGUGCGCUUUCUGAAGUUCCAAUCAUCAUCGAAUGACCAAUAAAGCUCUCCUCCAUGGAUGCAUAAAGUGGUCAUUCAACAUCCACCUUCACCUUAGCCCCACAGCAACCCUUCAUCUCCUAUGCCUCCAUCUUUACUUUUCUUGAACAGCAUGUACCUCCCUACUGCAACCCAGCACUACCAAGCUUUGAUCCUCUCUCCAAAAACUCAGAGUUCUCCUUCCAAACCUCUCCAUUUGCAUACACCUCCUUCUCCCAUAUCGGAACUGGUGCCUUAAUUUCAUCAAUCACAAACUUACAAGCGUCCAAUGCAUCUGCGCGGUGGACAGAAGAGAUUGCAAUGAAGACGCUGGUUUCCCCCACUGGAACUGGGCCCAAGCGGUGCGCAACUGCAAUGGAGAGGAGGCUCCAGGAUGCGCGGGCGGAUGAACAAAUGUCGUUGAUGCAGAGGAUGGCCAUCGGAACAUAAGCUUCACAUCUCAACUCCAGAACUGUUUUACCAUCAAACGUGUCCCGAGUCGUGCCUGGAAAGUUGCUACAGCGCCUGCCUUGCUCCUCAAAGAAGCAGAUCCAGCAAGUAUUGCUCCUUUCCUUGGAUACAUGUUGAAGACUCUAGCACAUUCAGUGCUUGUUAUCCGGACAUAAUCAAUGACUGAGACUUGGCCAAACCCCACCAUUGUGUCUCAAACUAGAUGCAUCCUCUCCUCAAUACCAUUAACACCAUUAGGAAUUGUUCGGAAAUCAUUAAUUCCAAAAGCUUUCUGUGUGGAAUUGAAGGCACAAUGAUCAGUCCCUACAAGCUGUAGAUUUCCAGUUGAAAGAGCAGCUUGAAGGGCCUUGUCAUGUCCCGAUGCUCUAAUAGGGGGACUCAUUACAUACUUUGCUGCGUUGAUGAAGUCAAGAUCCUAGAGCCCAGAAUCAUCAGGGACUAACCCAGGAACUACUGGCUCUCCCAUAACCCUCUGUCCUGAUUUUCGAGCUUCAGCUAUUUCUUUCAUCGCAUCAAUGCCCAUCACAUGAACUACAUAGAGAGGCGUGUUAGCAAAACUGGCCCACCGAAUAGCUCUAGCAGUUGCCUAGCAGUGGUUGCUUUGGAUGCAUCCCGGAGGGAUUAUCACGACAAAAAAGAGAACACGUGGCAGUUAUAUUGGGUGAGUCAGAAGUUCCAUGGCUUGAAGCUGCAACUGGGUGGAAGAUUUGAUCUGACACAAGUGCAUUUCAUACAGAAGCAGGAGGUGGCGUGGCUUGUAUGCUAGAAGACACCAUGUGCCCCUACAUAUUCUGACGCAACCUGGAGAUCCUCACUGGACAAAACUGCUUCAAUCCCAGUGAGAGGCAAGUCCGUCGCCCCUUCUUGAAAUUUAGUCAUGUCCUUGUAUCGACUAGCAAGGUGCUGCCUAACUGUAUCUGUUGAAAGCUAAACUGCCUCAGCCAUCAAAUAACUAGAAGGAAGCUCUAGAUAUAGAGCAAUGCAGAUUCAAGUGCUGUGGAUGAGUUCCUCGAGAGUCUACCACAACGCCACAUACAUGAAGCAACCUCAAGUUUAUCAACAGUCAUCAGCAUAUUUCAGCAAACCAAGAGCUGUACUUGUAGAUAGGGUAUUGACACACACGAAAUUCAAGAAUUCCACGAGAGCAGCUUCCUUAGAGGCGUCAAUUCAUAAAGUCACAUGCUUCUGCUCUGACUCCCAUAAAUUCUCGCUUUUUUUAUUCAUCAGAUAUAUGUGAAUAACGUACCUAGGGCCACCCGAUGAGCUGCUAUAGUUGCUGUUAUAGAUGAUAUGACAUUUGACGUUUAUGGGCCUCGGAGACUUGAGUACUUAGCUUUCACCAUACUUCGCGAAUCCUCAUCACUUGAGAACCUCUCAUCAUCAACCUUGCCUUUGGGAAGAUGACCUCCAGUGCAUGCAAGGCGGGGGGAUAAAUAAGAGAGGUGGUACGAUAGGAUGAGUUUAGUGGGAUGAAGAGAGAGAGAAGGUGGCGGGAUGAAAUGGGCAGUGAGUAUGGAUGUCGCAGCUGAGUUUGGUACCCAGAUGGACUAAGUUGGCAGUGAGGUGGUGACGGCGGAGGCGUUUCGCCGCCGGCGGCUUCGUUCGAGGACAACUUCUCAAUUCCUCAAUCAACCCACUUUAAAGCAUCAAGAGUAAUGGAGCACUUGUCUUCUUGAUCCCAACACACAAUAUCCCAGUGACAAUGAAAACCAGAAUUGUUGUGCAUGGAUUAACCACAAUACCAAGCCAAGAACAGGUAGCUUAUCCUCGCCUCCAAAAAUAAAGCCAGAUUCAGAAAUAUGUCACGAGCAACAACUGAGCUAUCAAUUAUGUAUUCCAAUAUUAAUGCCCAACCAAUCAACCAAGCGAUGCCUUCUCCCACACCUAUGUACAAAUAAUGAUAGGCUCUACCAACAGAUGAACAAUGUCAUGCAAGCCCUGCACAACAAAAAUGUGGAGAGCACAGCAGCCGAGAAUACUUCCUUUGUACCCUUCAGCUCAUUUUCUGCUUGAACAAUUCCUCCUCCUCUCAUCCUCAGAUGAUCUCUCUUCUUUCAAAGGUAUCUCUUCUCUCAAAAUCCAUAUAAUUAACAAGAUCCAGGAACAGGGGUGGCCUCAACCAUUAAAAAAAUGCAUGAAAACAGGGCACAAAGGGAAACAAAUAAAAAGGUCCUCAAAGAAGGCUUCACAUCAUGAGUUUUCCGGGAACCUUCUCGGGUUAGGGUGAGGAAUACAGUAUCGAAUGCAAAUAAAUGACAGGACUCUUGGAUAUUUCACAAUCAGAGACAAAGCAUACCAAGGCUAACAAUAUGAAUCCAAGACUAUAUCUCAACAAGGAAUAGGUGGCCUUCAUUAUCCACCUCAAGCAAGACAACUAACACUCAAAUAUCAAUAAAAAAACGGGUAGGAAUAAUAAGAAUGUGAAUCAAACCAUAUAUCAGUUGCAUCCAUACCUGAAAAUGCCCUUCUGCAGUAGGGUCUUGUUAGCCUCCCCAGCUCCAGGAAAGGCUCCUCCUCCCUCCCAAGCUCUCUGUUCUCUCUGGAAAACUCUCACUCUCUGGUUCUUUCUCUCUCAAGUUCCCCUUUUCUCAAGUUCACCGUCCCCCCAGAAACUCUCCUCUCUCUAAAAAAAAAACUCCCUCUCUCAUAAUCUCCUCCUGCUGAAAAGGCACCCCCCCUGUUCCUCUAGCUGGCCUGCUGCUCCUCAACAGAAACGUACCUCCUCUCUAACGGCCAGAAUAUCUCCAUGCCACGUGUCAAACUCUCACUCGCUCCUCAAUUCCACCAUCUGUUUCUAUGACCACCAACCACGAGGCGACACGUGGCUCCUUGAGAGCCCUCCACCUGCAAAGAAUUAUAACCUGUAGAGAUGCAAAGGAAUGAGCCCCAAAUGGGGUCUACACUUUGAAUUCCAAUUUUUGAACUUUCUAAUAUCUUAGUUCAUUAGUGGGUCCCAUAGAAAAUAAAAGUUGUGGAAAAGUAUAAUGUGGACUCAAUUUUGACUUAUGAAGUGAUGCUACAACACCUUCAAGUAAUUACAUUGAAAAUAAUAUUAAAUUUAAUGGAGAUAUAUCAAACAAAAUUAUCACCCAUUUUUAAAACAAUAUUAUGAUCUUGCUAUUGUUUUACGUUCAAAAGCAAUUUAAUUAUGUUGUGUCAGAAUUUUUUUUAUUUAUUAUUUUUUAUUCCAUUUUUCUUUUAGUUUUGAAGCCUGCAAUUGUAUAAUUUUUUAACUUUCUAAUACUAUAGCUCAUUGGUAGGUCUCAUAGAAAAUGAAAGUUAUGAAUAAGUAUAAUGUUGACUCAAGUUUUGAUUUAUGAGGUGAUGUUACAACAUUGUCAAGUAAUUACCUUGAAAAUAAUAGGUCAUUGCAUUGAAAGUAAUAUUAAAUUUAAUGGAGAGAUAUCUAAUAAAAAUAUCACCUAAUUUUUAAAAUAAUGUUAUGAUCUUAUUAUUGUGUCACGUCGGAAAGCAAUUUAAUUUAGCAUUUUUUAAUAUAUCCCAUUUUUCUUUUAGUGUUGAAGCUGGCAAUAUCUCAGUGGUAGCUAGUAGGUUUCAUAAGAAAAGAAAUUAUACUAUUAAUAUACCUUUGGAUUUCAAUUUUUGAACAUUUCUAAUGUCUUACUUCAUUAGUGCAUCUCAUAGAAAAUGAAAGUUACAAAGUAUAAUGUGGACUGAAUUUUUUACUUCCUUCAAGUAGUUACUUGAAAGUGAUAUAUUAUUGUAUUUUAAAAUAACAUUAAAUUUGAUGGAGAGAUAAUUAACAAAAUAUCACUCAUCUUUUAAAACAAUAUCAUUAUCAAGUUGGAAAGAAAUUUAUGUUGGUGUUAGAAUGUUUUUAUAAUUUAUUUAUUUAUUGUUUGCAGACGGUAAGGUUUCAAGUUCCUUUAAAAAUGUGAACAAUAAUUAAGAAUUAGAAAUUUUGAAACAUUAAAUGUAUGGUUAAAGCUAUGCUUAGAUGGUUGAAAUUGCUUUAAAAAAAAAAGUUCAAAUUUUAUUUGAUUAUCUUAAAAAAAUAUGAAAAAUAAAUAAAUAUAAUGAAAAUUGUUUAGAGUUUUAUAUUCUUUUUAAUAUUCGUCCUUUACAGAAAAGAUUAAAAUUAAACAAAUAAAUUUUUAUGAGUUUGUGAAAUAUAUUAAAACUAGAGUUUAUUUUUUGUUUUUUCUUUCCUUUCGUAAUUUUUCUUCCCAAUCUUUCCCACUUCGUCCAAACUUUCCAAGAUCUAAACUUUGUACAUGUUCUCUUCUUUUCAAUUAAAAAUUUUUAAAUUUUCAAAUUCAAAUUCCAAGACAAGCUAAUAAAACCCUAAAAUUAAUAUUAAAUACUAAGUGAAUUAAGUCAAGUUGGUAGCUAAAUUGAAUCUAAUCCGAAUUACUUAACCUAAACUCAAGUCAAACUCAUUUUUAUAAGCUGAAGUUAGGUUUAAAUUAACUAGGUUAUACUUUUGGUUCAAUUGAAUUGAUUAGACUCUAUGGAUCAGAAUUAGGGUUUGCAAGGUUGAGUUAGAUUGAACCUAUUCAUAAUUUUUUUUGUUUAACUUCUUUUAUAUCAUAAUUUAAAUAAUAAAUAUGAUAAAAUUAAUUAAAAAUAAUAACAAAAGAAAAGAAUCACCUUAGAAUCACUCUAAUUUCAAAUUGAGGUUUCCUAGCUACCUCAAAAUUUUAAAUUUAAAAAAAAAAAUAUUUUUAAGUGCAUAAACUAAAUCUAUAGUUUUUUUUGUAGGAGUUUUUAUAUUCCAUAUAAAAGUUUUUACAUAGAGACAAGUAAUAAAUAUAUCUUGUUUUUUCAAUAAGUUUAUGACCCUGAUCGGAUACAAACAUUAUAGUGGGAUGAAUGCAUCUUCACUAGAGUUAUGUCUUGACUCCUAACAUAAUUUUAGAAUUUUUAAGGAAAACGACAAGGAAACCUUAUGAUAAGUGCCUUUUAUUUAGGUAUGGUGGAUAAAGUGAUACCAUUUGUUAGUUGUUUUAUUUAUGUAUUUAUUUAUGGAUUUAAUUGAAUAUAAUUUGUGUUUGAUUCAAAUUUGUGAUGAUCUAUAUAAUUCAUUUAAUAAAUGAAUUGUUUUUUUGGUUAAUUUGCAUAAUACGACUCAAAUUGACUUAUUUAAUAAUUAUAUUAAUUGAUCAAAUUAUAUUUUUAACUUAUUUAACUCAUCUAAAAUUUGAUGUUUGAUAAGUCAUAAUUGAGUUAUAAACAUGUUAGGUUAAGACGUUAAUCAUAUAAUAUCAUACAAUAUUUAAUUUGAUUUUAUUAUUAAAUAUAAUGAAAAUUAUGAAAAUUUUCAUGGAUGAACUUCUCGUAGGAGAAAACUAUGAAAAAGAUAAAAAGUACUAGAGGUGGAAAAUAAGACUUUAGAAAAAAUUAUUAGUGUGAGAUAACAUACACCAACUUUAAAGUGUAGCAAUUAUUGUAUUUUGGACAACCAUGCUAAUGGGGUCAUGUUAUCUUCAUGCCGACUACAACUUUAAAAUUUAGCAAUUAUUGUACUUUCGAUAGCUAUGUUAAUGGGACCAUGUCAACCCCAUCCAACCCAUCUUGAUUACUUAAGUUAUACCCAUCCUAUACUAUUUAAAAUUUUCUAUAUCCUUUUUAUUAUUCUAAACCUUAAUUUUAUUAAAAUAAAUAUAAUUUAUGACUAAAUAAAUUGGUUUUCAUAAAUUUUACAUUUUUAUGUGAUAAAAAGUAAAUUUGUAAUUUUAUUUUAAACAUGUUCAAAAAGUGGAAAUGAAAAAAAAGAAAGAAAAAGAAAACUAAAGACUCGUUUUACUAUGAUUUUUGAAAAUUAUUUUUAAAAAUUGUUUUUUAUUCUUUAAUUGAAAAAUAAAUUUUAAAAACAAGUUUCAGAAAAUAUGAUCAAAGAGCUCAUAUUUUCCUUUUGUUUUUAAAAAUUGAUGAAAACAACACCUACUUGUUUUUCUAAAAAUUGUUAUUUAUUUAAUUUAAUUUUUAAAAAUUGUUUCAAGAGAACAACCAAAUGAGGUGUUAGAAAAUUUUUUAAACAGAUAUUUGUUUUUAAGAAACAGCUUUAUAUAAUUAUGUAUCAUCAUUAUACAUAAAUGAGGUGGAGCAGGACAAUACUCAACCUCCUACCAAAACCAAGCCGAGUUUAAAAAAGAAUACUCCAAUCCUUCCCUCAUAUUUUUUAAACCUCUCAUAAGCCCAUCCCUAGUUGUCAACUCUAACUUUUACUAUAAAAAUAAUAAAUAAAUAAAAAAUCUAUCGUAUACCAUAAAAAAAAAAAGGAAACUGUAGUAUUAAAUAAACAUUUUUCUUUCAAGAAUCAUCUUCUUUUUUUAAUUAUAUAUCUUAUAACUACAAAUAUUUUCAAAUUACAUUUUUGGUUUGUAUCUAAACAUUAACCACUAUCAAUGGAAGCAUUACACGCUAAAAAUACAUUUAUGAGAAUUAAUUCCAUAAGUUCUAUUUAUCAAGUUUUUAUUUGCUUUUUUAUACUAUAAUCUUCAUAAUUGUGUGAUUCAUAUUUCUAAAGCAAACUAACAAACCUAUUACGUGUAAUCUAAUAAGUUACAUUUCUACAUUUUUUCAUCAUUACACACUUAUGUUCUCGUGAUAUAAUCUCUCAUUGCUAGGUUUCAUAAGAAAAUGAAUUAUUCUAUGAAAAUGACUUUGGAUUCCAAAAUUUGAACUUUGUAAUGCCUUAUCUCAGUGGUGGGUCUCAUAGAAAAUGAAAGUUGUGGAAAAAUAAAAUGUGCACAUAAUUUCUAAUAAACUUGGACUUUUGGCUUCAAGCACCCUUUAUAAUCUUCAAGAGAUACCCCACUCUUGAACAACCUCUCAAGUGAUACCCCACACUUGAGAAUCUUCCUCUCAAAGAUAUACAAAUAAUUGAUCUCGCAAAAUCCUAGUACAAAAACUUUAAGCUCAAAUGAUACAAGAAAACUAAGAUUGAAAGGUGCACUAAUGAUAUGCAAGUUUUAGAACAAUGGUGCACUCAAAACACUCUUCCAAGACUCAAAUAUAUUCAAGAAAGGUUUGGGAAGGUUUAGUUCCUGAACAAUGAAGAUUUGAAGCCUUUUUAUAGAGGAGAAAAGCCAAACUAGUCGUUGGGGGUUCGACCGGUUGAACUGGGGGUCGACCGGUUGACUAGCCGUUAGCAUUUAAUGUUUGGCACGUGACCGUUAGACCUCGACCAAACCUCGACUGGUUGAGGUGUGGGUCGAAUGGUUCCUCAUUCGGUUGAAUAACCAUUCUAGAAGAGAGAGAAGGUUUUUUACACCCGUCAAUUGGUUGAGCUAGCGAUCGACCAAUUAUUGUUCACACCCUUGACCAGUUGAACUGGGGGUCAACCUGCUCCUAGACCAGUUGAGCUGGCGGUCGACCGGUUCCUCAUUUGGUUCAACCGAUUGAGCCGUUUUUGGCUCAACAACUAACUUUUUCAACUUAAAACAUUUUAAACAAGUUUGAAAAACAUUUGACACAAGGUUUUAGUUGAAAACAUGAAAUCAUCCAAUUUUAAAAUAUUUAAAGCAAAAUAACUCUUAGAUGAUUUUGGUGCAUAAGUAAAUAAUGUAAUACAUGAAAAUCCUAGUGCACCAAUAACCUUUCAAAGAGAUAUUAUGAAGCUUGGGUCUUGAAAAACACUUCUCUUUGAGGUGGUCUUCUUCUUCAUGAUUUCUUUUUGGCUUGAUUUGUCUUUGUGAUUGUCACUUUGGAAAUCGUUUUACCUAAUCACACUUGAAAUAUAAUCAUUAGUUCUAAACUUUCUUUUGUUAUCAUCAAAAUCGAGAUUAACCAGAUAUUGGUUUCACAAAUAUGACAAACUAUAUAUAUAUAUAUAUAUAUAUCAAUUUUAAAAAAUAAAAAUAAAAAAAAAAUCUAUUUUUUACUUCUUAUAUAAUUUUUUAGAAUUUGUCUUAAUAUUUUAUUAUUUUUUACUUAAUCGAUAUUUUGUGUCAAAAUAUCCAUCAAUAUAUCUCCUAUAUAUUUGAUAUAUCCGUAAAAUCAAAGUACCAAUAUAUUUGUAAUUAUCGAUAUUUUCAUCAUUGAGUUCAUUGCAUGGUCUCUGUGUUCUAUUAUCUAUUGGAAAUGCUUCUCAUUAUAUGUUUUCAAAUGUAUUGGUUUCUACUAACUAUGAUAUAUGCAAAGACGUUAGCUGAGGAGGCUUCUUGGAAGUUUGCAAAAGUGAAUGGGAUUGACAUGGUUACAAUACAUCCAGAGUGGGUGAUUGGUCCUCUCAUAGAGCCUACUCUUAAUCUAAGUGUGGAGGAAGUCUGAAGCUACUAAAAGGUACCCUUCAGCAAUGGAUGAGAAUCUCUAUUUUAUGCUGAUCUUUCUACUUCAAUAUCAAUUUAUACUCAUAAUAAGUAGAUAAAAUGUAAUUAAAAAAUCAACAUUAUUUUCUAUUUUUAAAUUAUAAAUAAAAAAAUUAUAUUAAUAAUUCAAAAACUAUUUUGGAAAAUACUUUCUAAAAAAAUGUUCAUAAAUAAAAAUUAUCUUUUACAUUUUAGAAGUAAAUAAUUUAAUGAUUAAAACACUAUUUAAAAUAAAUAUAUUCACUAUUUUCUUUUCUUUUAUACAAAAAAGUAUUUUAAUAUUUUUUUACUAUUAUAAAAUAAAAGGUUUAAUUUUUUUUUGUUAAAUUUUUUUCCGUCCUUAUUUUAAUAACUUUUUGAACAUGACUUUUAGUAAUAAGUUAUAUAAAAUGUUGCUAAGGAUUUUCUUUUAAUGAUUUGAAUUAAUUGAAAAUUUAUCAAAAUAAGAAAAAUAAAAAGAAAGAAAGAUGAUGGAUGGAGAGUUUUAUUUUAAAUAUCCAAUUAAAUUUUUUUCCUAUGACCAAAUUUUAGAAAUGAAUUAUAUCAAUAUAGAGUAGAAAUUGAAAUUUUCUUAUAUAAAAUGGUUGAAAGAUAUAUUUACUCAUUUUAUAUGAAAAUAAGUAGUUAAAAAUUAUAUAGUUAUGUUUGACUUUGGUUUAAAAAUAUUUUUCUAGUUUUUAUUUUUUAAACUAAUUUUUGUUUUCUAUAUUGUCUCUUUUUGAAAAUACGUUUGAUUACAAAAUGAAAGCUAUUUUUAAAAAUAAAAAUUAAAAGCCUUAUUUAGUACUAUUGUUUUAUAUGAAAAUAAUAAAAAGAAUUAAAUUUCAUUUAUUGAUUCUUUUUUUUCUUUCUAUUAGUUGUUUUAAUAAUAAAAUAAAAUAUAUAUAAUAUGUUCAAAAUUAAACAAAGGAAUUGGUCAAUUGUGUAAUUUUUUCUCAAAAAUAUAAUAUAUUCACAAAAAAAAAAAUUAGAUUUAAGUUUUUCACAAUUUUCUCAACCAAACUACUGGAAUCAUGUUUAAUACACCUAUAGGCACACAUUCACUACAUGAUAUGGAAUUUGUGUAAUUAUACAAGGGUAUUCACUAACUGUACAAGGGGUAUACAAGACUACCUUUUGUGAAAGAUUUCAAUCAAUUUUGAACCACCUUUUUAUUUUCCUUGUCACCCAGAGAUUGCAUACUCAUGUCAUGCACUUUAUUUAAUUUCUACAUGAAAAUUUCAAUACUUUCCCCAAUAAUGAUGUUUGGGGAAAAAAAAUUUGAUCCUGAAUCAUAUGCCAUUUUCUCAAGUAAAUUAUUAGAAAAAUGGUUGAUACACUUAUGUGGACACAUGACUUAGGAAGGAUAUGGAAUUUGUACCACUGUAUAAUGGUAUUACACUAACUGUACAAAGAAAAUGUACUAAGUGUACAAGGGUGCACAAGGCUACUUUUUGUGAAAGAUUUCAAUUGAUUAUGAACUAUUCCUUUAUUUUCCUUAUCAUCAAUGAAUUGUACACCUAUGUCAUGCAUUUUAUUUAAUUCCCACAUGGAAAUUCCACUUACUUUCCCUAGUAACGAUGUUUGGGGAAAAAAAUUUGACUUAUGUCAUCUACUAUUUUCUUAACCAAACCAUUGGAAACAUGGUUAACAUACCUAUGUAGACACAUAAUUUAGGAGGGAUAUGAAAUUUGUGCCACUAUACAAGGGUAUUACAUUAAUUGCACAAGUGAAAUGCACUAAGUGUACAAGAGUGUACAAAGCUACCAUUUGUGAAAGAUUUCAAUCGAUUCUAAACCACUCCUUUAUUUUCCUUGUCACCCACGGAUUGUACACCUUAUGUCAUGCACUUUAUUUAAUUCCCACAUGAAAAUUCCAAUACUUUCCCCAGUAAUGAUGUUUGGGGAAUUUUUUUUGACCCUAAGUCAUCCAUUAUUUUCUCAACUAAACCAUUGGAAACAUGGUUAAACACAUCUACGUGGACAUAUAACUUAGUAGAGAUAUGAAAUUUGUGUCAUUGUAUAAGGGUAUUAUACUAACUGUACAAAAGAAAUAUACUAAGUGAACAAGGGUGUACAAGAUUACCCUUUGUGAAAUAUUUCAAUUAAUUCUGAACAACUUUUUUAUUUUCCUUGUUACAUAAGGAUUGAACACAUAUGUCAAACACUUUAUUUAACUCCCAUAUGAAAAUUCAAAUACUUUCGCAAUAAUGAUGUUUAGGAAAAAAAAUUUGACCCUAAGUUAUCCACCAUUUUCUCAAUCAAACCAUUGAAAACAUGAUUAACAUACCUACAUAGACACAUAACUUAAGAGAGAUAUGUACUUUAUUUGCGUCAUUGUACAAGGAUAUUAUACUAAUUGUACAAGGGAAAUGUGUCAAAUGUACAAGACUCUUAAUAGGUUUGUACGAUUUUUAAACAAUUUGGGCUAGACAUUAAGACGAUUAUCAAUAGUUUUUUUUUUUAUUUUACCAAACUAUGUCAUUAAUACUUUCCCUACAAAAAUUAACACAUAGGAAAUAAAAUUAAAAUCAAUCAUGUUUGAAUUGUUCAUUAUAAGUAAACUAAAUGAAAUAUAUAUUUUUACUAUUUUGCCCUAAUAAACAUAAUUUUAUUGUUAUUAGUACAGAUUAAAAAAUCCUAUUUAAAUGGAAUUAAAAAUAAACAAAAAUGAUUUUUGUAACAUUUUUAUUUUUUUAAACCAUUAAUUUAAAUUAUGAAAUUAGUUUUAAAAUUAAAUAAAGUUUAAGUGGUUAAGUCAUAUCAAAUCAUUAACUUGAUUUAUCAAAAUAAUUUUAUAUUUUAUAUUAUAACAUUAAGUUAUUUUAUCAAAUAUACUUAAUAUACUUAACAACUUAAAUUUAUGUGGCGUUUGGUUUUUGGUUGAAUAAAAAAAACCAAAAUAUGUGAUUUCUUUUAUUUAAUUAAAAAUAAUCUAUUGAUGUCAACUGAUAUAACUAAAUUGAACAUAUUAAUUACAAGUUUACUUUAGUUAUGUUGAUUGACAUCAAUGUUACUUUUAGCUUAAUAAAACAAAGUCAAUUUGAUUUUUUCUAUUCAACUAAAAAACAAAUACUGCCUUAAUCUUAUCAACAUCCUCUAAGUUCUUCUCAAUUUUUAAUAUUUAUUUGAUACAUAUUUAAUAAGAAACAAGUCAAAAUGUGUUAUCUCAAAAUUUCUAAUUCAAACUCCUACUAGAUUUAAAAUUCAUUAAUUAAUUUGAAACAAAUUUGUUUUGGAUAAUACAAUUGAUGGAGAUAGUACAUAUCUUAAAUUUCUAACUAAAAAAAGCCUCAUAACAAAAUAAUUUGAUGAAUAUUUUAAGUUUAAAAUAUUAGAACCAUUUCACAAUGAUUUUGGAAAGUUAGAAAUGUUUCCAAAUGCUUGAAAAUGUUUUUAUAACACAAACUAGACAUUUUAUAAAAACUAAAGUUCACAUUCUAUGUAAUUGAUAGUGCCUCACAUAAUUUUUUUUUUCUUUUGGUUAUACAUAUAUAUAGGGUGAACGAUACUUUUUAAGUAGGUAUAAAAAAGGUUCUACCAAUUAGGUGGUGUCAUGUAUAUAUUUUUAAGUUUCAUAAUUUGUGCCUUUGUACCUUCACUCUAUUUGUUUAUACCUUUGUUCAACAAUGUAAAUCUCACCAUAUAUAUUCAAUGGUCAAAAUCUUAACUUCGGUUAGUAUCACUACACUAUCUUAGUAUUUUUUUUUCUCUCUCUAUAUAUAUAUAACACUAACUACUUUUCUAUGAAAAUAUUUACAAUAGAAAUGCUACAUAUUAGAAGUGUUUUUAUCAAAAUAAUUUCUAAACCAACCUUAAUAUUUGUAUUAGCUUUAGUUGAUAUAGCUACUUGAUAAAACCAACCAUUCAUAUGAUAAUUAUUCUAGAUCUUACUUUAAUUUGAUAAAAAUAUCCACCCAAGCAUCACACAAAUCAUAAAUAUACUCCAUGUCUAUUUGGAUAAACUUGUUGUUUUUUGUUGUUAUGUUUUUAAAAUAAGGAGGGAUAUAAGAAUUCUUAAAGAAUUAUAUUAAAAAUAAAAUAAUAGUUUUAAAAAUCAUUUAAAAAUUUAAGGUAUUAUACUAUUUUUUUUAUUAUUUUUAAACUUAAAUUUUAUUCAAAUAAAUAUCAUUUAUGAGUCAAUAAAUUAGAUUUCGUAAAUUUAAUAUUUAGCAUUUAUAAAUAUAAAAUUUUCAAUUUUAUUUUAAACAUGUUCCAAAAGGGGGAAAACCAAAAAGGAAACUAAAUUAUUUUUAUUUAAUUUUAUAAAAAAAAUUCUCAAAUAUAUCCUUAAUUUGUUUAAACUUGUCCUAAAUCCAUCCAUAAUUGUCAUUUUUAAUUUUGACCAUAUAAAAAUUAAACCCAAAUAUAAAAAGGUUGAGGAACAUCAAAUAUAAGGAGAGGUUGAAAACUUUUAUAAUGCUUGGAGGUAUUUUUCUUACAAACAGAGUCUGUUUGGUCGUAUGAUUUAAAAACAGUUUUCUGCUUUUAAAAAUAGAAAACUAUUUUUAAAAAUUUACAACACUGUUUGGCCAUUGUUAUCUGGAAGCAAUUUAUAAAAACAAAGUGAAAUAGAGAACAAUUUUUAGAGAACAAGUAUAAGUUGUUUUCAUAUGUUUUUUUUUUAAAAAAAAAAGGAAAAUAUGGAUCAAUUUGACCAUAUUUUCUUGAACUUGCUGUUUUUUUAAAAUAUUUUUUAGAUUAAAAAUGUUUUUUAAAAUCACUACCAAAAGAAUUUUAAGUAUUAUCUCACUCCACCUCAUUUAUAUAUAAAAUUAAGUAAAAAUAAUUUACUUUCCUUUUCCAUUUCCCCUCUUUAAUCAUAUUUAAAAUAAAGUUACAAAUUUACUUUUUAUCAAGAUAGAAUAUAAAAUCUAUAAAAAUAAUUUAUUUAAUCAUAAAUUAUAUUUAUUUAAUAAAAAUUAAAUUUAAAAAUGAUAAAAAUAACAUAAAAUAUAUUUAAAUAAGAUAGGAUGACUAUAACUUCUAAAAAAAUUCCUUGACCCCAUCCUAUUCUGGUACAUGUUUGGGUUGGAAUAAAAAUUUGUUGAAGUAAUCAAGAUGGGUUGGGAACUUGGGAUGAGGAUAUGACCCCUUUCACAUAAUUCGUCAAAAUUCAAUAAUUGCUAAACUUUAAAGUUGUUGCAUGCCAUCUCACAGCAAUAAUUUUGUAGGAGGUCUUUCCACCUCCACUUCUAUCUGCUUCAUUAAUUUGUUUACACACUGCUUUGCUUUCUACCUCUCUCUCUCUCUCUCUCUCUCUCUCUCUCUCUCUCUCAUUCACUCUCAACAAACCCCUCCUUACUUGUUUAAUCUCUUCCAAAAACAAAUAAAAACAAUUAAUUCUAACUAUUCAAAAGUUAAAAGUUAAUAUUAUAAAUGUAAACUUAAAUGCAAGCAUAUAAAAUAUAUAUCAUAUCAAACUCUAAAUAUAAAUCAUUAAUAUAUUUAAUCAAGUCCAAAUUAUUAAAUAAAAAUAAAAAUAUAUAAAAUGGGGUAUAAAAAAAUAAAACUAAAGCAUACAACAAAAAAAUGAUAUUUAGGUACAAAUAAAUAAAAAUUGGAUAUAAAUAAAUAAAAUCUAAAUCAAAGUGUUAGAAAAUCAUGUACAUAGGAUUUCAUAAUUCUAGUUUAAUGAACCAAAAAUAGAUGUACAAAACUCAUCUUGUGAUAUUAUGAUAGAAAUCACCUUACAUAUAUUGUUUGCAACGCUGCAUCACUUUAGUAGCACCUUGUCACCUUGUAUCGGUAUUAACACCUUGUAUCUUCCCUCUCUUUACUCUCUCAUUCUUAAUCUUUGUAUAAAUGAUAGGAAAGGAGAGCGGGACCAAGAGCUAAGGCCAUUUUCUUUAUUUGUACCUCUAUUUCCUCAGUUUCUUCCUCUUUUGGUCAAGCCAAACUGUUCGGUUUCUCCAUUUCUUCUUCACCCCACUGCAUUUUGGGUUCUCCCUAUAACGGAAGCAUUCUCAAAUCAAGAAAAUCCCUCAAAUCAAGCAACAAAAAUGACUGCAGAUUUUUAGCCUUCAUUCAAGGAUGUAACAGUCCUUAUUUUUCUUGUAAUCGAUAGCCUUAAUUCUAGGAAACUUACUUAGAAUAGCUCUUGUUAACGUGUAUUUAUUUUUUCUCAUACAAUCUCUUGUUACGGUGUAAUAUUUUUCAAACAGAGCAGUAAUACAUUAUUGAGAAAUUCUCAAACUCCAUCAUGGUAUCAGAGCAGCCUUCCUCUCACGAGAACUCAAUCCAUAAUUCUGAAAACACCCACCACCCGAUUUCCACUCCACCAUCCUGAUUCAUCCCCGGCAACGGCGCCAUUUGAUGCGACUCAUGGUAGCUUAGCUUUAAAGGCGUAUCAACAAAAUUUAUACCUUAAAUACUAUUACUAAAGUAGCCAAGCUACUAUAGCAUAGUGGUUCUAGGAUCGUUCACUAGGAAGGGUUUUCGCAAACACAAGUGAUAUUCAAAUUAGGAAAAUAGGUGAUUUUCUUAUGGAUGUUAGCUUUAAAAGAAGAUGUAAAUGUUUUAGAAAGAUUUAAACUAAUCUAAGCUAACAUUAAAGACUAAAAUGAAAGGGUGUAAAAACAAGUUUCUCAAAGAUAGGAUAGCUAUGCUCUGGCUCUUAUGCAAAUUGGAAAUCUCAGGAUAGGCUCCUCGCGUUGGGGUUGCAACUAUGGUGAUGCUUGCUUCCCGAACCGGUAUGGAUUUAGCAAAUCAAGUUUUAAUCCUUUAAAAUGACAAAACAGAUGGUAGUGAAUUUCAUCAAUGGUUAUUCACCUUAGACUUCCUUUGAAUGACUCGUAAGAGAUAACUAAUGGUCUAAAGCCAAAAGCUUACCAAAUAUUGGCAACUCAAAGUCAUUCCAGGUGAUAAACUCACCUUUCAAUGGCCAUUGAAAUUGGUUCUAACGGAUUAAUGCAAAACUUGGAAUUGAAAACCUCACCUUCCAAUAGCUCGUAGGAGAUAACUAAUGGAUAGAAAUCCAAAAGCUUAUCAAGUAUUGGCCGUUGGAAGUUGUCCAAAGGAAAUAAAAACCAAACUUUGCAUUAAUGAACCUUUAAUGAAAAACGACUACCUUACCUUCCGGGUACGAGAAAUUUCCAUGGGAGCAAUCCAAGCCAUCACAUAACAUCCAUACUUUGAGAAACUAAAAGUUUUAGCCAAUCAUCCUCUGAGGAAAAGCCCUCAGAGGCUGUUUGGCUUCCAAGAAAAUAAAAUAGUAAAGAGAAAAGAGAAACGAGAGAGCUCUGUAUAUUUUCUCUAAGUGUAAAAAGUAAUAUCUAUAUUAUAUUCUAUAUUCCAAGAGGUGAUUUCCACCCCUUAUAUAGUCUUUACAAAAGCAAAAGCUUGUGAUUGGUUAGUUACAAGGAUAAGAAAGGAAAUUACAUCACAAAAUACAAAGGAAAAUAUCUAAAGUGGAGUCGGCAAAAACAGAGGAAAAUUCGCACCACGCAUGGGUUAUGCGAAUUUUGAAGGUGUUAUGCGAAUUUCGCAUAACACCUUGUGUCGUGCGAAAUUUUCGCACAACCUGGAGCAGUUGGCUUCCGAAGGCCAUAUCUUCCUCAUUUCAGCUCUAAAUCGUACACGGUUUGAAGCGUUGGAUUCUUGACUUCCAGAGCUUUGAAAUGGUAUAUAGCAUGUAAAAAAUGGACUUCGGAAAGUGCUCCAAAAGUGUGAAAGAAGACUGCAGCUGCUGUCCUAUGAUUUUUUCACUUUGCUUUCCUCUUCUCCAUUGUUCUUUCCUUGCAUACUUUGAACGACUUUGGCAAAGGGCUAUGGAGCUCCAAAGCUUGGUUCUUCAUGAAUUUGAGCUUCCAAAAGCUUUGCCAUAACUUGUCCAAGUAGCUCCUCCAUCAUUUGGCAUGCUUGAAUUGAUUCAUAAGCUGAUAAAAACAUGUAAACUUGCCACAAAAUGGUUAAAACCAAUUACUAAGGACCUUAAUGAAUUAAUUGGGUUAAAUGAAUAUGAUUACUACUCAAAGGUGCUUAAAACCAUUAUAAUUAGGUCUACAAAAUAACACUUUUUGGUAGUAAUCACAUCCCCAACCAAUAUUCCUCUCAUUGCUUUCAACAUCUCUGCUCAAAUAAAUGAAAAACUCACACCAUCAACCUUCCCUCCAAGGAGGAAAAUAUCGGUAAUCACGGAUAUAUCGGUAUUUCGAUUUUACGGAUAUAUCGGAUAUAUCGGAGAUAUAUCGGCGGAUAUUUUGGAAAAAAAUAUCGGUAGACUCAAAAUUGUUAAAAACUCAUUGAAAUGUAAGGAAAACCUCAUAAUAAUAUAAUUAGAAGUAUAAUAGACAUUUUAAAGUUGUUUUAUUGAAAAAAUUGAUAUACAUAUGAUAUAAUUUACGAUAUUAGAUGUAAUUAUAUUAUGUCGAUCUAUAAGAAAUGUUAAUUUUGUAAUUGUUCUUAUUAUAAAGUUACAUAAAAUACUUCAUUUUAUUAAAUAUCAAUAAUUUGUACACAUUACAUUGCAAUGUCCCUUUAGUACCAAAAUGAGGAUCGAUGUGGUUCAAUGGGAUUGAUAGAUGAAGGAACCCCGUUUUGCUGUUAGAGACAAUAUUGGUCCCAACUCAAUAAGCCUCGAUUAUAUUGGUUAAAAAUUCUAACAUGUCAUGCAUAUAUAUAUAUAUAUACAUUGAUUAUUAAAUUACAUCAAAUAUUAUUCAAUAAUAAUAUUGUGAUAUUUGAUUAUAAUAUGUCUAAUUUUAAAAUAUAUUUAAUAUUAAAAUUAUGAUAUAUUUAAUUUAAUUGUAUUAAAUGAUAAUAAAUGUAUAAUUUUUUAAUAUUUAAUUAAUAAUAUAUUAAUGAUAUUAAAAACUUAUUUCUACUUAAUUAAAUGAAAAUUUUUUAUUUACUUAUAAAAUAAUUAUAAUUAAUUCGUAAUUUAAAGGAUUGUUUUAAUAUUUUGUGUAUAUGAACACUUUUAAUAUAUAUAUGUAUGGUGUUGUAUUAUAAACAAGCAGUAAUGUUGCCUGGAUGGUUGCUAGGUGUCCUUUCCAACUUUUGGUCGGGGGUUCAAGUCCUGUGAGAAGCGAAAUGGAGGGCUUUUGGGCAUCAACAGAACAUUUUUAGCUGGUUUGACUCGGUCAACGCUCCGCGUUGACCCGCGUUGACCUUCGAUAUUUCUGUGGCAAAUGUCGUGUCGACAUGUACCGAUACACCGAAAUAUCGGCGAUAUUUCGGCGAAAUAUCCCGAUAUUUUAUUCCCUGCUUCCCUCAAUGGCGUGCCCAGUUUGAAGCUCUCUUAAUUGGCUACAAUCUACUUGAUUAUGUCAUAAGUGACAAUCCUCCUCCUCCUCCGAGUGAUUCCUCUGCUACCAAUCCACAGAAAACCCACUGGAUAAGAUAAGAUAAACUUAUCCCCAGUGCCAUUUUGGCAUCCACCACCUCCACAAUCACCCCAUUCAUUUCCGCUACACAAACAUCACAACAGGCAUGGCAAAAAUUGCAUACCAUGUAUGUGAGCAAAUCUCGUACUCGGGCCAUGCAAUUGAAGGAGGAACUCACAAUGAUUAAGAAAGGGAAUUAGACAGACAGUUCAAGAAUACCUGCACAUUGUCAAGGCUCUUGUUGACAAAAUCUCCCUCAUCGAUCAUCUCAUUGCAGAUGAUGAUCUCACAUUGUACAUUCUCAAUGGAUUGGGCAGUGAUUUUCGAGAAAUCGCGACACCUAUACGAGAAAGGGAAAAACCACUCGCGUUUGAAGAAUUGCAUGAUCUACUCGUAGGCCAUGAUGCCUACCUCCGACGCCUUGAAACCACCACACGGAAACUAGUUGCAUCGACCAACUACUCCAAUCGGCAUCUUGCUUCUUCAUCCGGCGGCCAACAUUCUAAAGGUAACUUCAAUGGGCAACACAAAUACACUCCAAAGUGCCAAAUCUAUGAUGAACUGGGCCACAUUGCAAAACAUUGUCCACGUCUGCGCUUUGUUGAGCCCACUGCCAAUUAUGUUGCCACUUCACCUGCAACAAACCCAAAAUGGCUUAUUGAUUCUGGAGCUUCACACAACAUUACUGGUGAUUUAGCCAAUUUAUCUAUUCACUCUGAGUAUGACGGCACUGAUGAAGUUGUCAUAGGUGACGGUUCAGGUUGCAUGUCUCACACGUUGGCUCAUUGGUUCUCAAAUCACCCACACACACUUUUCAUUUAAAUAAUACUCUUUGUGUUCCUAAUAUUCGCAAAAAUCUCAUUUCUAUCCAUCACUUCACCUCACAAAACAAUGUUUUUGUUGAAUUUCAUCCCUUGUUUUUCCUUGUUAAGGACAAGAUCAUGGGGGCGGUUCUAAUCAAAGGUGCAUGUGAAAAUGGUGUUUACACUCUCUUGGAUUUACUAGUGCAAGAUUCUCUAAAAAUGGUUACCAAUGUGCAUGAACGGACCUCAAUCAAUGGGUGGCACAAGCGUCUUGGACAUCCCUCUCAAAAAAUAGUUCAUCACCUUGUUAAGAAUUUUUAUCUUCCAAUAAUACAAAAAGAACAUAGUUCUCAUUUUUUUACCUCUUGUUCUAUUACUAAAGCGCACAAACAACCAUUUCGGACCAAUAGCCUUCAAAGCCAUGCACCUCUUGAUUUAAUUUAUACUGAUGUUUGGGGUCCCUCAAAUACAAUUAGUCUUGAUGGAUCACGAUAUUAUUUGAUUUUGGUUGAUCAUUUUACAAAGUAUAUUUGGUUUUAUCCAAUAGAAACCAAAUCUCAACUAAGCAUGAUAUUUCCUCAAUUUAAAUAUCUCAUUGAAAAUCAAUUUCAAUCAAAAAUCAAAAGUAUCUACUCAGAUAAUGGUGGUGAAUUUAUUGCCUUAAAAAAAUAUUUUUCUAUACAUGGCAUAAGUCAUUACACCACAGCUCCUCACACACCACAACAAAAUGGUGUAUCUGAGCGUCAUCAUCGUCAUUUGGUAGAAACGGGUCUUACCCUUUUACAUGAUGCUUAUUUAUCUCUCUCAUAUUGGCCUUAUGCCUUUUCAACGUUUACUUACCUCAUCAACAAACAGCCAACCCCUUUCCUACAUAACAAACCCCCUUUUGAAGCAUUAUUUCAUCAGCCCCCCAACUAUCUUAAACUAAAAAAAUUUGGGCAUCUAUGUUUUCCUCUCACCAAGCCCUAUAACACACAUAAGUUGCAGCCCAAGGCAACACCAUGUUUGUUUGUGGGCUAUUCCCCAACCUAGAAUGCGUAUAAAUGUCUUGAUCCACAAGCCCAUAAACUAUAUUUAUCUUGGCACAUUUUGUUUGACUAAAGUGAAACCCAUCAUCUCCUCCGUUCAGUUGAAACACAGUCCUCCAUUCAGUUGAAACACAGGUACCAGCCAUGUCCAUUUCGCCUGCCUCACCUGUGCUGCUCACACUUUUGCCGCAACCACCGCCAGUGCCAACGAGAGGUAACGCCAUUUUCGCCUCAUCUCCAAGUAACUGCCUCGACUCAUCUUCUUCUCCUUUUCAAGAUAUGCAAUCCCUAAACUCAUGCCCUAAUUCCUCUCAAUCACAUGAACACUUGGAUUCUAACUCAAAUUCACACACCAAUCCACUCUCAGAACCCAUGGUUGUCCAUAAUGACCAUCACAGUGACCCUCCACUGCCUCAUUCUCACCGCAUCCACACCAUGACCACUCGGUCAAUGAAUAACAUUCAUAAGCUCAAACAGUUCAACUCCAUGACCAAACACCCACUCCCACCAACCAUUGAACCAACAUGUGUGGGCCAAGCACUUCGUGAACCUCACUAGAGACAUGCUAUGUCAGAUGAACUUACUGCUCUCAUGCGUCAUGGCACUUGGGAUCUUGUUUCCUAGCCCAAAAAUUGUAAUCCUAUUGGGUGCAAAUGGGUAUUCCGUGUGAAAUGAAACUCAGAUGGUUCAGUUGACCGCUUCAAAGCAAGGCUUGUCGCUAAAGGAUUUAAUCAACGAGAAGGGUUAGAUUACAAAGAAACCUUUAGCCUAGUUGUAAAACAUGCAACAUUAGGACUGUCUUGACAGCGACUGUAAUGCAGGGGUGGUCAUUAAGACAAUUAGAUGUUAACAACGUUUUUUUGCAUGGUGACUUGAUUGAGACUGUGUAUAUGACACAACCACCAGGAUUCAAAGAUGUCAAUAAGCCAAAUCAUGUGUGCAGGUAAUGUAAGGCUAUCUAUGGCCUUAAACAUGCCCCAAGAGCUUGGUAUUCAACUCUUAAACUGGCAAUUAUGGGUCUUGGUUUUCAAAAUUCCAAAGCUGACUCAUAUCUUUUUAUCUAUAGUUAGAACUCUGUCAUAUGCUAUAUUAUUAGUAUAUGUGGAUGAUUUGGUUAUCACUGGCAAUAAUUUGUGCUUUGUGUCUGAGAUUGUUGCACAACUUGGUAAUUGGUUUUCCUUAAAGGACAUGGGACAACUUAACUUUUUCUUGGGAAAGGAGGCUAUUUCUACAAAAUCUGGGCUUUUUUUUUCUCAACAUAAAUAUAUUCGAAACCUAUUGUCCAAAACCAAUAUGAUUGGUGCUAAAGAUGUCUCAACCCCAUUGUCCACCACCACGUCCCUCAAAUUGGUUGAUGGUACUUCAUCUACCAACAGUACAGAGUUUCGAAGUGUCAUUGGUGCUCUUCAAUACCUGUCCCUCACUAGACCGGAUAUCUCAUUCUCUAUAAAUAAACUUUCUUAGUUUAUGCAUAAGCCUAUAGUGACACAUUGGACAACUGCAAAGCAACUUCUUCGCUAUUUAAAGCACAUUAUAUUUCAUGGACUUCAAAUAAAAAAUAAAAAUAAAAAUCCAGCUUUGAACUCAUUACAUAUUCUGAUGCGGAUUGGGCGGGCAACUAUGAUGAUUUGAUUCAUGCCCAGUUGGUGUCUCAGCUGAUUUGUGUUCAGCUGGUGCUCCUUGAUUGAGGGAGUAAUCAACAAAAUUUAUAACCUAUUACACCAUAUACUAGGGUAGCAAAGACAAAGCUACUAUAGCAUAGCGACUCUAGAAUCGUUCACUGGGAAGGUUUAACAAAUUAUCAAUGAUACCAAUUCAAAGUGAAUUGGUAUUGUUUCAUUUCAAGGUUAGCUUAAGAAAUAAAACACAAACUUUGAUUGGUAAAGAUUUAGAUUUAAACUAACUACAAAGCAAGUGAUGGAAAUUACUUAGGAAGAAAAACAUUCCUUGGAGGGUCAGGUUCACUGGGGAGGUUCCUCAUGCAAAAGACAUAGCUCCGGUCAGUUGGUUCAUUUCCUCGCAUUAGAGAAGCAACAUAUAGUCAAUUCUCUAACCGAUGUUGUACAGAUACAUCCUUUAAUUAGAUUUCAGCUUUAAUUCUCUCACUGAUGCAACUUGCAACGGUUCGAGCCUCUCACUAAGCCUUAACCAUUCAAGGUGAUCUUUAACCUUGGACUUCCCUUCACAAGCUCGCAAGAGAUAACUAAUGGAUGUCUCCUUAGAGUCCAAAAGCUUACUAAGUGUUGGCAAUUCCAAAAAAUCCUACCUUCAAGUCACCUCCCAGAGGCUCGCAAGGGGUAAACUAGUGCAUCUCCAUGGUUGGAGAUCACUUGCCUUACCAAGUGUUGGCCCAGGUGACUCUAAGGUGUUUUAAGUUAACUAAAAACAUAGAAAUCACUAAAGGAUUUCACUUCCUCUUCAUUCAUGGCUGAAACCACAAAGCUUUGCAUUCUUGCACUUGGAACCUUUGCCGACAACCUUAGCUCCAAGGAACUAAAGGUUUAGUUACUCAUUCUCUGGGGAAACUUCCUCAGAGAGUGCAUAACUUAGAAAAAAUGAAAAAUACAAAGUGAGAAGUAAGACAAAACAAAGUCCUGAAUUUUACUUACUUUCAAACUUUUCAAAAGGUCCUCCCUGAGACAGCUCUUGAAAGCUAUUUAUACACAAACAAUACUAUAUNNNNNNNNNNNNNNNNNNNNNNNNNNNNNNNNNNNNNNNNNNNNNNNNNNNNNNNNNNNNNNNNNNNNNNNNNNNNNNNNNNNNNNNNNNNNNNNNNNNNUUUACUUACUUUCAACUUUUUCAAAAGGGUUCCUCCCUGAGAACAGGCUCUUGAGAGCUAUUUAUAACAACAAAAACAAAUACUAAUUAUUACACGGAUAUUUUCUCUUUUUACUAACUUAAAAGCUAAGGAAUCUUAUAAUUGGUGGCUUUCAAGGAGAAUUUUGGGAUUUAGACAACAAAAAUUUGAUGAAAAAUAUCUCCCAAUGUCGGUAGCAAAUAUCGGGACACACUAAGGAUCAUUUCGCAAGUGUAAACGAGGUCUGCGAGAUUUCGCAGAUGCACAAAAAGGACUGCGAAAUCACUUCGCAGCAAACGGCUGAUUUCGCAAUGCUGCGAAAUGGUCUUUCAACUUGUGGUAUUUGGCUUCCAUCAUGACGGGAAACUUCAGGGGGGAAACACAGCACUGUACAUAAAGGCUGCGAAAUCAUCUCGCAACAAAAGGGUGAUUUCGCAGCGCUGUGCAAAAUUCUUCCUUCAGCUUGGAGUGAUCGGCUUGAAAUGGCUGUAACUCCUUCAUUUCAACUCCAAAUUGCGUACCAUUUGAAGCAUUUGAUUGUUGGCUUCCUGAGCUUUGAAACGACAUAUAGCAUGCAUAAAUUGGACUUCAGAAAGUGCUCCAAAAGUGGCUGACAUGACUGUCAUCAAGAAUAUGCUUCAUGACAGAUUUCUCUUUGCUUCUUCUCCUUACAUUCCGGAUUUACUCAUGGCAGCAAAGGACUUCAAAGCUUUAGUUCUUCACGUUUCUGAGCUUCAAAUUGCUUUGCCAAAGAUUCCACAUAACUCUCCUCAAUCUCGGAUUGCUUUGGUGAUCAAAAAGCUAUCAAAACACCAAAACUUAACACAUUGAUUAGAAGUGCUUGCAAAGGUCUUUAAUAUGUUAAUUGGGUUAAAAGACAAUAACUACUACUCAAAAGUGUUUAAAAGAGUUAAUUACAAGCUAUGAAAUAGCACAUUUUGAGUAGUAAUCACUCCCCCCAACCGACAUAUUGCUAGUCCCUUAGCAAUGAAGGAGAGAAAAAAAAAAAAACUAUAAUUUACAACAUCAUGCUGAUUACUUCAAAAAAUUUUAAGUGGCAUGAUGAUCUAAUUCUCACAUGAGGCAUUAAAGAAAUAUAAACCCAAAUUUCAACAAGAGUUAUCACAUACUAUGCUAAACACUAUUAAUCAAGGGAAUGCAUUAUGCAAAUUGAAGUUUUAAAAUCAUUUUCACUUCCAAAGAACCAAACUUUAUUCUUCCACAAAAAUCUAAGUGUAUGAUUCCUUAGCUUCCGAAUAUAGUAUGCUAAACUAAUCUCUCCCCCCAACCUAUCUCUUUUCAACACUUAGCAAACUGACCAAAAUCAAUAAGAAAAGAACACUCUUUUUUUUUUUUUUUUUUUUUUUUAAAGAGGCUUAAAGGGGUAUUCUUUCUGAAUUGUCCAUGUAACGGGGGUCCAUCGAUGACUCCCAACCAAUUAAGGUUUAGGGCAUCAAGCUUUAAGGAUCUUUCAACCACUAACUCCUUGGAUUUUACCCCGGACUUUUGAGAAUGAUUGAUUUUUUAAUACCCAAGCACCUACCAUAUGCUAACUCCACCUAUCCACCCUUGUAACGAGCAUUGAGGUCGGUGACUCCCAACCAAUUAAGGCUUAGGGCACCAGGUUUUAAAGAUUUUCACCAUAUACCCCUCAGACCUUGCUUGGGUUUCAAGGCAAGCAAACAUUUUUCUUUCUUUAUUUCAAAGGCUCAUUGGCCUUUCAUAAGGUGUCUCAACUUUAUCAAAUGAGGUCAAAGGUACCAAGUCCCAAAAUUUUCCUAAGUCAAGAGGGAAAUAGUUUUUCAUCUUAUACUCGGAACCUAUUGUGCACAGUGUGUGAAUAGCUUAAAGUGGAAGAACUAAACUCGAUUUCAAUAGAAGCUUCAACAAUUGAACCACUUUAGUAAGCAUAAUCCAUACUCUAAGUCAAGUGAAAAACAACAGUUCAGUUUCUCCUGUUUUAAUUUGAAAAUUUUUCCUCAAAAUCCAUGGAGAUUAGAGUGGACAAUAAAAGAUUACAACUAAUUUAUCAACAUAAUUGCAUUGUCAAAAUAACUUAGCAUACUUCCUUUAACUUAGCAUACUUCCUUCCUCAUUUCUCCCCCCCCCCCAACCGAACUGAGCAUUGUCCUCAAUGUGAUAUGGGUGAUUGCAAUUAAAGGGAGGAAGUGGUACCUCCUGAGUGAUAUCAAUUUCGAAUACUGAUUGGAGAAACCACAUGUUUCAAAAAGAAUAAAAGAUGUGAGAAAAGGAAAUAAGAAUAAAUUAAUGCUAAAGGUUAACAAAAAAAUAUGCUAAACUUGUAUUACUUUGAAUUCAUUUGAGUACAAUGAAAAAGAAGGCAAUACAAGCAAUCCCAUAUAUGAUACCAAAAUAAUGGGAUUUCAUAAAAAACUAAGAAAAAAAAUGAAAUACAUAAAGAAAAUAUGUAGUGGAUAUAUAUAAUGAUCAGAUGGGUGGAUGGUGCUGGAAUUAAUGGCUUAGGCAGAUGGCUCUGCCUCUUCAGUAGCUGCUUCAGAAGGGGCCUGAGACUCUGUGGCCUGCGAGUGUGGCACUACAGUGGUGGGGGUGGAGUGCUUAGUAGCUGAUGGAAGAUCAAAAUGAUGCUGGAGCUGCCUCAAGAUGGCAGUGUGCUGAGCCUGGGUGGUCAACAUCUGCUCCUGGCAUGCUCUAAUAGCUGCCAUCUCCUGAGCAAGGCUGCUCUGAGAUGCGGUGAGGGUCUACAGUGAGCCACAUAACUCCCUAUACUCAUAAAUGGGAAUGGCCAUCCUUGGCUCAGCUGAAUUCGAUGGCUGAGAUGAGGCUGGAGUGACUGGAGGGGCUCUGGAUAUGGUAGGAGAGGCAAUGGGUAUACCCUCAGGUAUAUGACGUGGAGAUGCUCUCCUGGCUGCUGGUAUCGCAGCUGGCUGUGGCUGUCCUGGCUGCUCAACUCUAUAUGCUGUCAUAUUGUUCCAUUUGUCGAGAGUAAAGACCUCUCGUCAAAUACGUUUGCGCUCCAACUGAGGAUCUGAUGGAUACCCCAGAUGCUCUAGAAUCUGACACAGCAGCCGUGGAAAAAGAAGUGGAAUGGCAUCAGCUCGCUGCAGCUUCUUCUUAUGCACCUUCUCUUCAAAAUAGAGAAGGGCAGCCAUAAUUAGGUGGUGAGGGCCAAAGAAAUAUCCCUCAGAAAUCUUGAACAGGGCCUCUAAAAGCACUCCUCUCCUCUGAGUCCAGUGUUGGAGUGGGUAGAUGUUAUGACGCAGAAAUGCAUCAAUAAGAAACAUGCUUGGAGGAAGUUCCCCCCUCAACAGAUGUGGACACGUGAAAGCUCCUCUGGACAAGAUAUGUACCAUCUCCAGCUCAGUGGGACUAGUCCACACUCUGAAAUCCUCAAAAUGAGUUGGCUCGUAUGGUAUAUGCAGGGCUUCUGCUAUAUGGCGAGCUCCCAAAAUGUCAUGCCGACCAUCUAUAGUAAAAUAGAUUAAAGUAGGAUCUCUGACCUGCUUGGUAGUCAUGGACUGAUAAAAAUCCAUGGCUACUCUGGGGUAGAAGAAGUCUCUUGGGCCAGCAACUGCUUCAUAUGAUAUCUACGCAAUAGGCAGAAUGAAUCUGCAAGCUCCGACCUCAAUUGGAAGGUGGUUGUGUCAAAGCACAGCUCAGAGUGGAAUGGCCGAGCUCUGCAGUCCAAAUUCCCUUCUAUUGGCGGCUGAGUAAGCAUCGGACGCCUAAUUAGCACUUCAGGAGUUACCCCAUAUGGAAUUUGGGAUUCAGAAAGUGGCGGCUGGAGCUCCUGAGGCUGUGCUGGCGGCGCCGGAGACGGCACCGGAGAUGGCAGUGGAGAGGGCUCUGGUGAGGGAACCAGGGACUGCUCUGUUAAGUCUAUGGGCUCUGAGCUUUCAACCCUGGCCCUCUUUUGCAGGGGACGACCCCCUGACCUAGUGAGAUAACGCCUCGCCGGAGGAUUUUUAGACACGGGCUUCGCCGGAGGGGGAACAGCUUUUGGCCGCGGAGGUUCAGAGAUGGGGCUUUGAACAGGUACCUCUCGCGGAACUCGUUUGCGGCUAGAAGGAGAUGAAGAUUUGGCUCCUCUAGUUCGCGCCAUAUCGGACUGUCGAGAUUUGGCCAGAAGUGAUGACCGGAGAAGAUGACCGGAGGUUCGCGCGUCGUCGGGCUCGGGCAAGGAGAUGAACAGACGGCUGUUAUGGCAUUCCCUCAUUUUGAAAUCCUUUUGAAACUCAAAUGACAGGUAUAUAUAAAAAUAACGGAAUAUUAAAGGUCAUUUUGAGGUUCGUAGAAGAACGUUGAUUUCACAGCAAAAAGCUGUUCUCGCAGCCCACUUCGCAGCCCACUUCGCAGCUUCGAAAUGGAUGUCACUGUGCUGCGAAAUGGCACUCGUGUGCCAAAGUUGGUUUCGCAGCUGCGAAAUACCCUGCGAAAGGAAGCUUUGACUGCGAAAACGGGUAUUUUCACGCUUUGUAGCUUCGCAGCCGAUUCGCAGCUUCGAAAUGGGGGCUCCUGUUCUGCAAAGUGGCACUCGUGUGCCAAAAGUUGGUUCGCAGUUGCGAAAAUUUUCGCAGAGGAGUCAAAUGAGUUGCGAAAUGAUUUCGCAAAGGAUGGCCGCUUCCGUAGAGACAUGUUGAUUUCGUAGCAACUUCGUUUAAGUUGCGAAACGGUUUCGCAGCGAAGUGCUAAUUUCGCAGAAACUGCGAAAUCUCGCAGACUCCUGUUUUUGCUUUGUUUUCACUCUGUUUUGCUCUAUUUUUGGUCCGAUUUCGCUCCGAUUUCUUCCUUUCAAUUUCUUUGCAUUUUAUCUCACCUGAGAUCAUCCAAAAAGAUUAAAUUACAUAUAAAAACAUACUUUAAGAUCAAAAAUUAAAAUGAAAAGUAUGGAAAAAACUUUGAAAUUUAAAAAAUUUACAAAAAUUUUGGACUGUGGUAAAACCAAGUCCAUCAAACCCUUAUUUGCUUAGGCUUUUUGUGGCUCAAGGAGGUUGAUUUCCUCCUUUUCUGGUUUGAAUGGCUCCAUGAACGGCUUGAGACGAUAUCCAUUGACUCUAAAGGUAUCUUUGCCAUUGGAAUUCAAUAAUUCCACCACUCCAUUGACGUAUACCCGAUGAAUAAUGAACGGGCCUAUCCACCUUGACUUGAGCUUUCCAGGAAAGAUAUGGAGUCUUGUGUCAUAGAGUAGAACUCUUUGUCCUUUCUGAAAUUCUUUGUUGGAAAUUAGUUAAUCAUGCCACUUCUUCAUCCUCUGUUUUGCAACUUUGGAAUUGAUAUAAGCAUCAUUUCUUAAUUCCUCCAUCUCAUUAAGGUCUAGGCACCUCUUUGCUCCGGCUCUGAUCAAGUUCAUGUUCAGCUUCUUUAUUGCCCACCAAGCUUUGUAUUCAACUUCCAUAGGGAGAUGACAUGUUUUGUCAUAGACAAGACGAUAGGGAGACAUGCCGAGAAUAGUCUUAUAAGCUGUUCUAUACGCCCAUAAUGAAUCAUGAAGCCUAAUAGACCAAUCUUUUCUUCUUGAAUUCACCACUUUCAUCAAUAUGUUCUUUAUUUCCCUGUUAGCUAGCUCAACUUGCCCGGAAGUCUGAGGAUGAUAAGGCGUAGCUACCUUAUGCUUCACUCCAUACUUGGAUAAUAGAGCUUCAAAAGGUUUGUUGCAAAAAUGAACACCUCUAUCACUGAUUAUGGCUUUGGGCACCCCAAAUCUCGAGAAAAUAUUCUCUUUAAGAAACUUGAGAACCAUUCUGUGAUCAUUUUGUCUACAAGGGAUUGCCUCAACCCAAUUAGAAACAUAAUCCACACCCACCAAGAUGUAAGAAUUACCAAAAGACAUUGGGAAAGGCCCCAUGAAGUCAAUGCCCCAUACAUCAAAUAGCUCAACUAUUAGAAUGGGGUUCAUAGGCAUUUGAUUUCUUUUUGUUAGCUUUCCAAGCCUUUGGCAUCUAUCACAACUCCUACACAUGAUGUGGGCAUCUUUGAAAAGAGAUGGCCAAGUAAACCCUGAUUGCAACACCUUCAUGGCUGUUUUCUGAGAGGCAAAGUGACCUCCACAUGCAUUCUCAUGACAAUGGUUUAGAAUCCCUUGCUGCUCUUCUUCAGGGACACACUUCCUUAUGAUCUGAUCUGCACAAUACUUAAAAAAGAAGGGUUCUUCCCAAUAAUAAGCAUGAAUUUUUUAAAAUAAGUGCUUCCUGUCCUGUGCAUUCCACUCACUUGGAAUUUCACCAGUAACUAGAUAAUUAGCAAUAUGAGCAUACCAAGGAGUUUUUACUAGGAACAUAAGUGAUUCCUCAGGAAAGUAAUCAUUAAUAGGCAAGGGAUGGGAAUUAUGUGCUAUAACUAACCUUGAAAGGUGGUCAGCUACCACAUUCUCCACUCAUUUCUUAUCUUUGAUUUGGAGAUCGAAUUCUUGUAGCAAAAGAAUCCAUCUAAUCAACCUUGCUUUUGCAUCUUGCUUUGUCAAUAAAUACUUCAAGGUUGAAUGGUCAGUGAAAACAAUGAUGAAAGACCCUACUAAAUAAGCACGAAAUUUGUCCAAGGCAAAUACCACAGCUAACAAUUCUUUCUCUAUAGUUGUGUAGUUCCUUUGAGCUUCAUUCAGUGUUUUGCUUGCAUAGUAGAUCACAUAGGGCUUCCCAUCUUCUCUUUGGCCAAGCACAACUCCUAUAGCAAAGUCACUAGCAUCACACAUCAGUUCAAAGGGUAGUUGCCAGUUAGGGGCUCUCACUAUUGGAGUUGUUGUUAAAAAUUUCUUCAGUUGAUCAAAGCUAUUUUGACAUCUUUCAUCCCAUAUAAACUUAGCAUCCUUAGCUAACAGCUCACAAAGAGGUUUUGAAAGACUUGAAAAACCUUUUAUAAACCUCCUAUAGGGUUUGCAUGGCCAAGGAACUGCCUUACUCCUUUUAUAGUUGUUGGGGAUGGUAAUUUGACAAUAAGCUCCACCUUUGUUUUAUCUACUUCAAUGCCUUUUUUGGAGAUAAUAUGGCCAAGGACAAUUCCUUGACGUACCAUAAAAUGGCAUUUCUCCCAGUUAAGCACCAGGUCUUUUUCAAUGCAUCUGUGAAGAACCGCUUCCAAAUUGAUUAAGCAUUCCUCAAAUGUACCUCCAUAUACGGUGAUUUCAUCCAUGAAAACCUCCAUAAUUCGCUCCACCAUAUCACUGAAAAUACUCAACAUACAUCUUUGAAAUGUUGCAGGUGCAUUGCAUAAACCAAAAGGCAUUCUUCUGUAGGCAUAUGUUCCAAAUGGACAUGUAAAAGUGGUUUUUUCCUGAUCUUCCACAUCAAUUUCAAUCUGAAAAUACCCUGAAUACUCGUCCAAGAAACAAUAGAACGGAUGGCCAGAGACUCUCUCCAGUACUUGGUCAAUAAAUGGCAAUGGAAAAUGAUCUUUCCUGGUUAUAGCAUUCAACUUUCUAUAAUCAAUACACACCCUCCAACCUGAAGUGAGGCGUGUAGUAAUUUCUUCCCCUUUUUCAUUCUGAACCACUGUAAUCCCUGACUUCUUUGGUACCACUUGAGUAGGACUCACCCAAGGGCUGUCAGAUAUAGGGUAAAUAAUGCCUGCUUGAAGUAGCUUCAGCACCUCAGCUCGCACCACCUCUUGUAAAUGAGGAUUCAAUCUUCUUUGAAGUUGACGAAUUGGCUUUGCUUCCUCCUCCAUAUAUAUAUGAUGUGUGCAAACUAAAGGACUAAUGCCUUUCAAGUCGGAUAUUUGCCAUCCUAUUGCCUUCUUACACCUCUUGAGAACUUCCAUUAGCAACUUCUCUUGAUGACUGGUCAAAGAUGAAGAUAUUACGACAAGACAUUGAUUAUUUUCUUCAAGGUAUGUAUAUUUCAGUUCCAUGGGUAGAGGCUUCAGAUUGAGUUUUGGAGUCUCUUUUUCAGCAACUGCCUCUUCUUCUUUAUUGAACAAAGGUAGAAUCUCUUCUAUCCUUCUCCAACUUUGUAGAGUAGCAAGCACAUUAGGGGGUUCAGACAAACCUUCCUCAAAAUCCACAAGACUUUCAUUCAACUUGUCUUGCAUAUUCUGAUUACAGUGCUCCUCCACUAGAGUGUCAAUAAUGCACAACUCUUCUGGACCCUCUUCUUCUUCCAGAGUGGUUUGCUUUUUAGACAUAUAGAAGAUAUUGAGAUCAAGUGUCAUGUUGCCAAAAGUAAGUUGCAUAAGCCCAUUCCUACAGUUGAUGAUUGCAUUUGAGGUAGCAAGGAAUGACCUUCCAAGGAUGAUAAGAACUAAAUUAGCUUCCUUUACAGUAGGGUCUGUAUCAAGAACAAUAAAAUCUACCGGAUAGUAGAAAUUAUCAACUUGAACCAAGACAUCCUCAAUUACCCCCUUUGGAAUUUUUACUGAUCUAUCUGCUAGAGAUAGAGUGAUUUUCGUUGGCUUCAACUCACCAAGUCCCAAUUGCUUGUAGACGGAAUAUGGAAGCAAAUUCACACUUGCUCCCAAGUCUAACAAAGCUUUCUCCACUACCUUUCCUCCAAUCAUGACUGAAAUGGUAGGACUUCCCGGAUCUUUGUACUUCAACGGAGACUUACAUUGUAAGAUUGCACUUACUUGCUCAGUCAAGAAGGCUUUCUUAUUUGCAGUCAACCCUCUUUUAAUAGUACAUAAGUCCUUUAGGAACUUUGCAUAUGUUGGAACUUGUUUAAUCAUAUCCAGCAGUGGGAUAUUGACUUUCACUUGUCUCAAUACUUCAAGAAUUUCAGAUGCAUUUCUAAUCCCCUUUUUCCCAUGUAAUGCUUGAGGAAAAGGAGGAGAAUUUGAUUUCUUCAGCAUUUCUUCUUUUUGAAGCUCCUUCUCUGGAAUUGCAUUCAUUGUUGAAUCAUAGUCCUUCUUCUUUUCACUGAUCUCACUCUCUUUGUCUUCCAUUUCCUCCCAUUUCUUUAUCUCUUCUUCUUCUUUCUCAACAUGUGGCUUGGGUGUUGGCUUCUCAAUUUUUUUACCACUCUUUAGAGUGAUCAAGGCUUUGACAUCUUUCAUCUAUGAUGAUUUCCCCCUCAAGGCUUUCCACUUCAUGGACACCCUUGGGGUUUUGGUGGGGUUGAGAAGGAAAUCUUCCCUUUUCUUGCACUGUGUUCAAAUUUGUGAGCCUUGAAAUUGAGUAUUGGAAAUUAUCAAACUUUUGGGAUAUAUCAUUUUGCAUUCCAUCCAUCCUUUUAUUCAAAGUACUCUCCACUCUGUCAAUUCUUUGAUUGAGUUGAGCAUUGAUGGCUUCUUGGUUUCCAACAAAAUCUCCCACUACCUUGCUGAGAUUUGCUAUUGCUUGUUCAAGACUUGAAGAUUGUUGAGAUGGUUGAUCCGGCUGUUGGUACUGAGUUGCUCUGGCCUUCCAUGAGAAAUUUGGAUGAUUCCUCCAACUUGAGUUGUAAGUAUUUCCAUAAGGCCCAUUGUUAUUGGACUUGAAUUGUCCAACAACAUUUGCUUGAUCUCUAAACAUUUCCCUUUCAGCUGAAAUUACAGGGCAUUCCUCCACCAAAUGUUCAUAUGAUUGACAAUUAGGACACAGCUUCACUUGCACUGGCGCUUCAGCAACAGCUUGCACUUCAUGUAUCCUUUUCAGCUCCAGCUCCUCCAAUCUUCUUGUCAUAGCUGCCAACUUUGCUUUCAUAUCAUCAUCUUCUUUCAAGGUAUACAUCCCAGCCUUAGCAUUAAAAGCACUCAGUUGAGACUUCAUCUUCCCCACUUCUCCUUUGGUUGGUUCAUCCCAUCCCCUUGAAACUUCGGCUACAUAGCUCAAGAAAUCCAUAGCUUCCUCCGGAUUUUUGCUCAUGAAAUCUCCUUCACACAUUGUCUCGAGGAGUUGCUUCAUUGAGGAAGACAUCCCAUCAUAAAAAUAGCUCACCAAUAGCCAAGUAUCAAAGCCAUGGUGAGGGCAAGCAUUUAUAGCUUCCAUGUAUCUUUCCCAACACUCAUAGAAUUUCUCAUUCUCUUUAGCUGAGAAGUUUGAAAUUUGCCUUUUCAAGCCAUUUGUUCUAUGAGUGGGAAAAAAUUUCUUGAGGAAUUCAGCUUGUAAGUCAAUCCAAGUGCGGAUACUCCUUGGCCUUAAAGAAUUAAGCCAAAUUUUGGCCUUAUCCUUUAAAGUAAAAGGAAAUAACUUAAGCCUCAUCAAAUCAAUUGAAGCUCCUCCCUCUUGGAAUGUAUUACAAACAUCUUCAAAUUCCUUGAUGUAUGCAUAGGGAUUCUCACUUUCCAUCCCGUGGAAAGUUGGUAGAAGUGGAACAAGAUACGGUCUGAUCACUAGCUGCUCUGUAGGGGGCACUAUACAUGAUGGUGCACUCAUACGAGGUGGAUGCAUGCGGUCCCUCAUUGAUCUAAAUUCAUUGAGAUUGUCUUGACGACCUUGGUGGCUAUGCUGAUCUUCAGGUGUAGCUUCCAUGAUAUUCAAGCUCAAUUCCAAUUCCUUGUUAUGAGGUGUAUCACGUUUAACAAGCCUUCCUCCACUGUCUCGUAUCCAAUUUGGCAUACACAACUAGUAUCUAUUUGUAACUAAAAUGAAAAUAAAGGACAACAAAAGGAAACAGGGCUACAACAACAAAAUUAAACUAAGCUGAAUUUAAAAGAUAAAUUUGGAUUAUGAAUUAGUAAAGAAAGAAUGAGAAUUAGUAAAAUGAAAGAAACGUUACCAAUCUUGUGAUGAAAAUCACCAGUGCUCUUUGACACCUUCCCCGGCAACGGUGCCAUUUGAUUCAUGCCCAGUUGGUGUCUCAGCUGAUUUGUGUUCAGCUGGUGCUCCUUGAUUGAGGGAGUAAUCAACAAAAUUUAUAACCUAUUACACCAUAUACUAGGGUAGCAAAGACAAAGCUACUAUAGCAUAGCGGCUCUAGGAUCGUUCACUGGGAAGGUUUAACAAAUUAUCAAUGAUACCAAUUCAAAGUGAAUUGGUAUUGUUUCAUUUCAAGGUUAGCUUAAGAAAUAAAACACAAACUUUGAUUGGUAAAGAUUUAGAUUUAAACUAACUACAAAGCAAGUGAUGGAAAUUACUUAGGAAGAAAAACAUUCCUUGGAGGGUCAGGUUCACUGGGGAGGUUCCUCAUGCAAAACACAUAGCUCCGGUCAGUUGGUUUAUUUCCUCGCAUUAGAGAAGCAACAUAUAGUCAAUUCUCUAAUUGGUGUUGUACAGAUACAUCCUUUAAUUAGAUUUUAGCUUUAAUUCUCUCACUGAUGCAACUUGCAACGGUUCGAGCCUCUCACUAAGCCUUAACCAUUCAAGGUGAUCUUUAACCUUGGACUUUCCUUCACAAGCUCGCAAGAGAUAACUAAUGGAUGUCUCCUUGGAGUCCAAAAGCUUACCAAGUGUUGGCAAUUCCAGAAAAUCCUACCUUCAAGUCACCUCCCAGAGGCUCGCAAGGGGUAAACUAGUGCAUCUCCAUGGUUGGAGAUCACUUGCCUUACCAAGUGUUGGCCCAGGUGACUCUAAGGUGUUUUAAGUUAACUAAAAACAUAGAAAUCACUAAAGGAUUUCACUUCCUCUUCAUUCAUGGCUGAAACCACAAAGCUUUGCAUUCUUGCACUUGGAACCUUUCCCGGCAACCUUAGCUCCAAGGAACUAAAGGUUUAGUUACUCAUUCUCUGGGGAAACUUCCUCAGAGAGUGCAUAACUUAGAAAAAAUGAAAAAUACAAAGUGAGAAGGUAAGGCAAAACAAAGGUCUUGAAUUUUACUUGCUUUCAAACUUUUUCAAAAGGGUUCCUCCCUGAGAACAGGCUCUCGAGAGCUAUUUAUAUAAACAAAAACAAAUACUAAUUAUUACACGAAUAUUUUCUCUUUUUACUAACUUAAAAGCUAAGGAAUCUUAUAAUUGGUGGCUUUCAAGGAGAAUUUUGGGAUUUAGACAACAAAAAUCUGAUGAAAAACAUCUCCCAAUGUCGGUAGCAAAUAUCGGGACGCACUAAGGAUCAUUUCGCAAGUGUAAAUGAGGUCUGCGAGAUUUCGCAGAUGCACAAAAAGGACUGCGAAAUCACUUCGCAGCAAACGGCCGAUUUCGCAACGCUGCGAAAUGGUCUUUCAACUUGUGGUAUUCGGCUUCCAUCAUGACAGGAAACUUCAGGGGGGAAACACGGCACUGUACAUAAAGGCUGCGAAAUCGUCUCGCAACAAAAAGGUGAUUUCGUAGCGCUGUGCAAAAUUCUUCCUUCAGCUUGGAGUGAUUGGCUUGCAAUGGCUGUAACUCCUUCAUUUCAACUCCAAAUUGCACACCGUUUAAAGCAUUUGAUUGUUGACUUCCUGAGCUUCGAAACGACAUAUAGCAUGCAUAAAUUGGACUUCAAGAAGUGCUCCAAAGGUGGCUGACAUGAAUGUCAUCAAGAAUAUGCUUCAUGACAGAUUUCUCUUUGCUUCUUCUCCUUACAUUCCGGAUUUACUCAUGGCAGCAAAGGACUUCAAAGCUUUAGUUCUUCACAUUUCUGAGCUUCAAAUUGCUUUUCCAAAGAUUCCACAUAACUCUCCUCAAUCUCGGAUUGCUUUGGUGAUCAAAAAGCUAUCAAAACACCAAAACUUAACACAUAUUGAUUAGAAGUGCUUGCAAAGGUCUUUAAUAUGUUAAUUGGGUUAAAAUGCAAUAACUACUACUCAAAAGUGUUUAAAAGAGUUAAUUACAAGCUAUGAAAUAGCACAUUUUGAGUAGUAAUCAAUCGAACCUCCACAUUUGCAUAUAUCUCAUUUCUUGGUGUCAAUCCUAUCUCCUGGAGUUUAAAGAAGCAAAAGGCAGUGGCACGUUUAUCCACUAAAUCAGAAUAUAGAGCCCUUGCCAAUGCAGCCUCCGAGACAUCAUGGCUUCUCUCAUUAUUCAAGGAACUAGGUCUACCUUUAUCUGGACAACCCAAAUUGCUCUAUGAUAAUUUGGGUGCAACUCACCUCAAUUUUAAUCCAGUCCAACACUCUCAAAUGAAACACAUUCAGAUUGACCUUCAUUUUGUCCGAGAUAUGGUUCAAAGUGGCGUUCUAAAUGUUCAUCAUGUUAACACCUAGGACCAGCUGGUUGAUCUUCUCACAAAAGGACUCUCACGCUAAAGGACAGAAAUUUCAAGGAACAAGAUUGGCUUAGCCGAUGACAGCUCCAUCUUGCGGAGGCAUAUAAAGGAAGCAUCCUCAAAUCAAGAAAAUCCCUCAAAUCAAGCAACAAAAAUGACUGCAAAUUUUUAGCCUUCAUUCAAGGAUGUAACAAUCCUUAUUUUCCUUGUAACCGAUAACCUUAAUUCUAAGAAACUUACUUAGAAUAGCCCUUGUUAACGUGUAUUUAUUUUUUCUCAUACAAUCUCUUGUUAUGGUGUAAUAUUUUUCAAACAGAGCAGUAAUACAUUAUUGAGAAAUUCUCAAACUCCAUCACUCCCAUCUCUUUAUCCUCAAACAAUCAAGACACAAACUUUGAUGCAUCUCUGUCUUGGAUUCUUCCUGUCAAAAGGAAUAGUUGAAGUAUCUCCAUUGCUUCUCUGUUUCUUUGAGUCAAAGGACAGAGUCUGCCUUUCUCUGUUUCUUCUAAUCAUUUUCAAAAUGCAACAUUGUGAGAUCUACUAAUCCUAAACCUAUUUCUCAAAGAAUCAAAAUCAUAAAUACCAAGAUGUAUACACAUGCAGGUAACACAUCCUCUUGACAAUGAUGUGACAGGUGUAGUAGACAAGGAACAUACAUACCUGUAUUCCAAGGAAGUACUAGUGCAUUUGAUGACAUUGUUCUAGCCUAAAUUCCAAAUUUUAGCAAUCCAAAAUCGGUAACUUCUGCAAAAUUUACCUAGUUGUUGAGGGAACAACACAUCUUCUCUUACCAUUUUUAUCUUAUGCACUACAUAUCCCAUGUCAACUGCCACUUCCACUACACCUGAAUGAAGUAGGAACACAAAUGAACAUUUCAAGGCAUCAGAUUGUUUGAAAAUUAAAUUAGGAGAGGUAGAACUACCGAUGCUUACAUGGAACUAAGGAAAAGACAAACAAGAUCAACAAAAAUGGAAGAGAAAAUGCAAAUCCAUAAGCCUGUAGUUGUUGUCCAAAGCAGCUUCCUUGUCAAUUGUCAACAAAAAGUCUACUAUGAAAUUCACUGGUAGAGCCACAUAUAGAAAAUUGCAAUAAAUGGAAAAGUAAGAAAUCUGCGCUAGGAAUGGGUGAAGCUUAUUGAAUGUAAGAUUCUAAACAGUCUCUGACUAAACAGAGUUGAAGAAUAGGGUUUCACAGGAAUAAUUUUCUUUCAUUGAGAUUAUUCUUUUAUAGAGUUUACAACAUAUACAAAUCCUUCAAAUUAUGAAACUAAAUCACUAAUUAAAAAGAAAGAAUAACUCCUAACAAUUACUUUCCUAAAAAUAAAAAGAUUAACAACUAAUAAAUAAUUUACAUCUUUACAAAGUUAUUUCUUUCCAUAUCAAUUUCGGUUUUCCAACAAACACAAUUGGAGUAUAGAUAGUAUCUCUUAAAGGGAAGUGAGGUCUUGGUGACCCUAGAAGGUUAAGGCUUCUAGAUACUGGAAUAUUUGUGUGUAGACAUACAUAAGAGAGAUGUAGGAAGGAACAGGCAAGCCUGUGUCAUCUGAGUAGAGGCAUCUGGAAUCUUUGUGUGCCAUUAUUCAAUCCAAAAAGAUGUUGGGAGAGAUUUGUUUAGGAUUUAUGUGAUGUACAGUCUUUUCACAAUCAUAAAUAUGAAGGUAUUUAAGUAUGGCAUUUUGGAAUAAGGUGAUAUACCAGUAACAUGGAAAAUAAUGUGAUCACAAAGGACUACAUAGUUAGCAUGUUUGGAAUAGUUGUGGUUGGUUAAUUUCAAGCCCAAGUUUUAGCACCUAAAAACAUGCCCAUUUUUUCCAGACCCUUUAGCAAGCCUGCACAGAAGCAUUCUCUGGUUGUUACAUACAUGGUGUCUGAUUACUACUCAAAAAGUGCUAUUUUGCAGCUUGUAAUUAACUCUUUUAAACACUCUUGAGUAGUAAUUAUUACUUUUUAACUCAAUUGACAUGUUAAGGACCCUUGCAAUCGUUUCUAAUCAAAUUGUGUUAAGUUUUGGUGUUUUUGAUAGCUUUUAGCUACACCAAAGCAAUCCAAGAAUGAGGGAGAGUUGUAUAUAGUUCAUGGCAAAGCUUUUGGAAGAUCAAAUUCAUGAAGAAACCAAGCUUUGGAGCCUCAUAGUCCUUUGCCUUAGUCAUUCAAAGUAUGCAAGGAAAGAGCAAAGGAGAGAGGAAACAGAGUGAAGAAAACAGAGGACAGCAGCUGCAGUCUUCCUUCACACUUUUGGAGCACUUCCCGAAGUCCAUUUUUUACAUGCUAUAUACCAUUUCAAAUCUUAGGAAGUCAAGAAUCCAACGCUUCAAACCGUGUAAGAUUUGGAGCUGAAAUGAGGAAGAUAUGGUCUUCGGAAGACAACUGCAUCAAGUUGAGGGACAAUUUUGCACCUUGCGAAAUUGGAACUUCAAUGUGCGAAAUUUAAAGUGUAUGGCAACUGUGCAGUCGCAGUGAAGCCCAACAUGCGAAAGUGGAUUCUAAGUUGCGAAAUCAACUUGUGAAAUUUUUGCAAGUCACCAUGCAACGUGCGAAACUGGGAUUUUUGUGCAUCGACUUUUUUUCUUCUGAUAUUUUGUGUCUAAAUCUCCAUUUUCUCCUUGUAUUCAGCCACUCAUGUAAUUCCUUAGCUAGGAAGUAUUCAAGGAAGGGUAAAUUACCUUCCUAUAUAAACUCUCUUGUAAACACUAAAAAAAACUCUCUCUCUCUCUCUGAGGAGCUUGUUCCAGGAGACGAACUAUUGUAUAUUUUACACUUAGUGAAAUAUAGAGAUCUUUUUGCUUUCCUUUUCUCUUUUCUAUUUUCUUUUUCUUGGAAGCCAAACAACCUCUGAGGAUGUUUUCCCAGAGGAUGAGAGGCUAAACCUUUGGUUUCUUAGAGUGAAGGAAGCUAGGUGAAAAGUCCAGAUGCAAAAAUGGAAAACUCUCGUGCAUUAAAUACAGGUAGUUGGAGUUCAUAAAUGGCUUUUAAAUCUAAAGUUUUGCUUUAAAUCCCUUAGAAUCACUUUGAAUGGCCAAUACAUGAUAAGCUUUUAGGUCUCUGUGGAUACUUAUUGCUAGAUCCACAUAAGACCAUUAGUUAUCAUGUACGAGCCAUUGGAAAGUGGCUCAAGGUGAAGACCCAUAGUGUCUAAAGCCAUUAAUGGAACUUGACUACCAUUUCUAUUGACUUUUUAUGGAUUAAAUCUUCAUUGUUAAACCUAUACCGGUUCGGGAAACAACCAUCCUUUAUGUUGUUGUCCCCAAUGCGAGGAGAAAGAUCCGAAAUUUCCCACUUUGCAUUCUGAACUUGAUCCUAGCAACCUUUAGCUCUGGGAGACUUUCUUUCUUCCAUUUUUACCUAGUUCUAUGUUAGUUUAGUUCCAAACACCACUUUCAAAACAAAUUUUCUUUUCUUUUAAACUUUAAGUUUUAGACAAAGGAAAUCAUCAGACUCAAUUUCUAAUCUUGAGUCUAUCACUGGUAGAGUGAAAACCCAUCCCAGAGUUCCACCCUAGAGCUGCUAUACUAUAGUAGCUUUGCUACGCCAGUAUAAGGUCAUAGGAUUUAUAAAUAUUUUUUUGAUUAAAUUACCCAACUGGGCACGAAUCAGUGUCUGCAUAUCAAUCAACACAUUUUGAUGUUUUUUUUUUCUCAAAUUCCAUAUUAAAGUUAUACUGGACACUUGAAUGUGAACAUGUCUGAUUAUAUCUUUUCUUUCCAGACAUGUUUCAUCUCUCCAGUGCACUAGGUUUGGAUGAACCUUAAAGCUCAGCUACAGAAUGAAACUGGAAUAUUAGUCAUGUUUUCUGUUCAUAGAUUGAUAAAAAUGUUGAGUAAGAUCAAGAAAGUUGUUAAAUGGGAAGAUGAUGAUUUUCUUACUGUCAGUUUGCAUUGAAAAAAUGGUAAUCAGAAAAGAUAUUUUAGAUAGGAUUCAGAAAGAAAAUAUGUUGAUUCAAAAGUUAAAGAUAUAGUACCCAAGGGGCUAUGAUCCUGUAUAUGGAUGUUUCAUGUUUUAAGAUUGUGCACGAAGUGCUGAUGUUAUAAGGGAUCAAGGGUGGUUUGUGGAGUAGUCCCCUCUUCAGAGUAUUGCAAGUAUCUAGAUAAUCCUGCAAUUCUGGAGUAGGCUUCUUCUAAUUUGCUCUGCUCCCAAUCGUCCAGAAUAGUGGAAAGCUUCAUUCAGUUGUAAUAAUUUUAUUAUUUAGAUUGAAUCAUAUUCAUUAGGUUUAUAGAUAAGGAGAAAGUGUCAUGGCUUUGAAUGUUUGUCUCUUUGAUAAUAUCACAGUGCAUUGGUUCACAGAGAUGGAAGCAUGACAGUUGAAUGAAAUGACUGAAAUGUAGCAGUCAAGGGUAUAUUAUAUGAAAAAUUUUAAAUAAAGCAACCUGUUUGACUUUACAUAGUGUGCUUGCAUCAGUUGUGGACGUCUAAUGGUUGGAAUAUCCUUGCACAUAUGUCAUCAUUUUCUUUUUUUUCAACUCUGUUUUCUUUGUUUCUCCCUUCCUCGAUCAAGCCAAACCACUUGGUGAUUCUUCAUUUCUUCUUCAUCCCAUCAAGAGAACAGCAUCUCAUGCAUCUUUGUAUUAGGUUCCUCCCUCUUCUUCAACCCUAAGGAAAAACCGUAUCUUGCUUAGUUUGGACUUCUCUAUUUCUUUUGAUCAUUGUGAAAAGAAUCAUGAGAAGAGGUACAAUAAAUGUGUUGUGCUGAAUUAUUCAAAACAUUAUUUUCAUAAUCAUAAAUACCAAGGUGUUUAAGUAGCAGGUAAGACAUCUCUUGACAAUGAGGUGAGAGGUAGAAAUAAGCAACAUACUUGUAUUCAAGAGAAGUUCUGUUCUUCUUUUGAAAUUUGACAACAUCCAUUUAGUCUGAACUCAAUAUCUGGGCAACUCAAUAUCUCCACCUUCAUUAGGAUUGCAGGAAGCUGGCUUAUUGGAAAGACAUGAAACGGGGGCAUUUCAAAAUCCAAAAAAAUUUCAGAGACCUGUUGCAACUUUUGAAUUGCUCAAAUCAGUAACAACUCCAAAGAUAUAUACAUAUCUGCCCCUGGGAAAUAGAGGUGUCCUAGGCAUGCAACCAUGGAAUGUUAGCUCCCUAAUAGGCUCAAGGUUGUGAUCAUAAAAAAUGCACUGAGUGAGUGACUUGCAAUCAGUUCUGUGAGUCCCUCUUGGUAGCUUCUCAUUUAUUUCACCAUAUGAAUUGCAGAUUCCAACUGCCAAUUUCACCACCCCUAAAUGAACUAGGAGACAUGUUGAAAGCAAAGUUAGACAACUCAUCAUAGAGUUAAUCCUGUAGGAAUACACCAAAAAGGAAAUCUUAUUAAUAUAAAUGAAUUCAUCCAAUUAAAGGAUAAGGUUGCCUGAAAAAUUAAAUUGAGAGAGAUGGAUAUAGUGAUGCUUACAUGGGACUGUGGGAAGGAUCAACAAGAGAAACAAAUAUUGAAUAGAAAAUGCAAAGCCAUAGAGUUUGCAACUGCUGUCAAAAGCUGCUCCCUAGUGAAGUCUUUUAACAAUAAAUUUUAGUGCAAAAUUCGCCUAAUUGCUCCACUUGUAGGACAUUUCAAUAGUAUGAAAACAGGAUAUGGUGAACUCUCCCUGCUUCUUCCAUUAGUGAACUAAUAUGGAUCAAAGAUGAAUCUCGUCAUCUACAUCUAUUUUUACAUAGGAGAUGUGGGCAAUCUUGGGCCAAUCUUUCAUCAUUGGAUUUAGGAGUUGUCUUUGAUUUAUGGUUCUAAAAGCAUGGCAGGAAACCCUUCACUUGUCAAAUACUACUGGAGCUUAGGUGAUGUCUCAAUGUGGGGAUGCCAAGGAUACCAGAUUCUGGAAUCUUUACAUGAAAAUAUACAUGAGAUCCAUAGGGAGAAAAUACAGGCCUUGGUCAUCUGAGAAAGAAGCCACAUAUUGAAAUAUACCACCAACGAUGAAUUGUUUGAGAGUGGUGAGUCUGUGAGGGCCCCACUAGGACCUGGGGUGUUUCUCACAUUCUUUCAAUCUUCAAUCUGAAAUAUCCACUUAAGCAAUUGUACCUCUAGGAAUGAGUCAUUUUGGGGCAGAUUGUUUUCAUUUUCCUUCACACCAUUGUUUCACCAUAGGGCACUAAAUGAUAUGUAGUUGCAAGACAAAUAAAGGUAGCCUUUAAUGAAAGCUUAUAGAAAUUCAAGACAAACAGAUCUUCAUGGAGAUAUGAGGUUUUGAAAUCCAAUAAAGAUUUGAAAAUCCAGACACGAGUUAUCCAAUGUACCCAUUGGUAAUAGAGUUGGGUAGUAUUGUUCCUUCUACCCUUGGAAAAUGACAUCACAUGAGAAAUUCCACUAGUAAUGGGGAGCUUAAGUGAUGUGUUGGGGCUUGGGCAAUGUUGUAUCUUAAGAUAUUCAAGAGAUGUGUGAUCAUGCAUCAACCCUAAUUCUGCUAGCAUAAUCUGGUUUUCAGUCUUAAAUAUGUAGUUAAAAUGUAUGGCAGGUCAUGCAUGCAUCUCUGAUAUUGUCAUGAGAAGUGGAGAUUGAGCAACAUACAUGAUUCAAGGGAUGUGCAAUUGUUCUUAUCCAUCGAACAAUCUUCAUUUGAUACAGAGCCCAGAUUUUUAGCAACUUGUGAUCUCCACAUUUUAACACAUUGGAGGAAGUUGGCCUAUUCAACAAACAAGACAGGACAUUUAGAAAAAUGCAAGAAUUCCAGACAUGUGUUGCUGUCAUGAAUUAUUCUAAUCAGUAAGGAAUCAAAGUGCUAUAAUUUUGAUUUGUGUAGCUAUUUAACAUGGAUAACAGACCUAUCUUGGGGAAGUAACUUAAGUCCCACACACCAUCUCAAUCCUGAGCUCUCUGGGAUACUUAAGACACCAACUUAAUCAAAGUUGCUACUUGUUUCUAUGGUAGCUCGUCUUUUUCCACUGAUACUGGGGAAAAAGCAAAACAAAGGGAAAUGAAGUCAUGUUAUGAUCCUGUCUCCAAUCUCCUUGACACAGAUAGAUGAUUUCCUUGCAACCGAUAAUGUCUAAUGCUUUCACUUCAGUUCUAGCAUGUGUUUUGGGAAGAGAAUUAAGCUUUCAAAUAUUGCCAAUAUGCAAGGAAUUGAGAAAGGCCAGGUGGGCAGCUGCCACAGUUAGUUCACAAACCAAUGGCAACAUUGGAGUGGAACAUGACACAAAAACUUCAAAAGACAAAACCUGUUUUUCACAAUCAUAAAUACCGAGGUGUUUAAGCAUAAAGUAAUGCAUCUAUUGACAAUGAUAUGUGACGUGGAGACAAGCAACAUACCUGUAUUCAAGAUAAAUGGUAUUCUUCUUUUGCAUUGACAACAUUCAUCUAGUCUAGGCCCCAAAUUUUUAGCAACUCUAGAUCUCCACCUUUAUUAGGAUUACAGGAAGCUAACCACUUGGAAAGACAUGAGAGUAACAUUUAGAAAUCUGAAAGGAUUCUAGAGAGCUGCUACAAAUGGUGAAUCAUUCCAAUCAGUAACAACAAGGAGCCCUAUAUACAAUUUUGAACUAUCAGCCUUCAUAGCAUGAAUGAUAAACUUGUCCCUAGGAAUGAGAUGUGCCUUGGGCAUGCAACCUUCAAUUAUUAGUCAGAGUUACCCCUACCUAAUCCAUUUCGAUGUGUCUGGGAAAACGAGGUCCACCAGAUGUUAUGGCCAUUAUCUCAUGGUAGUGGAUGUUUUGAAGCAGAGUAUCACUGGAGGUUAUGGCCAUUAUCCCAUUGCAGCAGAUGUUUUGCACCAGAGUUUAAAACCAAGUCAUUGACAAAGGCCAUAGUGAUGUCAUUGAUUUUAUUCUAAACCUAUCAAAAACAAUAUGAGAUUCACUUUGAUUUCAAGUUAUGCAAGAUCUAUAUGAGCUCAAUUGUUUUGAAACUUGAUUGAUGUUUCGUUGGUCAGGUUUUUUUUAGACAUGAACUUAUUUUUUGUGCUUAACUUGAAGAAGCUGCUAAUAAGACUGAAUAGUCACAUAUCACUUAGAGAGUUGAGAAUCACACAACUUUUUCGUUUUUUUUAGGACUGGUUUGUCAUCAAGUCUUUUGCUCAGUUGUUGUGAUGGUUUGAAAUUUCUAUCUGAUGACUAUAACCUAUAUAAACAACAACUUGUAUUCUCUUAUCUUGAGCAUUUUAGUAUUCAAUAAAAAAGACCUUUACUAAACCUGCAGAUUUUUUCAAGUGAUAUUUUUUUUUUCAACAAGGAAGGGAGGCAUUUUUAUUGGUAGCAUAUCCUGAUUCAUAGAGUCUAAACCCUUGCAAAUUGAAAGAAAGACAAUUUACAUAUCAUUAAAGGGUGAUCUGUAAGCACUCUUAUAAGCCAACAUCUUCCUCAUUUGGAUUUGGAAUUUAACCUUUGAUAAGCGUUUACUUGUUUUUAAUCUAUUUUUUAGGAAGACAAUUAAUGAGAUUUUGCCAACCAAAAACAGAGGUUUGUUAGCCCUCCUACCCUCAAGCUGGUUCUCUUGCAUAUGCUUGAAGAACUAAAACAAAGUAAUGCACUAUAUCCUAGUUCUAACGAUUUCCAAUCCCCGGCAACGGCUCCAAUUUCUUGACCAAACUUCUCUACUUAAUCAAAAUACUUAGCCUUUUUGCGUAGCAACUCCGGUCAAGAAAAAACUAGAGAAAUAGUCACUACGUCUUUUGUAGUAUUCCGGGUAUCGUCCUCAAGGACUGGCUUAUGGAAAUUGUCAAUACAAGAAUAAAUGAAUUGCUUUUAUUUAAAUUCUAAAGUGAAAACCAAUAUGUGAAUAAUGUGAAACUAAGUAAAAGAAAUGAAAUUAAUAAAAAAAUGAAUAUUCAUUUUAAAUUCAAUUGAUUCAAGUUUGGGGUUUUCCACAAUCCAACAUAGGGUAUAGAAAUUAGAGAAAACAAGGGUCUUUUAAGUAAUAUGAUCUUAGGAUUUUGGGAUCCUUAGCCGCUCGCUAUCAAGUUGAGUUCUAUAACUCAAAAUUGCAUCUGAAACUUAAUUUUUGCUUUUUAAAAUAGAUUCCUAAAACCAUCAAAUGAAUGAGAUUGAUUACCAAUUUAAGAUUUGGCUUUUUAACCCUUCCAACUCCUUAUAGCUUUGUUUAGGGGCAAAUAGCGAUAGGGAAGACGAGGAUAACUAAUGGUCAAGAAUUACCAAGAAUCACUAGUAUCAGGUAAUAACCUACGGUAUCAUUCCCUAAACGAACUCACAAAGAUAGGAUAAAAAAAUGAUAAAUUGUCACCCAACCAAUAAUUAAUCUCAUUGUUAUAAUAAUUUACCCAUUGUCCCUAUAGGUUUCCUAGACCUUAGGUUUUCAUGCUUCAAGCCCCAAGUUGGCUCUUAACCUCUCAUGGGGGUGAUGUCACAUUCACAAUCCAUAAUAGGGUAAAAAUCCAUAAUUUGAAUCAAAAGAAACCAAUUAAUUAGUCAUUGCAUUUUCAUAGUCUUACAAGAAAUCUUGUUAUGGUGGCAGGAGAACAAACUACAACAUAGUCUCAUUUCCCUUCAUGAUUUAGACAUUAUAAAGAUCAAAAACCUGUUCCUGGUAAUAUAAGAAAAAGAGUAGCCAAAGAACAGGAACAAAAUGUAUUGGAACCUUGUGGAAUUGAAUAGUUGGUAUCCAGGUGGAAAAAAUACACAAAAAUGCACUUAACAAACUGCUAAUCAACAGGCCAAGAUUCUACUUCCAAGAGACAGGUUUGUCAUCCAUGUCAAGAAGGCUUGCACUUCAUUUUUCUGGGACUUUGGCAUCAACAAAUUUCUGGAAUUCUUUCAGGUUUCUAAAUGGAAUGGUUCAAGUCAUCAACACAUUCCUAGAAUUCUUUUGUAAAUGUCAUCAUCCUGGCCAACUUUCUUCAGUGUUGAAAGAGGGGGUGAUACCAUGUUGCUAAAAAUUAUAGUCCAUAUGUACUAGAUGGACAAGAACUACAACACUUGUAUUAGAAACAUCUCUGUUGCCUGGAUUUGCAUUACCUGCCAUAAUUAAGCACCUUUUUAUUAUUGUAGCAGAGUGUUUCAGAGUCACCCAUACCUAAUCCAUCUUCAUGUCUCUCAAACAACUAGGUCUAUUGGUAGUAGAAGAAGAGCAGCUUGAAUAGCUGGUCAUUUCCUUUUAUAAUUUAGGGAUAGAGGUUAAAAACUACCGCACUUAAAUAACUGGUAUUCAGGUGGACAAGAACUACAACACUUCUCUAAGAAACAUGUAUAUUAUUUCUUCAACUCUUACUCUAUUCCCUGGAGUUGCAUUACCUGCCAUGAUUAAUCGCCUCCUAUUUAUUCUUGUGGAGAAACAGGUUUUGGUGUAUGUAGAGAGACUAUACAAUUAUUGCACCUCUUGAUUUUCAAGACCGCCCAACCUCUCCUUGAGAAUCUAGAAUUGUCAAACUGAUUUAUGGCUAACCUUCCAAGGACCUUAGGGGCUUCAUACAAGGUAGAUCUUGUGUAAGAGAUUCAAAAUUAUCUCUACAUAAUCCAUCUCCAUUUCUUUAUAAUAACUAGAUGUUGAUUCAUGCCCAAUUGGUGUCUUAGCUGAUUCGUGUCCAGCUGGUGCUCCUUGAUAGAGGGAGUAAUCAACAAAAUUUCUAACCUAUAACACCAUAUACUAGGGUAGCAAAGAAAAAGCUACUAUAGUAUAGCGGCUCUAGGAUCGUUCAUUGGGAAGGAUUAGCAAGCUAUCAAUGAUACCAAUUCCAAGUGAAUUGGUCUUGUUUCAUUUCAAGGUUAGCUUAAGAAAUAAAACACAAACUUUGAUUGGUAAAGAUUUAAACUAACUAACAUAACAAGUACUCAGAAUAACUUAGGAAGAAAAGCAUUCCUUGGAGAGUUAGGUUCACUGGGGUGGUUCCUCAUGCAAAAGACAUAGCUCUGGUCAGAUGGUUCAUUUCCACGCGUUAAAGAUUCAACAUAUAGUCAAUUCUCUAACCGGUGUUGCACAGAUACCCCCUUCAAUUAGAUUUUACUUUAAUUCUCUCACUGAUGCAACUUGCAAUGGUUUCAGCCUCUCACUAAGCCGUAACCAUUCAAGGUGAUCUUUAACCUUGGAUUACCCGUCAAAAGCUCACAAGAGAUAACUAAUGAAUGUCUCCUUGGAGUCCAAAAGCUUACCAAGUGUUGGCUAUUCUAGAAAAUCCUACCCUAAAGUCACCUCCCAGAGGCUCGCAAGGGGUAAACUAGUGCAUUUCCAUGGUUCGAAAUCACUUGCCUUACCAAGUAUUGGCCCAGGUGACUAUAAGGUGUUUUAAGUUAACUAAAAACAUAGAAAUCACUAAAGGAUUUCACUUCCUCUUCAUUAAUAGCUAAAACCACAAAGAUUUGCAUUCUUGCACUUGGAACCUUCCCCGGCAACCUUAGCUCCAAGGAAUUAGAGGUUUAGUUACUCAUUCUCUGGGGAAAACUCCUCAGAGAGUUCAUAACUUAGUAAGAAAAUAAAAAUACAAAGUGAGAAGGUAAAGCAAUACAAAGAACUGAACUUUACUUGCUUACCCAAGACUUUUACAAAAGGAUCUCCUCUCUGAGAACAGGCUCCCGAGAGGUACUUAUAUGAACAUAAUAUAAAACUAAUUAUUACAUAGAUAUUUUCUCUUUUUACUAACUUAAAAGCUAAGGAAUCUUGUAAUUGGUGGCUUACAAGGAGUAUUUUGGGAUUUAGACAACAAAAAUCUGAUGUAAAAUAUCUCCCAAUGUCGGUAGCAAAUAUCGGGAUGCUCCAGGAACCAUUUCGCAAGAGAAAAUGGUGUCUGCGAGAUUUCGCAGGCACUCAAGAAGGGCUGCGAAAUCAUUUCGCAACAACAUGCUAUCUUCGCAAGGCUGCGAAGUUGGCUUCCACCUUGAGGUUCUCAGAUCCCAGCUUGCAGCAUAUAUCAGGCAACUUCAGAAGGAAAUACACCCUACUGUACAAAAAGGCUGCGGAAUCACUUCGCAACAAAAGGGUGAUUUCGUAACACUUUGGAAAUUGCUUCCUUCAGCUUGGAGUGAUUGGCUUGCAAUGGCUGCAACUUCUUCGUUUCAACUCCGAAUUGCGCACCAUUUAAAGCAUUGGAUUGUUGACUUCCUGAGCUUUGAAAUGGUAUAUAUCAUGCAUCAAUUGGACUUCAGAAAGUACUCCAAAAGUGGCUGCUACAACUGUCAUCAAGAAUAUGCUUCAUGGCAGAUUCUCUUUACUUUUUCUCCUUGCAAUCCGGAUUUACUCUUGGAAAAUGACUUCUAAACUUUACCCAAGAUUCCUCAAAACUCUCCUCAAACUUGAAUUGAUUUGGUGAUCAAAUUACUAACAAAAACACCAAAACUUACACAAAGUGAUUAAAAUUGCUUUCAAGGGUCCUUAACAUGCCAAUUGAGUUAAAAGGCCAAAACUACUAAUCAAAAGUGUUUAAAAGGAUUAAUUAUAAGCUAUCAAAUAGCACUUUUUGAGUAGUAAUCAGAUGUUAUGGCCAAAAUCUCACAUAAGGUGUCAGGUUCAUGUUGGGGCUCAUUCACAAGAUUAAGAUGAAUAUAAUAGGGGAUGUUCCAGAUUUACCACCAGCCAUGUUGUCAAGUUGUUCAAUUUUCUUGUGUUGACUAUGGCCACAAUCACAGUUGUGUGUCCUUUCCCAAAAGAAAUGUCAUUUUGAAACUUUUAAUGUCAACAACAAAACUUUCAUGUUUCUAUAUUCAGGUACCCACAAAAAAUUGAGUCCCUGUUUGCAUCCAAUGAUAGAAAGUAAUAAUCUGAACAAGGGAACAAGUGAGGAGAAAACUAAUUCUAAACACGGAAGCCAAGUACUUGAUUUCUGUUUGACUGGUGGAAUAAUUGAAAUGUAUUUACAGAUUUAGCAUUAGAUAAGUUUAACAAAAUCACUAGUUAACCCCCAAACCUCUUCCCUCCACCCACCACAAAGGAAAGAAACAACGUUUUGGGAUCCUAGUAGCUUUAUGUUACAAGAUUCUGAUCAACAUAUGCUGCAAAGUAUUAUGUUGGUUCAAUUCCUCUACUUUGCAUUGCAACAAAGUAUAAGUGGGUUUUCUCUUUUCUUCAUCUUCAAAUGAAACAACCCUUCUCAAUAAAAGAAUACAAGAAAUUGAGAGCUAAGACCAUUUCCUUUCAUUGUGCUUUGUUUACUCUACUCCUUCUUUUGGUCAAGCCAAACAAUCUUUGGCUUGUCCAUUUCUUUUUCACCCCACAUAAAAAGGCAGCUUGUUAAGUUAUCCCAUCUCUUUAUCCCCUUGUCAAGACACAGAAUUUAAUGCAUUGUUGUCUUGGAUUCCUCCUAGUUAAAAGGAAGCUUGAAAUAUCUCUAGUGCUUCUCUGUUUCUUUGAGUCAAAUGAUAGAAUAUUGAUUUUCUCUGUUUCUUUGAGAUGCAAGAGGUUUGUACAGAACUUAGGUGAUGUAACUAUUGGUCAGUGAGGUAUUUAAUUAGAGAACUUUGGAGGCUUGGGCAUUACUAUUUAUUUAGAUAUUCAAAAUGCAUUAUUGCACAUCUUCUUGACUUCCUGUAAAUGAACUUGUUUUUCACAAUCAUAAAUAUGGAGGUAUUUAAUUAUGGUAGGUAAUAUACCACCUAGAAAUUGAUGUGGAAGGUGGAGACUAACAACAACAUAGAUGUAUAUAAGGGAUUUACACUUAGUCUUGUGCAUCAAACAACCCUCAUUUAGUAUAAACCAUAAAUUUUGGCAACUCGUGAUCCACAAUUUAGAGCAUGAGAGGAAGCAGACCUGUUGGAAAGACAAGAGGAGACAGUUAAAAACAUGCAAGAAUUCCAUAGAUGAGUUGCUGUUAUGAAUUAUUCAAAAUCCAUGAGAAAAUUUAAAGCCCAUUAAUUUUGAAUGAAACACCUACUUAGCAUGGAUCAGAAACCUAUUUUACGAAAAGAAACCAAGUCUUGAGGACCAAUUCAAUUACCAAAUCUCUAGGAAAUACUAAGGCCUUUUUAGUAGCUUCCUAAUUAGUGCAUAAGGUGGCAAUGCUAAUUGCUUUUUUGGAAGUUCUUCUUCUUCUGGUAUCGAGGAAAAUGCUAUAAUCCUAAAUCUGCAUUCUCUAUGUACAAAUGUUUUUUUCGAUGCAUACUGUUAGAGAAGAUGAGGAAGCUUCAGAAUGUUAGUUGACAAAUCAAUUGGAGCAAUGGAAUUGGAACAGGACACUAACUUCACAACAUUAAAAAUAAGUAAUGCAGAUAAGGGCAUUUAUAUGUACACAUAUUGAUCAGAAAUAAACUUCAUUCUUUAGCAACCUAAAAACUCAAAAGAAAGAAGUAUAAUUUCAGAUAUGCAAGAUUUUGAUCAAUUAAAGUCCAAAGCAUUUUAUGUUCAUACAAAUGAGAAGACAGAAUGGCAGCUGACUUUGAGGAUUGAUAGAAAAAUGAAUUGAUGCUACUUCCCAAUGCUAAUGCCAUUAAUUUGUUGUUGCUUUUUGUGGCCAUGUCAAGCUUGUCCAUCAGAUAAGGUUUGAAUUGCUUCUAUUAUUCUUGUUUAAGACAAUCCCCCCCUCCCCCCCUCCUUUUUUUUCUUUGUUAUAGUCAAUCAUCUUGUUUCAUGUUUGCCCUAUAGUUGGUCUGCUGAUGGUAGGCUUCUUUUGAGUGGAAGCAAAGACUCUAUGUUGAAGGUAAAUCAUGGGAACUAUGUCUUUUUGUGGUAUCAAUGGGGCUAUCAUAUAGUUGAAUGAUUCUAUUGCUUCCUUAUAGCUUUUCAAGGCACUAAAAAAGAAAAGAACAAAUGUGACAUGGCAACAUUUUUUUCUUCCAAGUUUAAACGGUAAUUUGGGAGAGUGUAUUAUGAAAAUAUACUAAAAUAAAAAAUCCUAUGAAUGCAUUCUACUUUGGAUAUUUCUUAUGAAUCUUUCCUUCCACUCCUAACCACCACAGACACUCCCAUCACACCAAGCCUUGUAGUUGUUCUAAAUUGUUGCAAAUCUGUCAGAAACCAAUUACUAAUAUUAAGGACGGUCAUGUCUACUAAUUUGGGGCUAGAAUUUUUAGAGCAGGUGGGAAAUUCUGGUUGCAGUAGGGAAUGUGAGUGCUACUAUUUUGCCAAGGUGGCUUUCCUUAUUCAUGCUAACAUCAACAACAUAGCAAUGAACUCAAUUUAAUAUUGUUUAUCAUAUAGGCUUGAGAUAUCCGGACAUAAAAGUUAAAACAAGACCUUCUAGGCUAUGAAGAUGAGGUAUUUUCCUCCUCUUAAGUACUAGUUAAUAUUCUUCUUUUGACAUUGUACUUGGUUUAAUUAAUGUUUUCCUUCUUUUCGUAUUUUGGAAAGGUUUUUGCUAUUGAUUGGAGUCCAGGUGGUGAGAAGGUAUUCUCCGGUGGUAAGGAUAGAGUACUCAAUUUAUGGAUGGGUUGAUGGCUGAAGGAGGAAGAGAUGUAUGAAAUGAAGAUUGAUAUUAUUCUUCCACAACAUGAUGGACUUGACAGCACUCAGCUUUUGCCUACAGUUAAUAGUCUACCAUAUGUGUAACUUAAAGGUUGUGCACUAAGUUCUGAUGUUAUGAAGGAUCGAGGGUGGUUUGUGCACUAUGCUUUUCUAAAAUGUUUUUCUUUAUUGAGUUGUAAUGAUUGUAUUAUUUGGAUUUAAUUGUAUUAAUUAGGUUUGCAGAUCAUGAUAUGAUUAUUUUCCUCUUUGAUCAUGUAAAGUUGGGAAACAGUUAUGGGUUACUGUAAUAGUAUGGUAUAUUGAUGCACAUAGUUUGUGGCAUGACAAUUUGAUGAAAUAACAGAAGUGUAGCACUCAUGGGCAUAUCAUGUGAACCUUAUUCAAUGUGGCAUUGAUAAUUAGUUUAAAUUUACAUGGGUGUAAUGUCGCACCAGUAUCAUCUGAUGAACCUUGGAUUCUUUUUUCUCAGUUUCUUCCUCUCUUAGUCAAGCUAAACAAUUUAUCUUCAUGACUUCCUUAUGUUACCAAAAAAUAGCAUCUUGUGUUCUCCAUAUCUUCAUCCCCUUGUCAAGACACAACAAUUUGAUGCAUCUUUGCAUUGGGUUACUUCCUCUCAUUUCCCUCUCCUUCUUCCUCGUAUCAUUGCUUAGUUUUGGCUACUCUAUUUCUUUUGAUCAUUAUGGUAGAGCAUCAUUGCAAGAUGUAUAAGAAAUGUUGUGGUGCAUUAUCCCCUUCUCUACCACCUGAAAUCUGUUUUCCAUGAUCAUUAAUACCAAGAUGUGUAAGCAUCAAGUAAGGCAUCUCUUGACAAUUAUGUAAGAGAUAAGAGACAAGCAACAUACCGGUAUUCAAGAGAAGUGAUGUUCUACAUUUACAGUUGGCAACAUGCAUUUAGUCUGAACUCCAGAUUUGAGCAACUUAGAAUCUCCACCUUCAUUAGGAUUGCAAAAAGUUAACUUCUUGGAAAAAUGUGGAAAUGGGGCAUUUAGAAAUCAGAAAGAAUCCCAGUGACCUAUUGCUACUUUUGAAUCAUUCCAAUCACUAACAACUCUAAAGAUAUAUAUAUACAAAUCUAUCCUUGGGAAAGAACUCGAUGUUUCUUGGGCAUGCAACCAUCUCUCUUAAUAGACUUAGGGUUCUACACCCUCUUGGUGGUUUCUUAUAUAUUGCACCAUAUGAUUUGUAGAUAUCCAAUUGUCAAUUUCACUACACUUGAUGAACUAGAAGCUAUGUUGAAAGUGAAGUUAAACAACCCAUCAUAUCCGGUUAAAGGAUAAAGUUGCAUGAAAAAUUGAAUUGGGAGAGAUACAAAUACUGAUGCUUACGUGGGACUGUGGAAGGAAUCAACAUGAGGAACAAACAAUUAAUAGUAAAUGUAAAGUCAUAAAGCUUGUAACAACUGUCAAAAGCUACUCUAUAGUGAAGUUUUUUAACAAUAAAGGUAACUGAAAAAUUCACCAAGUAACUCCACUUGAAGGAAAUUUCAAUGGUAUGAAACUAGAAUAUGGUGAACUCUCCUUGCUUCUGCUAUUGUUAUGAGCCAUUAUAGAUCAAAGAUGAAUCUCGCCAUUUGUUUUCACAUAGGAGAUGUGGGCUAUCUUUGGGUCAUCUCUCAUCAUUGGAUUUAGGAGUUCUAUCUCUCAUAUAUAGUUUCACUUGCCAACUACAAAUGGAGCUUAGAAAAUGUCUCCAUGAUAUGGAGACUGAGAAACAUACAUGAUUCAAGGGAUGUGUAGUUGUUCUUGUGAAUCACCCAAUCUUCAUCUAAUAUAUAUAGAUCGACACACAAAUUUUAGCAACUUGUAAUCUCCACAUUUUAGAGCACUGGAUAAAGCUAGCCUAUUCAACAAACAUAACACAAUUAGAAAAAUGCUAGAAUUCCAGAGACAUGUUGUGAUAUCAUGCAUUCCAAUCAGUAAGGAAUCAAAGUGCUAUAAUUUUAAAUUGUGUAAUAAUAGACCUAUCUUGGGGAAGUAAACUAUCUUGAGCACCAACUCAAUUGUGAGUUAUUUAGGAGACCUGGAUACCAACUCAAUCAAAGCUGUUAGUUGUUUCUGUGGCAGCUUGUCUUCCUCCACUAAUACUGGAGAAAAUGCUUUUGAAACCCUUAAUCUUCAAAUCACAAAGGGAAAUUAGAUUAUGUUGUUAUUCGAUCUCCAAUCUCCUCGACACAAACGAAUGAUUUCCUUGCAACAAACAAUGUCUAAUUCUAUCACUUGUACUCUAGCAUGUGAUUUGGGAAGAGAAUUAAGCUUUGGAAUAUUGCCAAUAAACAAGGAAUUGAGAAAGACCAAGUAGGCAGCCACCACAACUAGUUCACAAACAAAUGGAAGCAUUGGGAGUGGAACAUGACACAAAAACAAAACAUGUUUUCCAUAUUCAUAAAUACCAAGGUGUUUAAGCAUCAGGUAAGGCAUCUCUUUACAAUAAUAUGAGAGAUAGAGACAAGCAGCAUACCAUUAUUCAAAAGAAGUGGUAUUCUUCUUUUGCAUUUGAUAACAUUCAUCCACUUUACACCCCAAUUUUGGAAACUUAGGAUAUCUCCACUUUGAUUAGGAAUAUUGUGGGAAGUUGGCCUCUUGGAAAUACAUGAGAGGCCACUUAGAAAUUUGAAAAAAUUCUAGAGACUUGUUAUUGCUUGAAUUGUGAAUCAUUCCAAUCAGUAACAACCGUAAAGCCUUUAUACACAAUUUUGAAUUAUUAGCCUUCUUACUUUGGAUGAAAAAUUUGUCCCUAGAAAAGAGACGUGUCUUGGGGCAUGCAACCAUCAAUUAUUAGCUCUUUAAAAGGCUUGAAGUUGUGCACGCUCUUGGUAGCUUCUCAUUCAUUACAACAUAUAAAUUCCAGAUAUCCAAUUGCAUGUCACUUUAAUUGAACAUAGUAGGAAACAUGGUGAAUAGGAAGUUAGACAACCUAUCACAAAAAGAAUCCAACAAUAAUACACCAAAUAGAACAUCUUGCUAAUUUAGUUAAACUAUUGUGUGAAAAUCUAAAUUGGGAGAGAGAAAACAUUGAUGCUUACAUGGGACUGUGGAAGGAACCAACAAGGAAAACAAACUUUGAAUAGAAAAUAUGAAGCCUUAAAUCUUGUAAUUGUUGUCAGAAGUUGCCCCCUAGUCAAGUUUUCAAUAAAAAAGUUCAGUGCAGGGAUUCUCUAGUAGCUCAACUUGUAGAAAAUUUUAACAGUAUGACAAUUUAUACUUAUAAAAAGAAAAUAAAAUGUAAGAAUUAUGUGUUGGGAAUAGAUGAAACUUACUGAAUAUAUGGAUAGAAUAGGGUGAACUCCACCUGCUUCCAUUUUUGGAAUCCAAACUAUUAUGGAUCAAAGAUGAAUCUCUCCAUCUAUUUACAAAUAUGACUUAUGGGCAAUCUUGAACUGAUGUCUCAUCAUUGGAUUUAGAAAUGAUGUAUAGCUUUGAAACCAUGGCAGGGUUCUCCUUUAGUUGCCAAAUACCACUAGAGCUUAGGUGAAGUCUUGGUGAUGUAGGAAAGUCAUGGAUUCUGGAAUCUUUACAUUAAAAUAUACGUGAGAUACAUUGGAAGAAAGGGCACCAUCUGAGAAGAAACACAUCUUAAAGUAUACCAUCAAUCAUGAGUUAUUUGAGAGUGAGAAGUCUUUGAAGGCCUCACUCAGAUAAGGGAUGUCUUUGACAUUUCUCACUCUUCAAUCUCAGGAAGAUACAUUAUCAACUAAAACCUUAGGAGUGUGAGUCAUUAUGGGACAACUUGUUUAUGUUCUUUAUUCUUUUCUCACCAGAGGGGAUUGAAAGAUAUGUAGUUGCAAAGGCAAAAGAUGUAGCUAGUAGCGAGAGCAUCGAACAAUCCUUCUCUAAUGCAGACCACAAAUUUUAGUAACUCGUGAUCUCAACAGUUUAGAGCACAAGGAAGUUGUCCUGUUGGAAAUAUGUGACAUGACAUUUAGCAAAUGGGCAAGAAUUCCAAAGAUCAUUCCAAUAAUUAAGGAAUCCAAAGCCUUAUAAUUUGAAUAGGGCAUCUACUUGGCAUGGAUAACGCACCUAUCUUGGGACAAAGACCACAUGUUAAGCACCAAUUCAAUUAUCAACUCUCUAUGAAACUGGAGAUACAAGGUACUAAUGUUAGUACAAAUUACCUGGCAGCUCUUUUUCUUUAAUGGUAUUAGAGGCAAAGCCUUGUGAAAACCCCCAAUCUACAAAUUACUAAGGACAUGAGAUCAUGUUGUAAUCUUAUCUUCAAUAUCCAACUACAAAUAAAUUAUUUCGUUCAAUUAACAAUCUUUAAUGCUUUCACUUCUAUCAUACAAUAUGCAAUAUGGGAAAACAAGUAAGCUUUAUAUUAUUAGGAAUAUGCAAGGAAUUGAUGAAGGCUAUGAAUCUACUUAAAAUUAAAAAUUAAAAAAUAAAAACAAAGAUUUUUUCACUCAUGAAUAUCGUAACUAGAAACAACUGCUUGCAGUUGUUUUACAUAGAUGAAUUGUUUGUCUUUUUGCAUUAUUUUGUAGAAAAUAUUUUUAUGAGCACUACUAAUUUUUUCAUAUCCGUUUAUAUUGAUGCAUUUCAUAUUACUCAUUUUAGGUGGAUGCACAAUGCUGAUCCAACUCUCCUCCUUUUGGAUGUCUUUCUAACCAUUGUUAGGAUUCAUUAAAAAUGACCUUUAUCAAACCUACGGAUUUUUUCAAGUCAGUUAUAACUUGUAUAAACCUUAUGUAACUCGAAAUGUUUUAUUUUUAAAACAGUCCAUAUCUAUUGGCAACUUACAUGUUUUUCACUACAUUUUUUUUCAAAGAGGAAAUGAGGCAUUUUUCUUUAGUAGUAUAUUGUGAUUCACAAAGUAUAAACUCUUGCAGAUUGAAAGAAAGACAAUUUACAUAUCAUUCAACAGUAAUUAGUAAGCACUUUUAUAUGUUUAUAGCUUCUUCUUAUACGGUUUGUCUUUUAUGGCAUUUACUCUUUUGUUAUUCACAUAAAAAAAACACCCGAUUUACCUUUCAAAUAUAAAAUUCAGUUAUGCAGGAAGGCCAUAAAUUGAACAUGAUAAGAUGGGAAAUGUGUUUCAGGACAACUUUGUGUUCUUGCAUUAUAAGGUUUAGUAUAAUUGUGUGUAGUUCUACAAUCAACAACAUUCUAUUGACUUUGGAUUUGGAAAAAUAACUCUAAUGAGCAUUUACUUAUUUUUCAUACAUUUUUCAGGAAUCCAGUUAAUGAGAUUUUGCUUACAAAAAACUAGAGGUUUGUUAACUCUCCUAUAAUCAGAGACUAGUUCUCUUGCAUAAAUUUCAAGCAAAUUUAUAACCCUCUUCUUUGAUAGUCUUUUAUAUUGGAAUUGAACUUCUUGGUGUCUUUGAAUUAUUUAAAUAUUGGAAGCCAAUUAAGGAGUCAUGCAAUGGCAUAUUGUGAAACUUGAUACACAUAAAAAUAAAAUCUAUUAUAUUAUUUUUCUCACUAAAGAAUCAAAACAUAUGCUUUUCAUUUUGAAUGUUUCAGACUUCAUGUCUUCUCUUUCAUUUACGAUAUUGUCGUUGGUGAACUGGGAAUGUUGUCAAGAAUUUUAGAGCUUGACUAUCUGGCCUUUUCCAAUUCCUUAGAGAUUGGUAAUAAUCCAAUGAUCAAUUGUUUUCCCAAAGUGGCUUACGCUAGCAUUAGCAGAUGUGAAAUUAUCAAUGACCAUUCAUUGUAAAGAAAUCUUGUUAUUAUGGUAGGAUAAUAGACUGUAAUACAGUUUCAAAAUUUUGGGACUUCAGCAUCAACACCUUUCUAGGACUCAGAUUUCUAAAUGGAAUGAUGCAAGGCAUCAACACAUUCAUAGAAUUCUUUAAGAAUUCUAAAUGUGAUCUUGGUAUCUUAAUGACAGGCCAACUUUCUUCAAUGUUGCUAAAAAUUGCAGUCCAUAUAUACUAGAUGGGAAUCCACCCAUGGAUAAGAAAUGUAUGUUGCUUUAUCUUCACCUCUCACUGUCUCACACCCUAUUGCCUCAAGUUGCAUUACUUGCCAUAAUUAAACACCUCUUUUAUCAUUGUGACAAAACAAGUUUUGCCAAAACGAUAUGAGAUUCCCUUUGAUUUCAAGUUAUGCAAGAUCUAUAAGAGCUCAAUUGUUUUGAAAACAUGAUUCAUAAAUACUACGCUAACAUUCAGUUCAUGAAUACCAUGUACCAGAAGAAGGCACUAAGAAAUUUGUGUCAUUUACUUUUAGGAUUCUAUCUUCAACUCUAGUUCAUGCUCAAUUGUUUUAUUAACUACAGUUGCUUUGAAUGAACAUGUCAAAGUACAAGUACUAAACUAGUUCAUUUCCAAUCAAAUUACUAUUCCCGAUUCAUAGAGUAUAAACCCUUGCAAAUUGAAAUAAAGAAAAUUUACAUAUCAUUCAAUGGUGAUCUGUAAACACUCUUAUGUGUCUACAUCUUCCUCAUUUGGAUUUGGAAUUUAACUUCUGAUAAGCGUUUACUUGUUUUUAAUUUGUUUCUUAGGAAUCCAGUUAAUGAGAUUUUGCCAACCAAAAACAGGGGUUUGUUAGCCCUCCUACCCUCAGGCUGGUUCUCUUGCAUAUGCUUGAAGAAUAUUGGAAGCUAAUUAAUGAGUCAUUGCAGUUUCAUAGUCUUAUAAGAAAUCUUGUUAUCGUGGCAGGAAAACAGACUGCAACAUAGUCUCAUUUCCCUUCAUGAUUUAGACAUUGUGAAGAUCAAAAACUUGUUCCCUGAUAAUAGAAGAAGAAAAGCAGCCAAAGAACAGCAACAAAAUGUAUUGGCACCUUGUGGACUUGAAUUGAUGGUAUUCAGGUGGCAUAAAUAUACAAAAAUACACCUAACAAACUACUAAUUAGCAGACCAAGAUUCUACUUCCAAGAGACAGGGUUGCCAUCCAUGUCAAGAAGGCCCGAACUUUAUUGUUGUGGGACUUUGGCAUCAACAAAUCUCUGGAAUUCUUUCAGGUUUCUAAAUGGAAUGGUUCAAGUCAUCAACACAUUCCCAUAAUUCUUUUGUAAAUGUCAUCAUUCUGGCCAGCUUUCUUUAGUCCAUAUGUACUAGAUGGACAAGAACCACAACACUUGUAUUAGAACAUGUCUGUUGCCUGGAUUUGCAUUACCUGCCAUAAUUAAGAACCUUUUUAUUAUUGUAGUAGAGUGUUUUAGAGUCACCCAUACCUAGUCUAUCUCCAUGUCUCUCAAAUAGCUAGGCCCAUUGGUAGCAGAAGAAGAACAACUUGAAUAGUUGGUCAUUUCCUUUUCAGGAAUUAAUUCUACUGCAUUCCUAUACAUAGUAUGCAUAUUGUGAAGAAGAUUAUUUGACUUUACCCUUUUUCUUCUUUGUUUUUUCAAUCUAAAUUGGAGUGGUAUGACUGUGUCACUAUUGCCAGAUUUAAAUGUUAAUGUCAUAGAAUGCAUUAAUAGUUUUCUAUUAGAAUAAUAGAAUCCAAUUCGACUAGAUACUAGACAUAAGUAAGCGUAGAAUAUAGAGCAAACAAUAAAUGAAAUGAGGGAAACAAAUGAUUCGAAGAAGGGUUAUUCGUCUUCCUAGUCUUCCACACAAGAAAGGAAUUUUCUACAUCCCUUUCUUGUGUCAAAAUAAUAAUGAUCCUCAACACCUUCGUCAAAAAUUCCUAUUCUUAGCUUAGAUUUUUUUUCUAGGUUUAUCAUAAUUUUAUAUUUAUUACAUAUAAGAAGUAGUGGACAAACAAAAAAAAAGAGGAAAAUUUAUUGAAAAAAUAGAACUUCUUCAAUGAAGCUAUAAAAAAAAUUUCAACUUUGAUUAGAUACUAAAAUAAAUAGAGUAAGAAUCUAUUAGUAUAGAAAGGAUUUGAAUGAUAUCUAAUAUAGGGAAAUAUAUAUACAUACAUAUAUAUAUAUAUAUAUAUAUAUAUAUAUAUAUAUAUAUAUAUAUAUAUAUAUAUAUAUAUAUAUAUAUAUAUAUUUAUACUCUGUCAUCCAGAAAAUCAAGUGAUUCCUUAUUUCUUCUAACUUUGAAAGGAUCGAUAGAUACUAUCGAGAAGCAAAUGUUCUGAAUUAAUCAAUCAAGUUCGUUUUUCAAAAACAUCAGAAAAAAAAAUGAAAUGGAGUUUUUUUAAACAUCGUAAAAGAAAAUUUGUUUUGUCUGGCAUUUAUACGAAUAAAAUCUUAUGAUUAUUAAGAACUCAACGGGACCUUCCCUCUCGAAUUAGAGCCAAAGAAGGGGUGGGUACCAUUGAGUUCUUAUGCUUUCAUGUCGACAACUUUAUUCAUCCAAUUACUACAAGGAACCAUAAAAGAAAAAACCUAUUAAACCAAUCACAAGAAUACCAGUUACAGUACCUAUUAGCCAAAGAGGAAUCCUUCCAGUAGUAUCGGCCAUUUAUCCCACUUUCCUCCACAUUUCAUCAAGUGGUCAUGCUAAAGUCAUAAAUAGUCAUGGAUAAUUAUGAGAUGAGAUCCUUUCGAAUAAGAUAAGAGAAUUCUUACUAUUAUUAUUUAUUUUAUUAGUCUCUUUCGUUCUCUUAAUUCUUAAUUGAAAAAAUAAUUGGAAAAUAAAACAAGUACAAAAAUGAGUAAUAACCCCCAAUAAAGAUCGAUACGAUUCAAUUCAAUAUUUUGUUCAUUCAGGUUUGAUUGUGUCGUAGCUCUAUAAUUUGGAUUAGGUUUAUUGUUCGAUGAACUGCAUUGUUGAUAUUGACCCUAAAAAAGAAACAAUAGGUACAGCUAGUCCGUGAACAGCCAAUCAUCGCACUGUAAAAAUUGGAUAGGUUCGAUCUAUGGUCAUUGGGGCCUCCUAAAAAGAUCUACUAAAUUCAUCGAAUUGUUCCAAAUGACCAAAACAACAGGUUAUUAAUGGAAUUCCUUGUUGGCUAUCUAUAAAAUACUUGUUUGGCUGAGGACUUCCAAACACAUCGUAAGCUAAACCCGUGUUGACGGAUAACCAACCCGCAAUGAAAAGGGAAGGUGUAGUAAUGUUAUGAAUGACUGAUUACUACUCAAAAAGUGUUAUUUGAUAGCUUGUAAUUAACUAUUUUAAAUACUUUUGAGUAGUAGUUAUCACCUUUUAACCCAAUUAACAUAUUAAGGACCCUUGCAAUCAAUUCUAAUCAAAUUGUGUUAAGUUUUGGUGUUUUGAUAGCUUUUUUAUCACCAAAGCAAUCCGAGAUUGAGGAGAGUUCUUUGGAAUCCAUGGCAAAGAUGUCCAGACAGGGUGUCCGGACACACCAUCGGAGAGCGGAGGAACAUGGGUUGUGGCAGGCUGGCGGAAUAACGUAGAAAGGCUUGCUCACUUUAGUCAACGAUCCGGACAACAUAUCCGGAUAGGAUAUGCAAUCGUCCGGGGUGUGAUGUUCACAAGUGUCGUGUGCUUCUCCCUAAGGGAGUCCGGAUAGGGGAGCGCGUCGCGUGUCCUCUUGGGGAAUCCGGAUGGAGUUGCUCCGGAUAGCGAUGCGCGCUCCAUGUCAUCAGGGGGAGGGGUCCCUACACCUUGCACACGCAGACGAUCCCCCUUGCGACGCACGACAUAGCUCAUUCCACCCGGGGAAGAAUUUUGUAUGGCCGAUGUUUCACCUUCUCCGGAUAUCUCACAUCCGGAAUUAUGCCUUGGUCAGACAUGUCCGGAUCCUCUGAUCGGAUAUCUCACAUCCGGCGCUUGACGCCGGAUGGGAGAGGAGGGCGUUUCAACUUCCUCAGUCAGACAUGUCCGGAUCCUCUGAUAGCGCUCACCCGGAAAGUUUUUCUCUCAAUAUACAGUGCCGCGAUGUUCUCCUGAAGCUUCCCGAUAUUUGCGACCGACAUUUUGAGCUAUUUUGCUUUAUAUAUUUGAUGUCUAAAUCCCCAAAUUCUCCUUGUAACCCACCUAUCAUAGGAUUCCUUAGUCUUUAAGCAAGAGAAAAAGGUGAAUAACCUCUUAUAUAUAGUUUGUAAUUUUCUUUAAAAGGAGGAGAUCAAUCUCUCGGGAGCUUGUUCUUGAAGAUGCAUCAUUUGUACAAUUUUGCAAGAAAUAUAUUUUACAAAGCACUUGCUCUGUUUUUUCCUAUAUAUUUUUGUUUUCUCAGUCUUUUUCUUACUAGCCAAACAAGCUCUGAGGAAGUUUCCUCAGAGAAUGAGUGGCUAGACUUUUAGUUCCUUGGAGCUAAGGUUGCCGGGAAAGGUUCCAAGUGCAAGAAUUUAUAGCUUUGUGGUUUCAACCAUUAAUGAAGAGAAAGUGUGUUCCUUUAAUGAUUUCUAUGUUUUUAGUUAACUUAAAACACCUUCAAUUCACUUGAGCCAACACGUGGUAAGGCAAGUGAUCUCCGUCCAUGGAGAUGCACUAGUUUACCUCUUGCGAGCUUUUGGGAAGUGACUUGAAGGUAGGAUUUUCUAGAAUUGCCAACACUUGGUAAGCUUUUGGACUCUAAGGAGACAUCCAUUAGUUAUCUCUUGCGAGCUUGAGAAGGGAAGUCCAAAGUUAAAGAUCACCUUGAAUGGCAAAUGCUAGGUGAGAGGCACGAGCCAUUGCAAGUUGCAUCAGUGAGAGGGAAUUAGAGCUGAAAUCCAUUUAAAGGAUACAUCUAUACAACACCGGUUAGAGAAUUGACUAUAUGUUAAUUCUCUAAUGCGAGGAAAUGAACCAAAUGACCGAAGCUCUAUUUUUGCAUAAGGAACCUCCCCUGUGAACCCAAACCUCCAAGGAAUGUUUUUCUUCAUAAGUAAUUUCCAUUACUUUCUUUUUAGUUAGCUUGAAACAAAAACUUCGUUUAACCAAAGUUUGUGUUUUAUUUCUUAAGCUAACCUUGAAAUGAAAAAGCACCAAUUUAACUUUGAAUUGGUAUCAGUUGUGAGUUGAAAACCCUUCCCAGAGAACGAUCCUAGAGCCACUAUGUUAUAUUAGCUACAGCUAUCCUAAUGCAUGGUGAUAUAGGUUAUAAAUUUUGUUGAUUACUCCCUCAAUCAAAGAGCACCAGCUGGACAUGAAUCAGCUGAGACACCAAUUGGGAACGAAUCAAAUGGCGCCGUUGCCGAGGAAGGUGCCAACUUCAUAGUGAUAUUAUUUCAGUAUACUUGUGGUUUUCAUCACAAGUUUGGUGAGUUUUCUGUCAUUUUACUAACUCUUUUAGUUGUUUCUUUUACUCAUUUAUAUUCUAGCAUAGCUUUUAAUUUAGAUUUAGUUAAGCGAACUCUUUUUGGUAGUUUUGUUUUUUUUUUUUUUCCUCUGUUUUUGUUCUUUUUUGUUACAGUUGAUACUAGUUGUGUAUGCCAAAGUGGAUACGAGAUAGUGGAGGAAGGCUUGCUAAACUUGAAACACCUCAUAACAAGGAGUUGGAAUUGAGCUUGAACAUCAUGGAAACUACACCUGAGGAUCAGCAUAGUCACCAUGAUCAUCAAGACAAUCCCAAUGAAUUCAGAUCAAUGAGGGACCGCAUGCAUCCACCUCGUAUGAGUGCACCAUCAUGUAUAGUGCCCUCUAUAGAGCAGCUAGUGAUCAGACCCCAUAUUGUGCCACUUCUGCCAACUUUCCAUGGAAUGGAAAGUGAGAAUCCCUAUGCCCAUAUCAAGGAAUUUGAAGAUGUUUGUAAUACAUUUCGAGAGGAACGAGCUUCUAUCGACCUGAUGAGGCUUAAAUUAUUUCCUUUUACUUUAAAGGAUAAGGCCAAGAUUUGGCUUAAUUCUUUAAGACCAAGGAGUAUCCGUACUUGGACUGAUUUACAAGUUGAAUUCCUCAAGAAAUUCUUUCCUACUCACAGAACAAAUAGCUUGAAAAGACAAAUUUCAAACUUCUCAGCUAAAGAGAAUGAGAAAUUCUAUGAGUGUUGGGAAAGAUACAUGGAAGCCAUAAAUUCUUGUCCUCACCAUGGCUUUGAUACAUGGCUGUUGGUGAGUUAUUUCUAUGAUGGGAUGUCUUCCUCAAUGAAGCAACUCCUCGAAACAAUGUGUGGAGGGGAUUUCAUGAGUAAGAAUCCUAAGGAAGCUAUGGAUUUCUUGAGUUAUGUAGCUGAAGUCUCAAAGGGAUGGGAUGAACUGCACAAAGGAGAAGUGGGAAAGAUGAAGUCUCAACCUAAUGCUCUUCAUGCUAAGGCUAGGAUGUACACCUUGAAUGAAGAUGUUGAUAUGAAAGAAAAAUUUGCAGCUAUGACAAGAAGAGUGGAGGAGCUAGAACUGAAAAAGAUGCAUGAAGUGCAAGCUGUUGCUGAAACACCAGUGCAAGUAAAGACAUGUUCUAUUUGUCAAUCUUAUGAACACUUGGUGGAGGAGUGCCCUACAAUUCUAGUUGCUAGAGAAAUGUUUGGAGAACAAGCAAAUGUCAUUGGACAAUUCAAGCCCAAUAGCAAUGCUUCGUAUGGCAAUACUUACAACUCAAGUUGGAGGAAUCAUUCAAAUUUUUCAUGGAAACCAAGAGCACCUCAGUACCAACAGCCAGCUCAACCAUCUCAACCAUCCCAACAAGCUUCAAGUCUUGAACAAGCAAUAGUGAAUCUCAACAAGGUUGUGGGAGAUUUUGUUGGAGACCAAAAAUCCAUCAGCUCUCAACUUAGUCAAAGAAUUGACAGUGUAGAGAAUACUUUGAAUAAAAGGAUGGAUGGGAUGCAAAAUGACUUAUCUCAGAAGAUAGAUAAUCUCCAAUACUCAAUCUCAAGGCUCACUAAUCUGAACACAGUGCAAAAGAAGGGUAGAUUUCCUUCUCAACCUCACCAAAACCCCAAGGGUAUCCACGAAGUGGAAACUCGUGAGGGAGAAUCUUCACAGGUGAGAGAUGUUAAAGCCUUGAUCACUCUAAGGAGUGGUAAAAAGGUUGAGUCACCAACACCCAAGCUAUAUGUUGAAGAGAAGGAAGAAGAAGAGACAAAGAAGAGGGAGGAAAUGAAAGGAAAGAAGAAAGAUAUCAAUGAAGGGAAGGAGGACCGUGAUUCAACAGUGAAUGCAAAUCCGGAGAAAGAACUUAUUAAGCCAGAAUUGAUGAAGAAACGCACAUCUCCACCUUUUCCUCAAGCUUUGCAUGGGAAAAAUGGGAUAAAAAAUGCACCAGAAAUCCUUGAAGUAUUGAGACAAGUGAAGGUCAACAUUCCAUUGCUGGACAUGAUUAAGCAAGUUCCAUCAUAUGCAAAGUUCCUAAAGGACUUGUGUACUAUCAAAAGAGGGUUGAAUGUGAAUAAGAAAGCCUUCUUGACUGAGCAAGUGAGUGCCAUCAUACAAUGCAAAUCUCCUUUGAAGUACAAAGAUCCGAGAUGUCCUACCAUUUCAGUCAUGAUUGGAAGAAAGGUAGUGGAAAAAGCUUUGUUAGAUUUGGGAGCAAGUGUGAAUUUGUUACCAUAAUUUGUUUAUAAGCAAUUGGGACUUGGUGAAUUAAAGCCAACAUCAAUCACUCUAUCUUUAGCUGAUAGGUUAGUGAAAAUUCCAAGGGGGAUAAUUGAGGAUGUUUUAGUUCAAGUUGAUAAUUUCUACUAUCCAGUAGAUUUUUUUGUUCUUGAUACUGAUCCUUUAGUUAAGGAAGCUAAUUAUGUUCCUAUCAUCCUUGGAAGGCCAUUUCUUGCUACUUCAAAUGCAAUCAUAAAUUGUAGGAAUGGACUUAUGCAAUUCACUUUUGGCAACAUGACACUUAAGCUUAAUAUCUUUCAUAUGUCAAAGAAGCUAAUUACUCCGGAAGAAGAAGAAGGUCCAGAAGAGGUAUGCAUUAUUGACACUCUAGUGGAGGAACAUUGUGAUCAGAAUAUGCAAGACGAUUUGAAUGAAAGUCUUGAGGAUCUUAAAGAAGGGUUGUCUGAACCCGCUGAUGUCCUUGCUACUCUACAAGGUUGGAGGAGGAAAGAAGAGAUCCUACCUUUAUUCAAUAAAGAGGAGGGACAAGAUGAUGUAACAGAAGAAUUCUCGAAGCUCAAUUUGAAACCUCUGCCCAUGGAGUUAAAAUAUACAUACUUGGAAGAAAAUAACCAAUGUCCUGUUGUUAUAUCUUCAUCUCUUACCGGUCAUCAGGAGAUUUCUCUACUUGAAGUUCUUAAGAGGUGCAAGAAAGCAAUAGGAUGGCAAAUAUCUGACUUGAAAGGAAUCAGUCCUUUGGUUUGUACACAUCACAUAUAUAUGGAGGAAGAAGCUAAACCAAUUCGUCAACCUCAAAGAAGAUUGAAUCCUCAUUUACAAGAAGUGGUGUGAACUAAGGUACUGAAGCUACUCCAAGCGGGUAUUAUUUAUCCCAUAUCUGACAGCCCUUGAGUGAGUCCUACUCAAGUGGUACCAAAGAAGUCAGGAAUUACUGUGGUUCAGAAUGAAAAAAGAGAAGAAAUUGCUACACGCCUCACUUCAGGUUGGAGGGUGUGUAUUGACUAUAGGAAAUUGAAUGUUGUUACAAGGAAAGAUCAUUUUCAACUCUUGUUUAUUGAUCAAGUGCUGGAGAGAGUCUCUGGCCAUCCUUUCUAUUGUUUCUUAGACGGGUACUCAAGGUAUUUCCAAUUUGAAAUUGAUGUUGAAGAUCAAGAGAAGACCACUUUCACAUGUCCGUUUGGAACAUACGCCUACAGAAGAAUGCCUUUUGGUUUAUGCAAUGCACCUGCAACAUUCCAAAGAUGUAUGCUUAGUAUCUUCAGUGAUAUGGUGGAGCGAAUUAUGGAGGUUUUCAUGGAUGAUAUCACCAUAUAUGGAGGUACAUUUGAAGAAUGCUUAGUAAAUUUGGAAGCGGUUCUUAAAAGAUGCAUUGAAAAAGACUUGGUGCUCAACUGGGAGAAAUGUCAUUUUAUGGUACAUCAAGGAAUUGUCUUUGGCCAUAUCAUCUCCGAGAAAGGCAUUGAAGUUGAUAAAGCAAAGGUGGAACUUAUUGCCAAAUUGUCAUCCCCAACCACUGUAAAAGGAGUAAGGCAAUUUCUUGGCCAUGCAGGGUUCUACAGGAGAUUUAUACAAGACUUCUCUAAGCUUUCAAGGCCUCUUUGUGAACUUUUAGCUAAGGAUGCUAAGUUUGUCUGGGAUGAGAGAUGUCAAAAGAGUUUUGAUCAAUUGAAGCAUUUUUUGACAACCGUUCCAAUAGUAAGGGCUCCUAACUGACAAUUACCCUUUGAAGUAAUGUGUGAUGCCAGUGACUUUGCUAUAGGAGUUGUACUUGGCCAAAGAGAAGAUGGGAAGCCCUAUGUGAUCUACUAUGCAAGCAAAACAUUGAACGAGGCUCAAAAAAACUACACAACUACAGAGAAAGAAUUGUUAGCUGUGGUGUUUGCUUUAGACAAGUUUCGUGCUUAUUUGGUAGGGUAUUUCAUCAUUUUUUUCACUGACCAUUCGGCCUUGAAGUAUUUAUUGACAAAGCAAGAUGCAAAAGCAAGGUUGAUUAGAUGGAUUCUUUUGUUACAAGAGUUUGAUAUCCAAAUCAGAGACAAGAAAGGGGUGGAGAAUGUGGUAGCUGACCACCUUUCAAGGUUGGCUAUAGCACAUAAUUCCCAUGUAUUACCUAUUAAUGAUGACUUUCCUGAGGAAUCACUUAUGUUGCUAGAGAAAGCUCCUUGGUAUGCUCAUAUUGCUAACUAUUUGGUUACUGGUGAAGUUCCAAGAGAGUGGAAAGUGCAAGACAGGAAGCACUUCUUUGCAAAGAUUCAUGCUUAUUAUUGGGAAGAGCUCUUCCUUUUCAAGUAUUGUGUAGAUUAGAUCAUAAGGAAGUGUGUCCCUGAAGAAGAGCAACAAGGGAUCCUCAGCCAUUGCCAUGAGAAUGCCUGUGGAGGCCACUUUGCCUCUCUGAAAACAACCAUGAAGGUCUUGCAAUCAGGGUUUACUUGGCCAUCGCUUUUCAAGGAUUCCCACAUCAUGUGUAGGAGUUGUGAUAGAUGCCAAAGACUCGGGAAUCUUACAAAAAGAAACCAAAUGCCCAUGAACCCCAUCCUUAUAGUUGAUCUUUUUUAUGUUUGGGGUAUUGACUUCAUGGGACCUUUCCCAAUGUCUUUUGGUAACUCUUAUAUAUUGGUGGGGGUGGACUAUGUUUCCAAAUGGGUGGAGGCAAUCCCCUGUAAACAUAAUGAUUAUAAGGUGGUUCUCAAAUUUCUUAAGGAGAACAUCUUCUCAAGAUUUGGGGUGCCCAAGGCCAUAAUCAGUGAUGGAGGUACUCAUUUUUGCAACAAACCUUUUGAAACCCUAUUAGCCAAGUAUGGAGUGAAGCAUAAGGUAGCUACACCUUAUCAUCCUCAAACUUCCGGGCAAGUGGAGCUAGCAAACAGGGAAAUAAAAAACAUACUGAUGAAAGUGGUGAUUACAAGCAGUAAAGAUUGGUCUAUUAAGCUGUAUGAUUCAUUAUGGAUAUAGAACAGCUUAUAAGACUAUUCUUGGCAUGUCCCCCUAUCGUCUCGUCUAUGGCAAAGCAUGCCACCUCCCUGUGAAAGUUGAAUAUAAGGCUUGGUGGGCAAUCAAGAGGUUGAACAUGGACUUGAUUAGAGUUGGGGCAAAGAGGUGCUUAGACCUUAAUGAGAUGGAGAAAUUAAGAAAUGAUACUUACAUCAAUUCCAAAGUUGCAAAACAGAGGAUGAAGAAGUGGCAUGAUCAACUAAUCUCCAACAAAGAAUUGCGUAAAUGACAAAGAGUCCUACUCUAUGACUCAAGGCUCCAUAUCUUUCCAGGGAAGCUCAAGUCAAGGUGGAUAGGUCCUUUCAUUAUUCACCAAGUAUAUCUCAAUGGAGUGGUGGAAUUACUAAAUUCCAAUGGCAUAGACACCUUUAGAGUCAAUGGUCAUCGCCUCAAGCCAUUCAUUGAGCCGUUCAAGCCAGAAAAGGAGGAAAUCAACCUCCUUGAGCCACAAAAAGCCUGAUCAGAGAAGGGUUAGAUGGACUUGGUUUCACCAAAGUCCAUAAUUUUGUUACAUAUGUUAAUUUUUAAGUUUUGUAAACUAUUUGAUUGUAAUUCUGGUCUUGAAAUUAUGUAAAUUAUAACUAACUUAAUCUUUUUGAAUGAUUAAAAUCAGGAGGAAUUGCAAGAAAAUCGAAAGAAGCUGUUCCGAGCUUAUGCCAUUCCCAGCUCAUCAGAGCCAUCGCAGGCCCCUCCUUUUGUUGAUCAGCCUGUGCCUCAUCAGGAGCCUCCUACAGGAGAGGCAGCUGAGCCAUCAUUUCUACAGCAUCACUCCACGUCACUCAGGAGGUACCACUUCCUCCCUAUUUUUCAAUCGCUUUUAUCACAUUGAGGAUAAUGUUCAGCUUGGUUGGGGGGAGAGUUGAGGAAGGAAGUUUUUGUUAUUAAUGCUAAGUUAUUUUGGUAAUUUAGUUGUUUUUUGCUUAAUUUUAGAAUUUUUUUCUACUCUCCAUGGUUAUUAAGGAAAAAAUUUCAAAAUAAAAAGUGAGAAAUUGAAGUUUUGUCUUUUCACUUGACUUAGAGUUUGCAUUAUGCUUACUAAAGUUGAUGAAUUAUUGAAGCUUCUAUUGAAUUCAACCUUAGUUCUUCCACUUUAAGCUAUUCACACACUGGGCAUAAUAGGUUCCGAUUAUAAGAUGAAAAACUAUUUCCCUCUUGACUUAGGAAAAUUUUAGACUUAGUACCUUUGACCUCAUUUAAUAGUGUUGGGACACCUUAUAAAAGGCCAAUGAGCCUUUGAAAAAAAAAGAAUAAAGAAAAAAAAAUGUUUGCUUACCUUGAAACCCAAGCAAGGUCCGAGGGGUAUAUGGUGAAAAUCUUUAAAACCUGGUGCCCUAAGCCUUCAUUGGUUGGGAGUCACCGACCUCAAUGCUCGUUACAAGGGUGGAUAGGUGGAAUUUAACAUACUGUAGGUGCUUGGGUAUUAAAAUUCCUUCUCAAAAGUCCGAGGUAAAAUCCGAGGAGUUAGUGGUUGAAAGAUCCUUAAAGCUUAAUGCCCUAAACCUUAAUUGGUUGGGAAUCAUCGAUGGACCCCCGUUACAUGGACAAUUUAGAAAAGAAUACCUUUAAGCCUUGUACUCCUACAAUGAAAAAAUUUGUGAGAAAAGAGGUGCGUUCUUAGCCUAUUGGAGGUUAAUUAGUUUGCUAAGCUUUGAAAAAGAACUAGGUUUGGGGAAGAGAUUAGUUCAACAUACUAUAUUCGGAAACUAAUAAAUAACACUUAGAUUUUUGUGGAAGAGUAAGGUUUGACCCUUUGGGAAUGGAAACUCUUUUAAAGCUUAAAUUUGCAUAAUGCCUUCUCUUUAAGAAUUGUGAUUAGACAAGUUAUUUGAUAACUCUUGUUGAAGUUUGAGUUUUAUUUCUUUAAUGUUCCACGUGAGAGUUAGAUCAUCAUGCCACUUGAAAAUUGUUUUUUCAUCAGCAUGAUGUUGUAAAUUAUAGUACUGUUUAUUUUUAUUUUUCUCUCCUUCAUUGCUAAGGGACUAGCUAUAUGUCGGUUGGGGGUAGUGAUUACUACUCAAAAAGUGUUAUUUGAUAGCUUGUAAUUAACUCUUUUAAAUACUUUUGAGUAGUAGUUAUCACCUUUUAACCCAAUUAACAUAUUAAGGACCCUUGCAAUCAAUUCUAAUCAAAUUGUGUUAAGUUUUGGUGUUUUGAUAGCUUUUUGAUCACCAAAGCAAUCCGAGAUUGAGGAGAGUUCUUUGGAAUCCAUGGCAAAGAUGUUCGGACAGGGCGUCCGGACACACCAUCGGAGGGCGGCGGAACAUGGGUUGUGGCAGGUUGGUGGAAUGACGUAGCAAGGCUUGCUCACUUUAGUCAAUGAUCUGGACAACAUAUCCGAAUAGGAUAUGCUAUCGUCUGGGGUGUGAUGUUCACAAGUGUCGUGUGCUUCUCCCUGAGGGAGUCCGAAUAGGGGAGCGCACCCCGUGUCCUCUUGGGGAAUCCGGAUGGAGUUGCUCCAGAUAGCGAUGCGCGCUUCGUGUCAUCAGGGGGAGGGGUCCCUACACCUUGCACACGCAAACGGUCCCCUUUGCGACGCGCGGCAUAGCUCAUUCCACCAGGGGAAGAAUUCUGUAUGGUUGACGUUUCACCUUCUCCGGAUAUCUCACAUCCGGAAUUAUGCCCCGGUCAGACAUGUCCGGAUCCUUUGAUAGCGCUCACCCGGAGAGUUUUUCUCUCAGUAUACAGUGGCGGGGUGUUCUCCUGAAGCUUCCCGAUAUUUGCAACCGACAUUUUGAGAUAUUUUGCUUUAGAUAUUUGAUGUCUAAAUCCCCAAAUUCUCCUUGUAACCCACCUAUCAUAGGAUUCCUUAGUCUUUAAGCAAGAGAAAAUGGUGAAUAACCUCUUAUAUAUAGUUUGUAAUUUUCUUUAGAAGGAGGAGAUCAAUCUCUCGGGAGCUUGUUCUUGGAGACGCAUCAUUUGUACAAUUUUGCAAGAAAUAUAUUUUACAGAGCACUUGCUCUGUUUUUUCCUAUAUAUUUUUGUUUUCUCAUUCUUUUUCUUACUAGCCAAACAAGCUUUGAGGAAGUUUCCUCAGAGAAUGAGUGGCUAGACUUUUAGUUCCUUGGAGUUAAGGUUGUCGGGAAAUGUUCCAAGUGCAAGAAUUUAUAGCUUUGUGAUUUCAACCAUUAAUGAAAAGAAAGUGUGUUCCUUUAAUGAUUUCUAUGUUUUUAGUUAACUUAAAACACCUUCAAUUCACUUGAGCCAACACGUGGUAAGGCAAGUGUUCUCCGUCCAUGGAGAUGCACUAGUUUACCUCUUGCGAGCUUUUAGGAAGUGACUUGAAGGUAGGAUUUUCUAGAAUUGCCAACACUUGGUAAGCUUUUGGACUCCAAGGAUACAUCCAUUAGUUAUCUCUUGCGAGCUUGAGAAGGAAAGUCCAAAGUUAAAGAUCACCUUGAAUGGCAAAUGCUAGGUGAGAGGCAUGAGUCAUUGCAAGUUGCAUCAGUGAGAGGGAAUUAGAGCUGAAAUCCAUUUAAAGGAUACAUUUGUACAACACCGGUUAGAGAAUUGACUAUAUGUUAAUUCUCUAAUGCGAGGAAAUGAACCAAAUGACCGAAGCUCUGUUUUUGCAUAAGGAACCUCCCCUAUGAACCCAAACCUCCAAGGAAUGUUUUUCUUCAUAAGUAAUUUCCAUUACUUUCUUUUUAGUUAGCUUGAAACAAAAACUUCGUUUAACCAAAGUUUGUGUUUUAUUUCUUAAGCUAACUUUGAAAUGAAAAGACACCAAUUUAACUUUGAAUUGGUAUCAGUUGUGAGUUGAAAACCUUUCCCAGAGAACGAUCCUAGAGCCACUAUGCUAUAUUAGCUACAGCUAUCCUAAUGCAUGGUGAUAUAGGUUAUAAAUUUUGUUGAUUAAUCCCUCAAUCAAAGAGCACCAGCUGGACAUGAAUCAGCUGAGACACCAAUUGGGAAUGAAUCACUUCGCAGAGGCACAAAAAAGGCUGCGAAAUCACUUCGCAGCAAACGACUGAUUUCGCAACGCUGCGAAGUGGUCUUUCAAGUUGUGGUAUUCGGCUUCCAUCGUGACGGGAAAAUUCAGGGGGUAAACACAGCACUGUACAAAAAGGCUACGAAAUCAUCUCGCAACAAAAGAGUGAUUUCGCAGCGCUGUGCAAAAUUCUUCCUUCAGCUUGGAGUGAUCGGAUUGCAAUGGCUGUAACUCCUUCAUUUCAACUCCAAAUUGUGCACCGUUUGAAGUAUUGGAUUUUUGACUUCUUGAGCUUCGAAACGACAUAUAGAAUGCAUAAAUUGGACUUCAGGAAGUGCUCUAAAAGUGGCUGACAUGACUGUCAUCAAGAAUAUGCUUCAUGGCAGAUUUCUCUUUGCUUCCCCUCCUUACAUUCCGGAUUUGCUUAUGGCAGCAAAGGACUUCAAAGCUUUAGUUCUUCACAUUUCUGAGCUUCAAAUUGCUUUGCCAAAGAUUCCACAUAACUCUCCUCAAUCUCAGAUUGCUUUGGUGAUCAAAAAGCUAUCAAAACACCAAAACUUAACACAUAUUGAUUAGAAGUGCUUGCAAAGGUCUUUAAUAUGUUAAUUGGGUUAAAAGGCAAUAACUACUACUCAAAAGUGUUUAAAAAAGUUAAUUACAAGCUAUGAAAUAGCACAUUUUGAGUAGUAAUCACCAAGCUCCACAUAUUCUUGUACAAUCAAAGGACGAUCAAUUUCGUAAAAGAUGAGAUCAACAAAUAUAAAUUCACUGAAAAAUGGAUAUUUGUGAGAUCGUCAAUAUUAUACGAAGGGUGUCUUUAGAGUAUACUGAAUCAGUAUAGCUAUCCUUUUUCUACCAUAGCAACGCAAUUUCAAAAACUACAGCAUUUGAAUAGCUUGUAUUUAGGUGGACAAGAACUACAGCACUUAUCUCAGAAACAUGUAUGUUCUUUCUUCAACUCUUACUCUAUUGCCUGGAAUUGCAAUACCUGCCAUGAUUAGUCAUCUCUUAUUUAUUCUCAUGGAGAAAUAGGUUUGGUUGUAUGAAGAGACAAUAUACAAUUGUUGCACCUCUUGAUUUUUAAUCGUGUCAGACAUUUGGAAUUGUCAAGCUGAUUUAUGGCUAACCUUACAAGGACAUCUAGUGCAAGAGAUUCAGAAUUAUACCUAUCUAAUCCAUCUCCAUUUCUUUAGAACAACUAGAUACUAUGGCCGAAAUCUCACGUAAGGUGUCAGGUUCAUGUUGGGGCUCAUUCACGAGAUUAUAAUGAAUAUAGCAAGGGAUGUUCUCGAUCUACCACCACCCAUGUUGUCAAGUUGUUCAAUGCUCUCGUGUUGACCAUGGCUACAGUCACAAUUGUGUGUCCUUUCCCGAAAGAAAUAGUCAUUUUGAAACUUUUGUCAACAAUAGAACUUUCAUGUAUCUACUUUCAGGUACCCACAAAAAAUUGAGUCCAGCUUAGCAUCCAAUAAAGAAAAAUAAUAAUCUGAGGAAUAAGUGUUUUCCUUACUCUUUUUCAGUAGGAACCUAGUUUAUUUCCAAUAAAUUGAAGAAUAAACUAAUUCUAAACAUGGAAGCCAUGUACUUGAUUUUUGUUUAACUAGUGGAAUAAUUCGAACAUAUUUACAACUUUAGCAUUAGAAAAGUUUAACAAAAUCACUAAUUAACCCCCAAACCCCCACCCACCACAGAGAUAUGUUACAAAGAUUCCUCUACUCUACAUUGCAACAAAGUGUAAGGGGUUGUGUCCUUUCUUCAUCGUCAAAUGAAAUAACCCUUUUCAAUAAAAGAAUAAGAGAAAUUGAGAGUUAAGACCAUUUUCUUUCAUUAUACUCUCUAUUCCUUUGCUUCUUCCUCUCUUAGUCAAGCCAAACAGUCUGUGGUUUCUCCAUUUCUUCUUCACUUCACAUCAAUAAGUAGCAUCUUGGGUUCUCCCAUCUCUCUAUCCCCUUGUCAAAACACAUAAUUUAAUGUAUUGCACAUCUUCUUGACUUCUGGCAACUGAACUUGUUUUUCACAAUCAUAAAUAUGGAGGUAUUUAAUUAUGGCAGGUGAUAUACCUUUCAGAAAUUGAUGUGAAAAGGUGGAGACUAAGGGAUGUGCACUUGGUUUUGCGAAUCAAACAACCCUCAUUUAGUAUAAACCACAAAUUUUGGCAACUCAUGAUCCAUAAUUUAGAGCAUGGGAGGAAGUAGGCCUGUUGGAAAGAUAGGAGGAGACAGUUAAAAACAUGCGAGAAUUCCAUGGAUGAGUUGCUCUUAUGAAUUAUUUAGAAUUCAUGAGAAAAUUCAAAGCUUUUUCUUUUUUCUUUUUUCUUUUUGUUUUUUCUUUACAUAGUUAAUCAUCUUGUUUAAUGUUGGUCCUAUAGUUGGUCUACUGAUGGUAGGCUUCCUUUGAGUGGAAGCAAGGACUCUACACUAAAGGUAAAUUAUGGGAACUAUGUCUUUUUGUGGUAUUGAUGGGGUUAUCAUAUAGUUGAUUGAUACUAUUGCUUCCUUAUAGCUUUUUCAAGGCUCCAAAAAAGAAAAUAACAAAGGUAGACCUAGGAAAAAUAUUCUUCCUGAUUUCAGUUACUCUUUCUAUAUGAACUCUUUAUUUUGGUAAAUUACAGUUAGAGAUGAUCAUAUAAUUGAACUAGGUUUGCUUCCUCUCCUUUCCCUCUCCUUUCCCCUUGAGGAAAUUUUUUAUCAUUGCUUAGUUUUGACUACUCUGUUUCUUUUGAUCAUUGUGGAAGAGCAUCACUAUAAGAUGUACAAGAAAUGUGUUGUGGUGCAUUAUUCCUUUCUCUACCACCUAAAAUCUACUUUCCACAAUCAUAAAUAUCGAAGUGUUUAAGCAUUAGGUAAGACAUCUCUUGAUAAUGAUGUGAGAGAUAUAGAUAAGUAAUGUUACUAAAUAACAAGAAUAUGUAUAAAAAAAAAAACAGAAUAAGAAUACACAUUUAUGUGGAAAACCUUAGAUGGGAAAAACCACGGGUAGAGGAGAAGAAAAUUAAUUCACUAUAUUAAAAAAUCGAUACAAAAGGGGAGAGAUGCGAGCGACUACUUUAUAAGCAUAAACAUCAUAGCCCUAAUCUUAUACAUAAUUGAAAAUAUAUAUACAUAUGUGUGUGUGUGUGUGUGGGAGAGUAAUAAACAUCAUAACCCUAAAUUCUAUUGGCCCUAUCCCUUCGCUACCACCACAAACUCUCCAAAAAUCUCACAAAUUUUUCUUCACCACAUAUGUCGCAUCACGAGCUUUUUGGGUAAGACUAAAUAGAAUUCGAGUUACCAAACUCUAAUAAACAACAUACCAUUAUUCUCAAGAAAUGAUGUUCUGCUUUUUCACUUUACAAUAUUCAUUUAGUUUGAACUCCAAAUUCAGGCAACUCAAAAUCUUCGCCUUCAUUAGAUUGUAGGAAGCUAGCUUCUUGGAAAGACAUGAAAAUGGGGCAUUUAGAAAUAUGGAAGAAUCCCAAAGGCCAGUUGCUACUUUUGAAUCAUUCCAAUCAAUAACAACUCCAAAGAUAUAUACAAAUUUGUCCUUGGGAAAGAGAUGUUUCCUGGGCAUGUAACCAUCUCUUUAAUAGACUCAAGGUUGUGCACCCUCUUGGUGAUUUCUUAUAUAUUGUAGUGAACCCUAUCACACCCCAAACUCACUCCAAGGGCAUUACGAUCAUUUCACACCUCAAGCCCAAAGGUUCAAAGUGGAAACGAUACAAACAUUCGUAUUGUAACUGGAAAUUUACCAAUUACCAAAUUCCUAUUCAAAGUAGUAGGACAAAAUUCUAAAAUCUCUAAGUAUCAACUUUAAAAAAAAAAAAAACUAAUAUGUCAACCAAAGUGUUAUUGUCCAAAUAACUCCAAACUCAAAAUAAUUCAAACGAGAAUUAAAUUUUAACAUUUAAACAAUGUCCAAAAUAAAAAGAGUUUAAACAAAUAUCCUAUUAAAGCCAAAUUUCCCUCCUAACGAUCACUCAUCGCUCUAACUAAGGUUACAUGAAAGAUUAUCAACAAAGGGGGGUGAGCUUAAAGCCCAAUAAGAAACAUUAAUACAGUUUCAUGGAUCAAACAUUUUCAAUCAUCCUUGCAAAUAGGAAAUAUAACAUAUACUUAUUUUCAUAAAAAACUUUUGAGUUCAAAAUGCUAAUACAUUCAAACUUUUCAACAAAACUUUCUCAUAUUCAUUUCAAAACCAAAUCAAAUACAUUCAAAAUAUCUUUACUCAGGUUAUCAAAUGACAAAUGGUGCCCAAUUAGGUGGAACUUCACAAUUGAGCAACUAGUUUCAAAUUUGUUUCAUUUAAGGUGAACAAAACCAAAUGUCAACAAUUAUAACUUGUUGACUAGGGUCAUAUAAUCUAAAGUCAAACACUUUAUUUCAUUAAUUCAAACUUACAAAACAAAACAUCGUAUCUCCUCAAUUUUUCAUUUUUCAUAAACAAAGAAAAUGCUCAAAUAUACUUUUCAUACAAAACAUAUAUUUGAUCGACGCGUAAAGUUAAAAAUAAUAUUUUUACACAUUUCAAAAUACAAUAUAAAAAGAAAAUUAUUUUCUUUUACAAAAAUCUGCAUUAAUUUCCCUUACCUCAAAUAAGUACUCAAAAACCUUGAAGUAUUUAACCCCGAAGAAUUUCGUCUCAAAGAAUCUAUUUCAAACCUAACAAAAAAAAAAAGACAACUAUGAUUAUUAACUAUUUAUCUAAAUUUAUAGGUUUGAGAACCCUAAUAAUUUUCUAUAUUAUGUCACCUAAUAUUUUUAGUAGGAAUUUUCUUAACUAAGUCCACAUACUUUUACAAGCUCUUCUUAAGCUUUGAGUGGUCAUAGUUUUUCCUAUAUUUAGUUUUACAUAAUUUUGGUGAAAAGUGCAUGAGGAAGAACCAUAUAAAACCACAACUCACUUUUGGAUGCUGAAUCUACAAAAUAUAAAUUGAAAAAAUUAACGUAUUAGGAUAAAUAAUAAUUUAGAAAACAACUCCACAAAUGAAAUAUCAAGUAAAUGCAAAUUUAAUAUUUUAAAAGCUUAAUAAACUCAAUUAAAGAUAUAACCACAUGAUAUACAAACUUGGGGAAACUUAUAACUACCACUAAUUUCAGAUGUCUAAAAUUUAUAUAUAUCCUAGACAACAUUUUGAUAUGUAAACUAAUACGUAAAUUUUUUUAAUUUUAAAAAGAAAAUUUGGCAGCCAAGCUAGAAAUUUAGCAUAUUCCUAUAAUAUAAAGAAAAAUAAAUUAACUAGAUGCCUUAAUGCAUUGCUCUAGCACACUAUUUAGUAGGAUUUAGAUACUACAUAUUCAAUGUUGUCUAAAAAGUCAACAUAAAUAAUAUAAGAGGGAAAUAACAUUUUGCCUUACACAAUUAAUCCUACUAAAAGUUUGUUUUGUUAAGUCAUUCAUCUAAUACUACAUAUUUCAAGAUGAAUUAUUUGAGCUAAUUUUCUCAAGGAAAUAAUUACUUUGGUGAUAGCUACAUAUUAGCUUAUUUUUAUGAUAUGAUGUAUCAAUUAAUAAUUGUCUUCAUUCACCUAGAUAUUGACAACGAUUUCAAUAUAUUGGUCGAUAUUAUCCAUGUUUAUUUUAUUGAAUGUCAAUUCAAUACCUUAUAAACUAAACAACAAAACAAUUAAUAAGUAUAAAAAGAAUUGAUAUUGGGAAAUCCAAGCCUAGGAAGUUUAAGGGGAAGCGAAGUAAAAUAGCCUUGACAAAGAAAAAAAUUCAAAGAAAUUGGUAUAAUAUAGCCAUGUCCCUCUACUUGGAUUUUCAAGGCCUAGAAACAUGGUUAGCUCCUGUAAAAAUUUUCAUUUCCAUGCUCUUUUAUAACACUUUCCCUUCGAUGUGACUAUUUCAAUAUCCUUUAUUUUAAAAAAAUAUUUUUACUUAAUAAGUGAAAAGAAUGGGAUAUUGUCUGUUUUACUUUGCUUAGUUCAAUGUUCAUUCCCAAGAAGUGCUUAUUCUUUAUACUCAAUAUCCUCACUAUGAAUUAGUUCUACUCCAGGGUCGUACUAUUUCAGGUGCGCUUCUACCUAUCACUUUUAGCAAAUGUGAUUUUCUAGAGUAAUGUACUUAAAAGCCUACUGCAUCACUCAAGAAGAAUACCCAAACAAACCAACAUAGUCAUAAGGCACCAUAACAAGACAUACAGUAAUUAGUAACUUUGAUGGAAGAGAGGUUUUGUUUUUAUUUUAGUAACUUUGGCAUAGUUGAUGUUUGAAAAUGCUGAGGGAAUGCAUCCCUUCUGGCAGUGAUUUCAAUUGGGGGCAUUCAGAAAUCUAGCCUUUCCCUAAUAUCCUUCAUUCUAUGAUUCAUCCAGACCAAAAAAGCACCCAGCAUGUCUGUCUUUCUCCACAAGUCCUCCGUUGCUAAGUCAUCAACAUACUAUAAAACAUCUUUAAGCUUCUGUACCCAAGUUGUUACUGUUGCUCCUCUUCAGCAUCAGCAAGUACAAAUUUGAAGGAGGACAGUGUGUCCUUAUGCUUCAUAAACUCCUCUUGAACCAUACAUCUCUACAAAAGCAAAAUACCCUAACUUCAUCAAAAGAUUGUCAACAAUAUUACUGAAUGAAAUUUGUUCAGCCAUCUUUCAAAGGUCUAAGGGAAAAUGAAAGGAGUUUUAGCAACAGAAAAAAUGAGAAAAGCCAAGUGAGGACUGAAGGGUCUGAAUAAACUUGGGUGUGUUUGCUCUGUUCAAUUCAAGUGGGAUUAAUUACUUGACCCUCAUGAUUGACCUACCCACCAUAUUUUUCAUUUUUUUUUCUUAUUAAAAUUUUCAAACAAAUAAAAUUACUUGAAAAUUACUGGAUAUUACUUAUUAUUUAAAAAUGAAAAUAAAAAUUGCUAACCUUCUUGUAAUAUAAUUAGUAAACAUAUUUUUGUUUUAUAAGCUAUAAUCAAACCGGUUUAUAUAUCCUAUUUUUAAAAAUAACAAAGACAAAAAAUUGUCCAUUGAGCACCUAAAUAUUUUAAACUCAUUAUAAUAAAAAAAAAAUGUCCAAAAUAUUUAUUAAAAAAAACUAAUUUAAUUUUAUAAUCAUUUUUCAACCCAUAAAUUAUCCAAAAAUAAACUAAAAUCUUUAUCAAGGUUUUUCUAAGUAGAAUUUAAAAAAUGAGAAAUUAAUAUUUGAAACUCCUAAAAAUCAUUAAAUUAAAAUUUUAAAAAAUAAAAUCUGUUUGAUUGUCUUAGAAUCGACAAUAGAAAUGCAAACAUGAGUUUAUAGCUCUUAACAGAUUAGAUUAUGAAACUAAAUGUAUUUUAGAUAGUGGAGUUAGUUCAUACAACAGAAAGGAUGAGGUAUCCAAGAUGUCAAAUUAGGUUGGGGUUGAAGGAAGUGAAGGAAAAUUACCAUAGAUGUGAAAUCGAAAAGGUUGUGAUCCCAUAAGACAUCAAUUGACAAUAUCCAAGAAAAUGAAUGACAAAACAUCAGAAUAUCAACAAGCAGAUUGCAUACUUUAUAUCAAGGUACUUAAUUGUUCUGAUGCAAGCAUUUGAAAUUUUUUUGUUGUAAGAGCUCAAACAUUUCCUAAUAGAUCAUACCGGUGGGUUGAUGCUAGAGAUGUCGUCAAUGCACACAUUCAAGCAUAUGAGAUCCCAAAGCCAGUGGAAGAUACUGCUUAGUAGAGAGGGAUUUACACUAUUCCGAGACACUGAAGAUUUUGCACAAGCUCUACCCUAAUUUACCCCUGCCCAAAAAGUAAGUUUCUAUUAGUUAUUGGUAGUACUCGUUUGUGCCAUCAUUAGAGUACUUGUCAUUUAAUCUUCUUUUUUUAAUCGUUUGUAAUAGUAGAAUGAUUGUUUCUAUCCAUUAGAUGUAAAUAUGGUGAGACAAACCAUAUUUAAAACCCUACAUGCCUCGUAUUAAUAAUUUAUUUUUAAUCUUUGUAUUAAUGCAUCAAUAAAUGGUAUUGAAGAAAUUACUUUUACAACAAAGGUUACAAGAUUAUAAGUAGGAUCACUUUGAUACAAUGACGGGAUAAAAGAAAUAGAUGGGUUUAUUGAAUGCAAACCUCCAUACAUAAAUGAUAGAGACUUAACUUGUUCAAUAUAAGUUCUUUGAUGUAAAAUAUCAAUUUUGUUUUCCAAAGUCUUUAUGGCUAUUGGCUUUUCCAUGGAAUACCAAAUAAAGAAAAAAAAAACCCUCCUUACCCGAGAGUUCAUUUGAACCUUGUUUCGAAGAAAAAAGUUUUAUUAAUCCAAACCCUAUUGAUUUAUAUAUGACCUAUCAUGGGACUAUGAAGAGUUUUAAAACAACUCAAAGAUAACAAAAAAAAAAAAAAAAUUGAGGUUAAAUAGUGAAAACUACAUUAGAUUCCAAUAAUAGUUUUUAUGAUAUAAUGUUGCAUUGGCAGGUUUCAUAAAGAAAUGAAUUAUUCUAUGAAUACGAUUUUCGAUUCCAAAUUUUGAAUUUUCUAAUUCCUUAGUUUAGUGGUGGGUUUCGUAGAAAUUGAAAGUUGUGGAAAAGUAGAAUAUGGACACAAUUUUUUACUUAAUGAGUAGAUUUUACAACACCUUCAAGUAAUUACCCUAAAAAUGAUAGGUCAUUGCAUUGAAAAUGUAUUAAAUUUAAUUGAGAGAUUAUUUAUAAAAAUAUCAUCAUUUUUUAAAAGAAUAAUAUGAUCUUACCAUCGUCUCGGGUAGGAAAGCAAUUUAUGGUGGUGUUAGAUUUUUCUUAAUAUAUUCUUGUUCCUUUUUCUUUUUUUCUUUUUGGUGCAUAUUGUAAGGUUUCAAGUUCCUUUAGAAAUAUGAACAACGAUGAAGAGUUAGAAAUUUUGGAACAUUAAGUACAUAGUUAAAGCCAUGUUUAGAUAGUUGAAAUUCCUAAAUAAAAAAAAAUACAAAAAAGAAAAAAUGAAAGAAGUUCAAAUUUUAUUUGAUUAUCUUAAAAAAUAAAAGAAAUUACAAAUAAUGAAAAUUGUUUAGAUUUUAUAUACUUUCUAAUGUUUACUCUUUAUAAACAAAAAAAAACAAAUAAAUUUUUUUGAGGUUCUAAAAAUAAUUAAACUUAAGCUUAAUUUUUGUUUUUCUUGAUUUUUAAUGCCUUUCAUAAUUUUUCUUUACAAUUUUUCCCACUUAAUCCAAAACUUUCCAAGGUCUAAAUUUCAUAGGUGUUUCAUCUUCUUUUUAAUUAAGAAGUUUUGAAUGUUUCAAUUCAAAUUCCACAAUAAGGUAAUAAAACCUUAAAAUUAAUAUUACAUCUAGGUUGACUUGGUAAUCAACUUGAACCAAAUCUAAAUUAAGAAACAUUCGGUCCUAGCCUAACCAAAUAUAGCCUCAAAUAUGAGGUGUUUAGUUAAAACUCAACUUAUUUCUAUAUAUUAAAGUGAGGCUUAAAUUGACUCUGGUAUACUUGUAGUCGAGUUGAGUUGUUUAAGUUGUAUGAUCAGAGCUAAGUUUUGUAAGAUUGAAUUGGGGUGAACUCGUUCAUAAUGUUUAUUUUUUUUAACUUCUUUUAUAUCAUAAUUUAAAUAGCAAAUAGGACAACAUUUAAACAUAAUUAAAAAAAAAAUGAGAAUGAAUUUAUGUAUCUUUCUUACAAAAAUGAAAUAAUAUAAUUAAAAUUUAAUAUUUUUUUAAAUACUAAAAAACAUAAAAUAGAUAUUAUUAUAUAAAAUAAAAUAAAUUAAAAAUAUUAUAAAAAUAUAAAAUUAGGUUAUAUAUGUAUGUAUGUAUGAAUGUAUGUAUAAAAUAGUAGUGUGACGGGUGUUUGCUACUUGUAAAAAGUAUUUUUACUCAUUUUUAAAUUGAAAUUAAUAAAAAGAAAAAGAAAUAAAGUGUUUUCAAAAAUAUUAAAUGCAUAACUAAUAUUAUGCUAAUGAAGUUUUUUGUUCUUUGUAAUUUAGAGUUGUCUCAUUCAUAUUUUAAGGUAAACUAAUAGAACAUUAAACUCCCCAAUAUUGUAUCCAUCUAGAAUUUAUCACCAUUUUAUUUUAUAUCAUAUCAUAAUUAUAUUAAUUAGUGGCUUCAAGAAAAAAAAAUUAUUUAUAUGUUAGACAACAUGGAAAAGAUAUCUUUUUUAAUGCUUAUUAAUAAUUUUUAUUUCAAAUUUUAAAACAUGAAUAUAUAAAUUUUAACAAUUAUGAAAUAUUAGUCUAAAUAUCUUUUAAUAUUUGGUUAUGUUUGCAAAGCAUUUUUAAUAACAAUUAUGAAAAACAAUUUUUGAGAGUAAUUUCCGAAAACAUUUUUUUUUGUUUUUAAAUAUGUUUUAAAAAUAACUUUAUCUCAUAUAUAGUACUUUAUUUUAAUCGUUCUCUAUUUAAAAUAACUCUAUGAAAAGAAACGGAAAUAAUUAAAAGAUUUAUCUUAAAAUAUUUUAUUUUUUUAUUUUUAUGAAUAGAAAACUUUUUUUUUUUUUUUGUCAAAUGUGUCUUCUUGUUUUUGUUUUUGUUUUUUUAAAAAACAAAAAACUGUUUUAAAAAAUAAUUACCAACCAUGCUUGAACACAAAGCCCGAAGCUCCCGUGGGGCUGGUUUUGGGCCUUUUAGGUUUGGGAAAAACAGUCGGGCCUGGCUGAGCACAAAUUCUUCUCUUUUAAGUCCAAAAAGCCCGUCUCAAGCCCAAACUUCGGGUUGGGCCGGGAAGCUCCUGACUUAACACAAAUUCUUCUCUUUUAAGUCCAAAAAUACAGUCUGAAGCCCAAAAUUUCGGGUUGGUCCGGCCGGGCGGGCGGGCGGGCGGAUAGGAAAUAUAAGAAAAUAAAUAUCUCCAUAAUAUAAUUAUUAUUACGACAGUGGAAUCUGAGAAAAGGUCGUGAGUGUUCUACAAUUUUGAUCUUUUGCAGCAGACUGAAUGUAGACUACAAAGAGAGUGAGAAAUGGACGGGCAAGGCAAGGUGGUGUGCGUGACCGGAGCUUCUGGGUACAUAGCCUCAUGGCUUGUGAAGCUCCUGCUCCAACGCGGCUACACCGUCAAAGCCACAGUUCGAGACCCAAGUCAGAUCUCUUCCCAAUUACAACACUUCUCAUUCCCAAACCCCACUUGCUAUUGUCCCCAAUUUUCUUCUUUCUUUAUUGUUUCAGUACUUUUCAAGCAUAAUGUUAGCCGUUAUUUAGCAGUUUGAAACUUAGGUUGAGUGGUAUUUUGAUGGGUCUUUGUCCUUUUUCCUUUUUCAGAAGUUUAAUCUAUGAUUGAAAGUCAAUAUUCAGUACUCGGGUCUUUGUGUUGUCCUAAUUUUCUUGGAAUUAUACUCUCUACAUGGUUCUACAGGGCAAAUUGAUCGAGUUUAUGCUAUUAAAAAUGAUUUCAGAUACUUUCAGAAUCAAUCCAUCUCAGAUUCUGCAUGUGUUCCUUCUUAAUUACUACUAUCUUGUAAAAAUUUUUGCAUUUAAUUUACAAGACACUGAGGAGGUCUCAAAAAGAAAAGCAAAGGGAAAGAAAAAGAUUUUCCUUCAGCCAUACCAAAUUGUUUUGGAACCAAAAACUCUAAAUAUGGGCCUGUGUUCUUUUUGGAGACCUAUUCUUGAAAAUAAUUUCAGAGAAACGAAGAAAAUCUACAAAAUUUUGUACAAUUAUUUGGCUUUAUUACAAGCUUUUUUUGUUCUACAAACAAGACAAGAGGACAGUUUAGGGCUUCAUUUUGUUUCUUUACUGUUCUUCGGUUUCCUCUUGAAUGCCUCUAGCUCUAUUCUAUUUUUAGUAUUUCAACAAAUUGUACAUCACAACUGAAGUUUCUUGCACUUUGAAAAUCCAAUCAUCUUGCAUAAAUGAUCCAAAAGCUUGCAAUUGCAGUUGAAAAAAUGACUACUCUACAUGCCCCAUCCAUUUUACUUCAAUCCCCAUUCUUUUAAGAAGAGCAUAGUUGAACUUCUUAAUAUUCUAGUCAUGCUUCCACUGUAUACUCCUUCUGUACUAGGGUUUCCCCAUUUGGGGUUGUUUUUUUCUAUCACAUAAUAUAUGUUCUUACCAAAAUAAAGUUUUUGUAAGCUUUCAUUCUUCUUAUUUCCAUUUAACAUGCAAGUUGUGCUUAUAUAUGCCACAGAUGAUCCAAAGAAGACAGAACACUUGCUUGCACUUGAAGGUGCUAAAGAAAGGCUUCAUUUGUUUAAAGCAAACUUACUUGAAGAAGGAUCCUUUGAUUCUGUGGUUGAUGGAUGUGAUGGAGUAUUUCAUACAGCAUCCCCAGUUGUGCUGAUAGUUGACGAUCCCCAGGUUUAUCCUAUAUUGGUUCCAUUCGCAUACUGUAAAAUUUAGCAUUGUCUAUAUUCUUUUCCAAUCAGUUACUGAUCUUGAAAUUACUAACUAAUCAUGAAUUGUUAAUUUGCAUGAUUCUUCUUUCUGUAUGUGGUUUCUUCAACUGAUCCAAUGGUAGUGAAUGCUGAUUUCACUAAACCAAUUCAAUGGUGGAAAAGAGAGAAACUGAUAUUGGAUUUUUUAUAUUCUGCUUAUGUGCAAAAAUAUUGAAUAGCUUUUUUUUUUUUUUUUUUUUUCUUUCUUUCUUUCAUUCUCCCCCCUAAUCCUUCUUUUCUCCACUUGUUAUGCUUGUUCAAAAGAAGAUAAAGGCCCUUUGUCUUGCAUCAAUAAGAACCAAAAACCCUGUGAAUACUUAUUUAGGAAUGUAUAACUUCCUUGACAGCAGCAUGGGAAUGCUCACACCGUAACAAGGCUAUUCCAAUGGAAAUUUAUGGUGGCUGAUCCAAACACUCCUUGUGCUUUUUUUUUUUUUGAUAGGCAAAAGAGCAAAAGACAUGUUAAAGAGCCAAAAAAAAGGCUACACCAAGUACAUAGGAAGUACGCAUGUGCACACCAAAGAAAAAACACAAAAACCCUCUUCUUAAUGGCAACCUAACCAAUCGAUAAAAUCAAUCAUAUACAAGGACUCUUGCCCUAGUCCCCCUUUGGUCCAUUCUAAAAAGUUACAAAGAAAAGAGAAUUUUAGCUCGUGAUAUGAAAGCUCAACAUUAUCAAAAGCCCUUCUAUUCCACUCUUUUCAAAUAGUCCAAAACAAACAAAGAAGUGCAACAUUCCACACCUUUUUUUUCCUCCUCCCAACAGAUCGGCUAUGCCAACUAAGAAGUGUUGCUUGGACUGAGGUAUGCAACACCCAAACCACAGCAAACAAGGAGAAAACUAAUUGCCAUAACAAACUAGCCUUAGAACAAUGAAGAAUGAUGUGAUUGCAAGAUUCCUUCUCAUCUUUACAUAAAAAGCGUUUGUUUACCAAAGUCCAACCUCUCUUCAAAUUGUCCAUAGUUAGAAUCCCCUUCCAAGUUGCUUCCCAAAACAAAAAAAAAAACUCACUUUUAUUGGAGCCUAAGAAUUCCAAAUAAGCCUUGUCGGGAAAGAAUUUGAACCCCUCUAAACCAUCCCAUCAUAGAAAGAUUUAACUAAAAAUUGGCCUCCCUUUGUAGCCAUCCAUACCACCUUGUCAUCCAUCUCCCUUCUCAUUGAUUUGCCAUGCAAACGCAAAAGGAGUGCUUCAACAUAACCUAACUCUUAAUCUUGAAAUUCCUUACAAAACAAGGGUUCCAACACCCCUCAAAAUCAAUAUGCUUCCAAACAUCACAUACCCAAGCCUCCUUUGAAGUGGCUACAACAAACAAAGAGGGGAAAGAGGUACUCAAAGGGGUGCCCCCACACCAAAUGUCCUUCCAAAACCUUACCCUUCUUCCAUUACCCAAAUCAUAGGAAAUCUUGUUUUUGAAAGAAUCCCAUCAUUUCCUUAUAGCCUUCCACAAUCCUAUGCCAUGACCCUUCCUUGUCUCCAAAGAGCACCAACCUGCUUCUUCUACCCCAUUCUUACCAAUGAUUUCUUUCUUCCACAAGGUCUCCCCUUCUGACAUGAACCUUCAACUCCAUUUUCCUAAGAGAGCCUUGUUCAAAAUAGAAAGAUUUUGAAUGCCUNNNNNNNNNNNNNNNNNNNNNNNNNNNNNNNNNNNNNNNNNNNNNNNNNNNNNNNNNNNNNNNNNNNNNNNNNNNNNNNNNNNNNNNNNNNNNNNNNNNNUUUAAGGGGGGGCCCCCAAAGGAACCCCCAAAUUUUUUCAAAGGGUAAGCCCCCCUUUUCCCCCCCAAAAAUCCCCCAAAUUCCCUCAUUUUGGGGACCCUCCCAAAUAAGAAUAGGCCACUUUUUUUAAGGUUUUUUUUAACCCCAAAAAUUUUUUCAAACCCCCCCAAGGCCCAAGAAAGGACCAAUAUUGGGCCCUUAAAACCCCCCAAAAAAAAAAAAAAAAUUGUUUUUCCCCAAAAAAAAAGGGGAACCCCCCCCCCCCCUUCCCCCCUUUUUUUUUUAAAUUUUAAAAAAAAAAAAACAACCCCCCCCCCCCCCCCCCCCCCCCCCAAACAAACAAAAACUCCUUGUGAUUAUCUUCAAGAGUGGAGAGUUAUAGCAUUUUAACUGACAACCACUAUCUCAAGGUGACUGAAGAUGCAUUCCACAAAAUGUUAGACAAGUUGCUUAUGAUUUUCUCCAGACCCUGAAUGCUAUAGGUAUAAGAAAUAGGUAAAUGUGCUUACUAAUAGUGGAUGCAUUCCACAAAAUGCUAGAGAAGUGGUUGUUUCCUUCUCUCUAUCUCUUUCCUUACCUCCUUCCUCACCUCCCUCACCUUCCCAAAUUCCCUUUUCCUUUAUUUUCUCAAACAGCUCAGUUGCUCCACAUGAUUAUUUUUUUAAAAAUAGGAAUGCUUCACAAGAUUCAUAUAUUACCUUGCUAAUUUUAGUUAGUUAGGCACUGCCCCUUAAAAACUCAAUUAAGUCUACAUAUUAAAUCCAUUUUUUUGUACACUUUUGUGAAUUGGAUUAGGGUAUACAUAGAGGAACACACUUUGUCGUUGAUAGAUUUUGUUGACUGGUUAGCCACCAAGUAAGGGUCAGGCUUGUUUGUUCUUUUGUUUUUUGCUUCCUUGUAUAUGGUAUACUCCGUGUAUACCCUUUCUCUUGCCUUUUGGCUCUUAAUGAAUUUUCUUUACCUAUCAAAAAAAAAAUUAUACCUUUGAUGUAGUUAUGAAUACAAGGAUCAUCCAUAACUCCUCCAAUUACAUGACAUAUUUGCUAUAUUAUUGAUUCUAAACUGGCACUGUCAUAACAUGAUUGGCAAAAAAAUAAAAAUAAAAAUAAUAGUUACUUCUAGAAUUUGAUGGAUGAACCUUAUGGCUAUGCUUGGUUCCUAGAAAAUUUGAGGCAAAAUGUAAGGGAAAGAAAAUAGAAAGGAAAAGUAGAAAGAAAGAAAAAUUGAAGGAAAAUUAAAAAUAGAUUUAAAGUCAAAAAUUAUUUUUAUAUGUUACUUCAAACUUAUUUCACUUAUUUUAACUAUUGAAUACAAAGAUUAAAUAAUUUGAAAAUUCAUAAGUUUCUAAUUAGUUUUAAUUAUAUUUGUCUUUCUUUGGUAUUUUCUAUAGAACAAUCAAACAUGAAAAAAUUAUUUUCCUUAGUGUUUUUUUUUUUAGUACUUUCCGAGAACCAAACAUAAUCUAUUGAGUUUGUCUAUGAUGAUUGGCAUUGGUUAUUUUGUUUAGGCUCAUUCACCAACCAACUGGUUUGUGGUGUACCACUAUACUUCUUUUCCAAUUUUAUUUUAUUUUAUUUUAUUUUUUUGGUUCAUUUUAGGUUUAAAGAGAUUUUAUUUUAUUUUAUUUAUUUAUUUUUUAUCAUAAUUCAUGUGUAACUGCAUUUCCUUUGUCACCAUCACCAUGUGACUCCAUAUAGUGGUUGGGAGAGUUAGAUGCUGGAACAGUUAUGGAAUAACUCCAUCAAUGUUGUGCAUCUUUCUUUGAAAUGUAGGAAUUUGGAUUUUUUAUUUUUUUAUUUUUUGAAUAUCUCCUUCUCAUAAAUAGGUAUGGUAUGCCCAACCAUUUUAUUUUAUCAAAAUUCUUUGAUAACAUAGCUUAUCAAUAUGAUGAAAUGAUCAUAAUGUAUCUCAUCAACCUGAUUUCAUAUUACACAAUGGAGCCUAGAUUUUGAAGUUCUCUCAGUUACAAAGGGAAAUCUUGUGUUGAUGUAAUGGCAGAUAUUGUUUUUUGUAGUUGGGAUUCCUCAAAGAGUUUGGGAGGUGGGAGGAGUCCUAGAGGGAGAGCACUGUGCAGAGAGACCAACUUAGCUGGCUAAUAGAUUAUUCGGCUUCAGAGAAAUGCUUGGAUACUUAAGAACAUGAGAAAAUCUUUCAUUGACUUGUGUGCUGAUGUCUAUUAUCUCACAACUCUUUGAAUGCUUGUCACUGUAGAGUUCUUUAGGUUCCCUUUAAUGUAUAUACAUUCUUUUUUGGAUCGGAGAUCAAUAUGCCUUUCCCGUCAGAGAGUGGUUUUGUGCUGGAGGAGGCACUGCCUGUGCUAUUUCUAGACUCCUGACUGUGGCCAGUCCACUCUGCACUUUUUUCAGUUUCCGGACACAACAUGUUAUACAAUUAACAUACCAGCUUCUAUGUGAUCGAAUUCAGCUCCACCUCAAUCAUUGGAAUUAGCAGCAUGCCAACAAUCACAGUGUGGGCACCAGUUUUUAGUUAUUCACUUGCCUUGCUUUUCUGGUGAAGUCAGGCAGCAUCUUUUCAUUUCAGAAUGUGGCAUGCUGUUGUUUGUGACUUUUUGGCCAUAAGAGCAAUUGUGGAUGGCCCUUCAAUAGACAAAACUUUAUAGGUGUGUGUUUGUGCCAAAUCAAGGGUCAAGUUAUGAAUGAAAAUAUGAAAAUGAAAAGAGAAACAGAGCAAAAAUUCAUUUUACCAUGUCUCUGUUCUUUCCAUGAGGGAUUAGGCUUGUACCUCUUUGGAAGACUCAGAAUCUCCUUUCGGUUUUUCAGUGGCUCCUUUCUCCUAUGACCCGUUCAAGAAUGCUACUUUAUUGUAGACCUUCUAUGCCUUUAUUGAAAAAGAAAAAGUGAUAAGAUAUUUCAACUAGUUGAAAAUAGAGGACCCUAAGGCCUGAGAUAGACCGAUGCUAGAUAGAAAAUACAUAUGUACGGAUUUUCAAACUUAUCUAGAAGAAAUAGAAGCAAAUGAUACAUGACAAGUCAGUGUCAAAAGGUGAACUAAGUCUUCCACUAGAUAGUCUACUUAGAUGUCAAAAAUGUAGUGGGCUCUUUAGCCUCAUGGUAGCCUAAAGCUCAAGUUUGGUUGAUGUUACCUAGCAAACUCGAGACAGAUGGAAAUUUCCAGCCUUUUACGGGUCCAUAGAUGUGUGAUUAUUAGGGCUUUUUAAUGUCAUUUGUGAUGGGGUUUGCUAUUGAUGUGAUGCAGAGGUCCUGAAACUAUUAGAAGGGAUGUAAAUCUGGUGAAAGAGUUGGAUGUUUAUGAUCUUAUGGGGAAGGAGAAUUGAGCAAUGGUUCUCUCUUGCAUGUCACUGGGUCAAAAAGGGUCAGGGAGAUAAAACCACCACUUGUGGAGGAUAGUGGAUCUUUUUAGAGACAUUGGCUGAUCAUUUCUUGAAAGUUUAGAUCAAGAAAUCAAGAAGAUGAGAGGCUGAUUAAGAGAGAAGUCAUGUCCUAUGCCAACUUUGUUUGAGUGGGCCAUAUCAUAUACUUCUACCUGGGGUUAAUCUUUAAGUCUGGAGGGUUCAUUGUCUCUUCAUUUUUUUACCUUUAUUUUUUUUCCCCUUAUUGAAUCAUGUUCUUGUACAUCUACUUGUUUGAAGGAUUUCUCAUCCUUCCUUGUAAAUAACUGUUUGCAUAAUAUUAUCACACAAAAACAUAGAUCAUAGACAAGCUGAGAAUUUCCUUAGGAUCCAUAAUGUGAUCUUAUGUUUGCUUCUAUACAUAAUUAUUAGCUUUUAAUUAGCUUAUCUUCAUUGGACUACUUAUGUGGAGAUUUGUUUUAUCUGUUUCUC